rnacentral:lncRNA from 1 species
CUCUCUCCCACGUUGUUGUUGUUCUUUCCUGAACAAAACGUCCUGCUGUUGUUCUUCACUUGUUACUAUUAGAGUGUGUAAUUUCUUUGAACAUUUAGAGUGGAGACUUGAUAGAUUGUAAUCUAUUUUACACUGUUUCAAUAUAUAUGAAUCGCCCGUUAGUUAUUUGUCUGUUACAUUCAGGUUACUAGUUGUGAAUCUUGUUUUGUAAUUGUUCAUUGUGAAGUCAGAUGUGUGAACAUGCUUAAUUCUUAGUCCCUGUGAUAGCUCCAGUACAUGUGUUUUUUAUGUUGUCUCAAUUUCUAGUAUAUAUAUAUAUGUAGUGCUCGUGAUGUGCUCUUUCCUUGUAUCUCAAAUAUGCUUCUGUCCCCAUUCUUAAAUGUUUGCUAGUGUAUUUGUUUUCUCAUUUGUUAGUCGAUCUAUCCAUUGUGUGUAGUAAUGAAAAUCCUAAAAACAUUGACUGGCAAGUUAUUCUUCGCCCUGUCUUGUUAUUUGCUUGUGUUGUUAAGAGGUGGGUGAUCUUGUCCUACUUUGAGUGGGAAAACUUGUUUUAUUUUCUUUUGUAUUGCAUUACCAAAAACCUUUUCGUCUGAUCUAGCUUUAGCUGAGCACGACUAUUGUCGCCUAGUCCCUGUGGAGAAUUCGACAUCCGUAGAUUGGGCUUAAAAAACCCCGCUAUACUUACAGUUGAUCAUUUGGCGCCGUUGCUGGGGACUUGCGUCAAGCGAUUGUGUUAGGCUAUAGACUAGGUUUAGUUUAUUUCAUCGUUUAAUUCACUCUGUAUUUCUUUUUCAGUGUUUCUUUUUUUCCUUGGUGUUGCUUCGGCUUAUGAGGAUACUAAUCUUCUGACUAGUGUUUGAUGUUUAUGAGCGUGUGUAGGAAAUCAUUAAUCUUUGCAGGUUGUUCUAUAGUUACACUCGGUUAAGAUGGCAUUGCUUCAUGAUCUUUGGAUGCCCAAAAGUCAAUGCUAUAUCACAGGACCAGUUUGGCCAACUAUUGAGGCAGAGAACUUCGAGCAGAAACCUAGUCUUAUUGCUUUGGUUCAACAAUGUCAGUUUGGAGGACAGCCUACCGAGGAUCCCUAUGAGCACUUACACCGAGUCAUGGAGUAUUCAGAUACAGUCAAGUACCAUGGAGUUCCUCAAGAUGCAAUCAUGUGCAGGUUGUUUACAUUCUCUCUCUAUGAUGAUGCUCGUGCUUGGUACCGAUCCUUGCCAUCAAGGUCAUACAGUUGGAUUGAGAUAUCACAAGCAUUCUUGGAUAAAUAUUUCCCACUACACAAGCAGUCCAUGAUUCGAGAUGAUAUCUUCAACUUUGUUCAGCAUGAAGGCGAGAGUUUGUAUGAUGCUUGGGAGAGGUACGAAGCCUUGUUCAGGAGAUGUCCUAAUCAUGGGCUCGAGAGAUGGUUAGAGCUGCAGAUAUUCUAUAGAGCGUUGACUUCGGACACUCGCGGUUACAUUGAUAUGGCAACGGGUGGAGCUAUUACAAACAAGACACUUGAUGAUGCUUUUCUGCUAAUUGAGAGCAUAGCUUUCCACCAACUUCAGUGGUACAAUAAGAAGCCCACAUCUAAUUCAUUGGUUUGCUUGCAACAAAUCACUUCAUCUCAGCAAGAAUCUCUUACACAAAAGCUGGAACAAGUUUCUCCGUGUGACAAGAUUGAGCUUUCAUGGAUUAUCUUUGAUGAUGAUGACACCAUCCUAGUUGACACACACACUUCAGAUCAUAUGGAUACUAGCAUUCUAGAUUCAGUUUUACAUUGUGAUGAUUCUUCUGUGGAUGAACCAGAGCUACAGUUAGUUACUUUGGAUAUUGAGGAGACACCUUUAGUUGAUAUUGAUCAUGUGCUGCUAGAGCCAGAUAUGGAAAAGUUCGCCUUCGAUGAUGUUAGCCGCAUUGAUUCCUCAACACCUGAGCCUGAGAUGGAGAGCUUCAUCGUUGAUUAUGGUGAGGUGGAUUCAGAUGUCAAGGAGCCAAGCUCCACUAUUUCACUUGUUGCCACGAGUCUGGUGGAAAUUUCUACUACCACACCUCACUUGGUAUCUUCAAUUGAGGUAGUCCUGAAGCUUCUUCCUAACUAUCUCAGGUAUGAUCGCUACUUUCUCAAAAAGAUAUGCCAUAUCAUGAAUACUGCCUAUGCACCAAGCGAUUUGUUGAUGAUAUCUAUUUAUCAUAUGCUCAAUAGAUAUGCUUAUGUGAUAGGAUACUCUAUUGAUGACUUAGAGGGCAUUUUCCCUAUCACUUGUAUUGGCUUGUUUGUUGAGUUUUCUUUCAGGUUUACGCUUGUAUACCAUUCAUUGCAAGCUGACCAAGUUCGAGAUGACAUCCCAUGGGAUCCUGGUGGAUUCAUAGCAUGGUGAUAAGGAGCAGCAAUGGGCACACGCGAAGAAGAGUGACGAUGGAGCAGGCAUGAGGAUAGAUAAGCAAAAAGAGAAGAGCUGCAGUUUAGAGGGUGUCGAGCGAGUGCCACAUCAAAGCCCGGUGAGCUGUUUCAUGACCCCAAUCUUAAUAUAUCAUCCAUUGAUACAUGAUGAAAUCAUUUGAUAUUUGGGUUGCUUGAGCCAUUUCUUAAAUGUUGUGCCAUUGAAUUUUACCUUUGACAUAUGGUGCUUGAUGUGAAUAUGUGAACUGAUUUCUGAAUGCCUUGUAAACUAGUGAUCUAUACAAUGAUUGCUUUGCUGAAACUAGUGAGAACUAUUAGUUUUGAGUGCUCAAAUCCCUAGUGCACAAGUAAACUUAAUCAUUUUCUGCAUUUACCUUGAUACACCUAGAUCACUAUGUUUAGAUGAUGUAUUUGUGCCAAGUAUGUACCCAUUCAGAGCAAUCACUUUACUACUAUGGACUAGCAUGCUAUGUUCCCUGGAUCGGUAGCAUGUGAACCAGAUAUGGUUGAGUGAUGAUUCUUGUUUUUGUUCAAAAAAAAUUUAUAUCUUAUAAUGAAUAAUAGUCUGACUACCUACAGUAGCAUGUCAUGUUCCCUGGAUCGGUGGCAUGUGAAAUCGGGUUAGCUUGGGCAGUAAUUAAUAAUAAAAAUGUAAUUGUUGAACCAGGUGUAUACCAUGUUCUCUGGAUCGGUGGUAUGUUCCUUUGGGGAGACAAACUAAAAAAACUAAUAAUUGGUCGAGCCAGGUGUAUACCAUGUUCUCGGGAUCGGUGGUAUGUUCCUUUGGUGAGACUGAUAAAAUAUUAUCAUUACUUCCUGCAAAUUCAAUAAGUGGUUCAACAACAAUGUUUUGUUCCUGGUAAUAAGUGAUCUGAUCACAAGUUUAAGUUCUUUUUGUUUUGUGGAUCAUGCUCUCUUUAGGAACCUUUUGGCACAAUCAGCAUUUGAACUUGCUAAUCUUCUUUUAUCAUUGUAAAAGUUUAAAAUGGUCAAGUCUGCUAGUAUCCUACUGCUUUGUAGCACUCUAACCAUUAAUUUUCACUAACUAAGUCUCAAACAUGCACUAUUUAGAGAUCUACUUCACUUGACAUUCUGUAGCCAGUUCACUAUUCACUAUCUAGUUCUUGUCAUAUUCCUUUGCUUGAGGACAAGCAAAGAUUUAAGUGUGGGGGAACUUGAUAAGCACAUUUCAUAUAUAUAAUUUGGGCAUACAAAUAUACCAUUUAUUGAGUUCUUACCAUCAAUUAUUGCUAAGAAAUACUAAAUAUUUGAAUGGUAAUCAUAUAAGAGCAUGUUGACUAGUGAAUUGUUUCUUUUGCAGAAAAGUGCGCAAAGGCACUAUAAUUGUCAAGACGUUCUACUAUGUGGCUAACAAGACGAGAGAAGGGCAUGAAAGAAGUGAAGAAAGGGACCUGAGCAUGGAGGAAAGAAUAAACCGAGGGCCAAAACUAAAGAAAGAAGGGAUCUACUUGAGGCAAAAGUAUAGAAGGAUAAGGGCAAAAUCAGAAAAUUGGCAGCUGAGAGAAGGGGAACAAAAUCCCUAGCGCAACCAAUUUUUUGGAUCGGGCCUAGCACACACCUCUCUCCCUCACCCCUCCUUCUCCACCACCGGCCGCCGCCGCGGCCAGGCCGGCGUGGCGGCGCGCCACCGCGCCAACAGCACCCCCCACCACUAGCCGUUGCUCCACCACUUCACCAUCGCCAUCCAUCCAUCCAUCACCCAGCGCCACCACUGCACCAUCCACCAUCAGCGCCGCCACCUGAACCCCGAACCACCAGCAACCCACGCCGGCGCCAUCCACCACUUCCACUCCUCCCUUUCUCUCUUGCUGCUCCUCCCUCUUGCUUCGCCCCUGUUCCUUCUCUUCUUCCCCAGGCCUCUGCUGCUGCAUCUUCCUUCUUCUCCAAGCCCCACUGCUGCUCUUCUUGCGAUCUCCUCUGCUGCCCCUCGUCCCUACUGUUGCUGCUCUUCCCUUCUCUCAACCUCACGCUGCUGCUCCAACUCCAACAGCUGCUGCUCCUCUCCAAUCCCCCAAGAUGCUGCUCCUCUCUCUCUCCCACGUUGUUGUUGUUCUUUCCUGAACAAAACGUCCUGCUGUUGUUCUUCACUUGUUACUAUUAGAGUGUGUAAUUUCUAUGAACAUUUAGAGUGGAGACUUGAUAGAUUGUAAUCUAUUUUACACUGUUUCAAUAUAUAUGAAUCGCCUGUUAGUUAUUUGUCUGUUACAUUCAGGUUACUAGUUGUGAAUCUUGUAUUGUAAUUGUUCAUUGUGAAGUCAGAUGUGUGAACAUGCUUAAUUCUUAGUCCCUGUGAUAGCUCCAGAACAUGUGUUUUUUUAUGUUGUCUAUAUAUAUAUGUAGUGAUCGUGAUGUGCUCUUUCCUUGUAUCUCAAAUAUGCUUCUGUCCCCAAUCUUAAAUGUUUGCUAGUGUAUUUGUUUUCUCAUUUGUUAGUCGAUCAAUCCAUUGUGUGUAGUAAUGAAAAUCCUAAAAACACUGACUUGCAAGUUAUUCUUCGCCAUAUCUUGUUAUUUGCUUGUGUUGUUAAGAGGUAGGUGAUCUUGUCCUACUUUGAGUGGGAAAACUUGUUUUAUUUUCUUUUGUAUUGCAUUACCAAAAACCUUUUUGUCUAAUCUAGAUUUAGCUGAGCACGACUAUCGUCGCCUAGUCCCUGUGGAGAAUUCAACAUCCGUAGUUUGGGCGUAAAAAACCGAGCUAUACUUACAGUUGAUCAGUGCCGCACUCCUCUAAAUUGGUUUCAGACUGGAGAUAGUCAUAUCUUCGGAACGGAUCUCAUGCUGGAAGUUGAGAAACAAGUUAGGGAAAUCCGAGAUAGGCUGCAAUUGGCCAAAUCUCGACAGAAGAGUUAUUAUGAUGCCAAACAUCGGCAGGUCAGUUUUGAACUCGGAGAACACGUAUACCUCUGAGUCACUCCUAUGAAAGGAGUCAAGAGAUUUCAGACUCGUGGAAAGCUGGCACCCAGAUUCAUUGGUCCAUUCCCGAUUAUGUCUCGAGUGGGAACGGUUGCAUAUCAACUGGAACUACCCCCGGAAUUGGCAGACAUACACAACGUGUUCCAUGUUUCACAAUUGAGAUGAUGCAUAUCCCUGCCUAAGAAAAGAACUACAACGGCUUGGAUAGAAUUGGAAAAAGAUUUAACUUAUGAACAAAGACCGUUCAAAAUUUUGGAUCAGAUGGAAAGGGUCGCUCGCAGUAAAGCCAGAAAAUUUUACAAGGUUCAGUGGGAGCAUCACACAGAGUCAGAAGCAACUUGGGAGCAGGAAGAAUUCCUUAGGGAUCAGUAUCCAGAAUGGUUUUCCCAAGCAACCGAAUCUCGAGAACGAGAUUCAUUCUAAUUGGGGGAGGUUUGUGACAGCCUGGGUUUUGCCCUCUCUUAUUUGCUUGAUUUUUCAUUUGAAUUUUUUUGAAACUUGGAGUUUCUGAAUCUUUUCAUAUGGACUUAAACACUUGGGCAUCCAUGGCUUUCACCCAAGUGCUUCACUUCCCUCCUAAACCAUCAUUUCACUUCUGACCCACCCCAAAAAUAAUCUUUGGAAUAUUUUUCUUAAAAGAAAAAUAUUCUUUUUCUCUCAAAAACCCUAAGCCAGAUCUGAUUGCUUCAAAGCAACCCCAAUUUUUAUGGCUCAGAAAAAUCUGAGAUAAUUCACAAAUAUUCUGUGAACCCUAGUGCACCUUCCCGAGCAAAAAUAUUUCAUCACUUUUUAAAAUAUUUUUGCUACAGAAAAUCUUUUCUAUUCUGGACAAAAAUGAUGGUUUCUACAGCAACUACCAUUUUACUUGCUCCAUUUGACCUGAACUUUCUUGUGCAUCUUUACCUUAGUAACUUAUCACUAGCCUCCAAAGCACAGCUUCAAACUCCAAGCCAUUUGACCACAGUAACUUCACAAAGUUACUAACCAGAAACUUACUUGGCGUGUGAAAACUUCUCUACUGCACCUGGAUCCAAACCAAAUCGUGGUAACAAUCAAAACUACCAUGAACAACAUGCCAGACAUUGAGUUUAUGCUUAGAUCGACCUGAUGUCAUAGUUCACUCGGUGACCGCGUUCGUCCAGGCGUGCUGGCAUGCAGCUGACGCGCUCUGCGACACGCCCGAGCCUCUGUUGCUCGCGUGCUUGCUUCCCCGCCUGCCUAACCAUGCCAAACCUCACCACCAUCAUCGUCUCAACGUUCUUAACUCCUCCCUGGCGCUCACCGAAGCCGGAGCUCGCCGCAGCGAGCAGGGGCAAGGUCCGGCCAGCACAACAGUGCGGAGCGCACUGUGCUCGUCGCCAUCCUCUUGAUCCUGUGCUCGUCUUCGCCCGCCCAUAGUGGUCGCGUGACCUCCGUCGCCUUCUCCCCCUCUCAUUGACAUCGCUCAUCGCCGGGCGCUGUGGACAGGUGUCCACCGGCAGAGCUCGAAUCACCCUCGCCGCUCGCCUAUAUAUAGAGCCCUCCCCAGCCUCCUCGAGCACCAUCCAGCACUCACACACACCCCACGAUCGAGUAGGAAGCCGGAGCCCGGCCGGGCAGUCCUUAGGCCGCCGUCCCCGAGCUCGAGCUCGCCAGCGAUCCCCUUUGGUCGCCGCAGUAUCUCCAGCCGCUCCCAGGCCUGGGCGACCCCUCCAGGGCCUCCGCCUCUCUCUGGUGAGGCCAUCUCACCCGCUUGGAGCCCCUGGAGUGGCCUCUACUCGCCGUCUUCCUCAACUCCGAUGACCUCCACGUUCUGCCUCCGCUUGCGAGGUUAAUUCCGAUGCCGUCCGACCAGCCCUAGCUACGCUACUGUUAUGGGCAGGUGCGCCUCAACCCCCUCUUGCCAUCCCUCCCUCUCGUUUGGGCCAAGGAGCCCUCGUCACCGGCGAGAGCUCCGACGAAGCCACGUCCCCCUCUGUUUCCUUCUCCCUCUUCCCCCACCUGACUAGCGGGGCCCGCUAGUCAGCCACUCUGUAUGCGCGCGAAACGGUACGAGUAGUGGCGCCCCUGGGCUUUACGCCUUCGACGUCACCCCCAGUCUAUUUCUUUUAUUCAAAUUCAUUUGAAUUUACAAAACACUUCAAACAGUUAUAACUCUUCAACCAUAAGUCCAAAUGAAUUGAUUCUUUUUGCAUUGUAUUCUUUGAUUAGAAAUCUAACAGCUCACCAAAGAUGAGAUUUUUCUGAGCUGACUGGAAUUUCUGGUGAUUUUCAGAAAUGUUCUUGAUACUUUCUUUUUGUGUUUAAAUUCUUUUCAGAAGGUGAAGCUUGUCUUGAGGAUCACCAGGAGGUUUGUGAACCUCGUCUGCACUAAGGCAAGCCACAGCAACAUUUUCAUGGCGCCAUUUCAAUAUUUGUGAUUUUCUUACUUGAAUGAAAUGAUUAAUCCAUGCAUUUAAAUAAUUAUGGAGUUAUUUAUAUUCUGUUAAAUAUUGGUUAGUUGUUAUGCUUGAUUUACAGAAUGGUUGAAACUAGUUUAGUGGAUAAAGGAAGUUAAGAUUUAUUUGAGGUGAUGAUAGACAUAAUUUUGUUAUGCAUGUUAGCAAUUAUUUUAAAGCUAUGUUUUUGCCUUAAGAGAUUGAUAAAAAUUUAUUAGAAAAUAAUCUGUUAAAUACUUGUUUAAUCAUAUUACUUGUCUUAGAGAAUGUUUCAACCCAACUUAGUGAGAAAGAAAGUAAGAGUUGUUGAUAGUGAAAUCUUUUUGACAAGCAUAUGAGAAAUUUAUCAGAGUUACUUUUUUGCGUAAGAAAUUAAUAAAACUUGUUGCAAAAUAUUUUGGGUUAAGUUGUGAGUCAUUCGAGCAAGUAGAGUAAUUUGAGUUGUUGACGUUAUGCUUGUUGAGUAUAAGGAUGACAUCGGUCAUUUUUAUCAUUAUAUGAUGCAUGUGUUGUUUUGCAUUUCAUGGCAUGCUAUGACACCGGUCAUUUUUAGUUUAAAGUUAAACCUUAAUAUAACUAAACUUGAAUAUACCAUUGACUGGGUCAUGGUGCCGCUGAAUCGAGUUUCUUUCCAGUGCAACCACAUUUGCCUUUGUGGGAAGGCCUUGAUUCGGUCCAUUGACACGGCCUCUGGUCGGUGCCUCCAUCUAGGGAAGGUUAUGUUGUGCUUGCCCUGGCCCGGUAAGCAGACAUAAUCUUGUGUGCUCGUUGAUGAGAUUAUGGUACCGAGUCCCCAAGUGGGAGUGUUUUGACCACGACGGUGGUUGGGGUGUCUUUGGUAGACACGGGGCCACCCAGGACCAGCCUGUUGGGGAUUUGGGUCGGAGUGGCCGGGAGAGUGCUGUGGCAAUGGAGGGGUCUUGUCGGAAUGCCGUUGGUCCACCCGAAUGGGAGUGCGAGGCCAUGGGUUCCGUGGUGUGGGUACAGUGUGCUACCUCUGCAGAGUGUGUAAUCUAUCGAUAGCCGAGUCCACGGUCAUGGACACCUCGUAGUAGGUCCCACCAUGAGUAAACGUUUAAUAAAAAUUGGACACUAAGUUGUGAACUUUGCAUUGUUGAUGGAUGGCAGAAAGGCCAUCGAGGCAUUUGGGACCAAAUGAUGGUCGUGGUUGUGAUCGCCGUAAGGAUCACGAGUUGUUCUUGAGAAAGACCACUUUGGUGGUGUGUUUGUGAUCCAGAGAUGAUCACGAUUGGUAAGCUGUCCCGAGGGACGUUCAAGCAUGACCACAGCAUGUUGACAUACAGUGUUGCAUUUUUAAUAAUUGGUUAAAUAUCAUGAUAUUGUUUGUCAUUACGAUUAUGCCUGUUGUGAGCUUGCAAGUACAUUCAAUGUACUCACUUGGCGUGUCAUGCCAGAUUUCAGGAAAGUAUCGUUGGAGAGGAGCGCUGUUUGAGUCUAGAUCGUGUCCACAUCAGUGUCCCUGUGAUAUGGAGCUUCCACCAUGACGUUAUUCCUCUGCCACGUAGUUGUUCGGAUCGAGGCCCCUUUAUGUUUACUAAAUAAUGUACAUAUUGUUCAGCCGCACCGAGUGUGCCGCUUGGCCUCGACAGAUGUUAUAAUGUAACUAUGUUCCGCUAGCAUCAAUAAAGCGGUUGUUAUUCUGUACCAAGAUGUUGUGUGUUGCCAGAAGACAUGGUCUCUAGGCUGACAAUGCAUGGUAAACCGGUCGCUCUGAGUCGGGGUGCCACACGCCAUGACUGCCCUAAGACGGGCAAAGGCAUGGCAAGUAGAUCUUGAUCUAGAGGACUUAGCGAAUGGCUGCGCCAGUGUGAUAGAAGACGGGUCUCCCUUCAGCGCUGAUGAUUUUACACAAAUAGCAAGGGAAAUGCGUCCAGUAGCAAGCAAGCUGGCCGAAGAAACAGAUCUAUCCAAAUACCAGGCGGCUUAUGAUGCCGAGAACAAGAAGGUGAAAGCGCCGGUUCAUCAAGAAGUGAAUCUUAUCCCGCUGACUUGUAAGCAUACCUUUGCUUCUGAUAUUGAUCCAUCAAGUCUUAUAGACGAUGAGGCUGUGUUUAGAGCUUUGACCGUUAUCAACUCAGCUAUGCAUGACUUCCAGCCAAUGGAUAAUCAAGGAGAUGAAGACAAAGACGCGCAGGAUGACCCGGAGGCUUUGACCCGCCAAGACUAGAAGUCUUAAUUCAUGAGCUGGUUUUUGUGUAUCUCAAAAACACCUUAUUGUUUUGCAGCCAUAUGAUUCCUUGUAAUAGGCUAGUUUGAACAAUCCUGGUCUGUCACGCCAUUGUGCGUGUUUAUUUGCAUAACAUUGCCGAUACAUUAUUCAAAAACCCGCCACUUAUGCUUAUAAUAUCAUCAACUUUGCAAAGCAUGCUUAUCAUUUUUUCCUGCGCAUAAGCAGAUAACAAGUGCCCUGACAGUUUACCCUAGGGCAGGUCACAAUACCCCAUAUAAAAACCACUAAUGACUAAAUAGUCCAUAACCAGGGCCGAUUUAUCAAAAACUCAUACAAUCACAACAAAAAAAUAUCAUACAUGUGAUAUUUGUUCACACUGUCGGCUUAUCAUGCGUCAUGCAAUAAGGGUCACAACCCAAAGAUUGAGAGCACAAUGCCCUGUUCAAUUUAUUCAUACCGCCGGCUUACAAUGCCAUAUGCAGCAAGGAGUAACAUCCCAAAUCUUAGAGACAGUACUCCAAGCACAUAAUCAUAACACACUGGCGACUUAAGGUCCAAAUCCAGGUCCGGUUAAUAAAACGCUGGAUAGAUUCAUAUAUGAACCAUAAGGCAACAUGGCCCUAACCAGUUUUUCAACCAUGUAUCAACAAGGUCCAAAAGAUGAACCUCAAAAACUGUUCAAACCAAACAUAAACCAGAAAACAAGGGAUUCAUAGGCUGCCAAGCCUCAAUGUCAAGUGCUAUUCAAGGGUCACAUAGCCGCUGAGUUAAACCUUAAUUCAAACCCGUAGGUCGGACCUCACAUGACCAAUCGCCGUUUUAACUUUGACAAAUUCAGCAUCUUUAUAAGAUUGAUUUUCAAGAGUACGUCGAGUCAUUCCAGGAUUACCUAGUCGGAGUGGCAGGCAAACAAAGGCAGGAUAACCUGGAUUUUUGGUGAAUACACCUGGCGUCCAAGCCUAUUACAAGGGACAACAAAGCCCUGUUCAUUAAUGAGGAGCCCCCAAGUAAUAUUUCAUUCCAGGUGUAUAAGCUGGAUUAAUAGGGUAGUCAUAGCUAUGCUCAAUGAGUAGGAAGCCCCCAAGUAUUUUGUAAUUAUGGCGUACAAGCCGGAUCAAGAGGGUAGUCAUAGCUACGCUCAAUAAGCAGGAAGCCCCCAAGUGAUCGUAUGAAGGGACAAUAAAGACUCAUAUUCUCAGAAAUGAAACGACGGAGGCCCUGAAUUAUCAGGGAUGCCGGCUUUAUUAUAUUCAUCGUAAUAUAUACAUGGACAAAGUAUGUACAUCACAAGAGCUGGUGGCUCAGGUGUAAUAAGGCCGAAUAUGAGCAAUAUUCCAUGGCUGGUGGGUCUCCUCCUCCGACGUGCGUGAGUCCUUGUGGUCUCGAACAUCGACAAGGUAGUAUGACCCGUUGUUCAGAUUUUUUUCCUGACCACAAAGGGCCCUUCCCAAUGCGAGGAUAGCUUGUGCAUGUCAGUUUGAUCCUGGAUGAGCCGGAGCACCAAAUCUCCUUCUUGAAAGGUCUUGGUUUUAACCCGGAGACUAUGAUAACGACGCAGAUCUUGCUAGUACAUCGCCGAAUGAGCCGCCACAUGGUCACGCUCCUCAUCCAACAGGUCAAGAGCACCUUGAGGUGCUUUUUCAUUAUCAGUUUCAACAUAAUCCGCCACAUGGGGCGAAUCCGUGAUGGAUGUCACUUGGGAGAACCGUCUCUACUCCGUAAACCAUGAAGAAAGGCAUGUAACUCGUAGAUCCAUUGGGGGUAGUAUUGAUACUCAAUAACACUAAGGGUAAUUCCUCCACACUACAACCCUGCGUCCUCUGCAAAGGGACCAUAAGCCGGGGCUUGAUGCCUCUCAAAAUUUCUUGAUUGGUUCUUUCAGCUUGGCCAUUGGACUGGGGGUGAGCCACUGAUGAUACAUCAAGACGAACAUGCCCACAUUGCCAGAAUUCUUUCAUAGCACCCUUGGACAGAUUAGUGCCAUUAUCAGUUAUAAUGUUGUGAGGAAAGCCAAACCAGAAAAUCGCCUUUUUGAUGAACUGAACCGUUGUUGCCGCGUCACACUUACUGACCGGCUCUUCUUCAACCCACUUAGUGAAUUUGUCAACUACCACCUAAAGGUGGGUCUUUUUUAUCUUUGGACCUUUUGAAAGGUCUAGCCAUAUCCAGCCCCCAAACUGCAAAUGGCCAAGUGAUUGGAAUCAUCCUCAAUUCUUGAGCCGACACAUGGGCUCAUUUUGAAAAUUUCUUGCAACCAUCACAUUUACUGACCAAAUCCUCUGCAUCAGCAUGAGCUGUUAGCCAAUAAAACCCAUGACGGAAAUCCUUGGCUGUGAGGGACUUUGAGCCGGCAUGAUGACCACAAUCUCCUUCUUGAAUCUCUUGUAGAAUCUCACGGCCUUCCUCAGGAGAAACACAAUGUUGAAACACCCCUGUGACACUGCAAUGCUGCAAUUCUCCACUGACAAUAGUCAUUGACUUAGACCACCGGGUUAUCUGCCUAGCCAAAGUUUCAUCUUCAGGUAGCUCACCUCGGGACAUAUAAGUCAAAUAUGGAACUGUCCGAUCAGGAAUAACAUGAAGAGCCGCCACCAAUUGCGCCUCCGGGUCAGGAAUAGUAAGAUCCUCCUCCGUAGGCAAUUUGACUGAAGGGUUAUGCAGAAUAUCAAGGAAAAAAUUAGGUGGUACCGGCUUACGCUGGACCCUAGCCGGCUCAAAGCAUCAGCCGCCUCAUUUUUCCUGCGAUCAACAUGUUCCACUUGAUAGCCUUUGAAAUUACCAGCAAUAGCAUCAACCUCCUGGUGGUAAGCCGCCAUGAGUUGGUCUUUUGAAUCCCAAGUGCAUGAGACUUGCUGGGCCACCAAAUCUGAGUCGCCAAAGCACCUCACCUGGCUUAGAUUCACAUUCUUAGCCAUCCGAAGACCAUGGAGCAAGGCUUCAUACUCAGCUGCAUUGUUAGUACAAGGGAACAUCAACCUUAAAACAUAACAAAAUUUAUCACCUCGUGGGGAAGUGAAAACAACUCCAGCCCCGAGCCUUCCAACUGCCUGGAUCCAUCAAAGUGAAUAGACCAAUAUGUGCUAUCCGGCUUCUCUUCGGGCAUCUGCAACUCUUUCCAAUCAUUGAUGAAAUCCACAAGUGCUUGAGACUUGAUGGUUGUGCGAGGCAUAUAUUUCAAACCAUGGGGUCCAAGCUCAAUGGCCCACUUGGCUACCUGACCUGCGGCCUCUCUGUUCUGAAUAAUAUCCCCUAAAGGAGCAGAACUAACCACAGUGAUGGGAUGACCAAGGAAAUAUUGCUUGAGCUUUCGACUAGCCAUGAACACCCCAUAUACCAGCUUCUACCAAUGCGGAUACCUCUGUGUGGAUUGAAUGAGCACCUCACUGAUAUAAUAAUCCGGCCGCUGAACCAGAUGUUCCUUUCCUGCUUCCUUUCAUUCCACCACAAUUGCUACACUAACAGCUCGGCCAUUGGCAGCCACAUAUAACAACAAGGGCUCCUUAACAAUAGGAGCGGCAAGGAUCGAUGGCUCAGAUAACUAUUUCUUCAGGGCUUUAAACGCCUGAUCAGUAACAUCACUCCAUACAAAGUGAUAUGUUUUCUUCAUCAUCUGGUACAGAGUGAUAGCUCUUUCUCCCAACCAGCUUAUGAACCGGCUUAAGGCCGCAAUACGACCCGCCAGACGCUGAACAACAUUAAUGCAUGCCGGUUUAGCCAAAGAAGUAAUAGCCUUGAUUUUCUCCGAGUUAGCUUCAAUGCCUCAUUCAGAAACCAAAAAACCCCAAGAGCUUGCCAGCUGGCACACCAAAAACACACUUGGCCGGGUUAAGCAUCAUCUUGUAGACCCGGAGAUUGUCAAAGAUCUCUUUCAAAUCAUCUAUCAAGGUUUCCUUCAACCUGGAUUUCACAACAAUAUCAUCCACAUAAGCAUGAACAUUACGUCCAAUCUGACCAUGAAGGCAAUUUUGAACACACAGCUGGUAAGUCGCCUGGGCACUCUUGAGCCCAAAAGGCAUAGACACAUAGCAGAAGGCUCCAAAGGGAGUGAUGAAGGCUGUCUUCUCCUGGUCCUUAACUGCCAUCUUGAUCUGAUGAUACCCAAAACAAGCAUCCAAAAAACUCAAACGCUCACAACCCGCCAUAGCAUCAAUAAUCUUAUCAAUAUGAGGGAGAGCGAAAGGAUCAACCGGACAAGCUUUAUUAAGGUCUGUGUAAUCCACACACAUGCGCCAAGUACCAAUUUUGUUAAGCACCAGCACCGGGUUAGCCAACCAUUCAUGAUUAAAAAAUUCAACAAUGAACCCAUCUGCCAAGAGCCAGGCCACUUCUUCACCGAUGGCCUUACGUCUCUCCUCAUUAAAGCGACAAAGGAAUUGCUUGACUGACUUAAACUUUGGAUCAAUAUUGAGAGUGUGCUCAGCGAGUUCCCUCGGUACACCUGGCAUGUCUGAAGGCUUUUGAUAACCCACAAGUAUAGGGGAUCAAUUGUAGCCUCUUUCGAUAAGUAAGAGUGCCAAACCCAACGAGGAGCUAAAGGUAGAACAAAUAUUCCUUCAAGUUCUAUCGACCACCGAUACAACUCUAUGGACGCUUAACGUUCGCUUUACCUAGACCAAGUAUGAAACUAGAAGUACUUUGUAGAUGUAAUAGGAUAGGUUUGCAAGAACCUAAAGAGCAUGUAAAUAAAAACUAGGGGCUGUUUUAGGUAAAGAAGCAAUAAAGUUAGUAUAGCGGGUGUGGAAAAGUGGUGGUAGGAGUUGCGAAAUUGUCCCUAAGCAAUUGACUACUUUACUAGACCGAUAGCAAGAUUUAUGUGGGACAGGCCACUGCUAGCAUGCCAUCACUGACUUGGAAUUCUAUGCACUUAUGAUUGGAACUAUUAGCAAGCAUCCGCAACUACUAAUGUUCAUUAAGGUAAAACACAACCAUAGCAUUAAGAUAUAUUGGUCCCCCUUCAAUCCCAUAUGCAUCAAUUUCUAUGCUAGGUUGAAGCUUCUGUCACUCUUGCCCUCCAAUACAGAGUCCUAUCAACACACAACUAACCCUAUGGUGUGAUCCACGCGCGUGCUCAUAUGAUGAGCACCAAAGGACAACAACAUAACCACAAACAAAUUAAACCAAUCAUAGCAAUUCACCAAUUACUGAUAGGACAACGAACAUCUACUCAGACAUCAUAGGAUGGCAACACAUCAUUGGAUAAUAAUAUGAAGCAUAAAGCACCAUGUUCAAGUAGAGGGUACAGCGGGUUGCGGGAGAGUGGAUCCUUGUAGAUAGAUGGGGGAAGGUGAUGAAGAUGUUGGUGAAGAUGACAGAGGUGUUGGUGUAGAUCGUCGUCACACGAUGAUGGCCCCGGCGGUGUUCUGGCGCCACCGGGAGAGAGGGGGAGAGGGGCCCCCUUCUUCUUCUUCCUUGACCUUCUCCCUAGAUGGGAAAAGGGUUUCCCCUCUGGUCCAUGGCUUCCAUGGCGGUGGAGGGGCGAGAGCCCCUCCGAGAUUGGAUCUGUCUCUCUGUCUCUCUCUAUUUCUGCGUUUCAGAUUCUCGCCUUUCAUCGUUUCUUUUAUUCCCGGAGAUCCGUAACUCCGAUUGGGCUGAAAUUUUAACACAAUUUGUAUCGGAUAUUGGCUUUCUUGCGGCGAAAGAAGGGUACCAACCACCUUACGGGUUGGCCAUAAGGGUUAGGGGCGCGCCCCCCUGCCUCGUGGGCCCCUCAAGCAUCGUCUCGCGUUGAUUUCACUUCCCAAAAUUCACAUAUAUUCUAGAAAAAAUCUCCGUCAAUUUUUAUCCCGUUUGGACUUCGUUUGAUAUGGAUUUUCUGCGAAACAAAAAACAUGCAAUAAACAGGAACUGGCACUGGGCACUGGAUCAAUAUGUUAGUCCCAAAAAUAGUAUAAAAAGUUGCCAAAAGUAUAUGAAAGUUGUAUAAUAUUGGCAUGGAACAAUAAAAAAUUAUAGAUACGACGGAGACAUAUCAGCUUUCAUGCAAAGAUGUACCGGUUCUCAUGGAUGAACUCGAUGAGCGCGCUUCCCUAUUUUGAAACCAGAUUAGCACUGAUACUGAACUGCUUGGAUGAAUCGCGAGGGGCAAAAUCAACCAACUUAGUGUCAUCUACCGAUUUAAACUUCAACAGAGGGUCAUGCUCUAUGGUUGGUUUCUUCAAAGGUAUCAUAUCUACCUGGUCAAGAUUAUCUUUGUAAAACUUCAAUUCUUUCGUUGCACAAACGGACUCAGCAUAAGCAACAUCGCCCUCUUCACACUCCAAGGCUAUCUUCCGGUUCCCAUGCACUGUGAUGGUACCCUUAUAACCCGGCAUCUUAAGGUGCAGAUAAACAUAACAAGGCCUUGCAUGAACUUAGCAUAAGCCGGCCUCCCAAACAAAGCGUGAUAAGGGCUCUUAAUUUUAACCACCUCAAAGGUCUACGUCUCAACUCUAGAAUCAUGAUCAUCACCGAAAGCCACUUCCAAAGCUAUAUUGCACACUGGAUAUGCCGACUUACCAGGCACCACACCAUGAAAAACAGUGUUAGAUAGCUUAAGAUCCUUGUCAGUCAAACUCAUACGACGGAAAGUUUCAUAGUAAAGGAUAUUGAUGCUGCUGCCUCCAUCCAUGAGCACCUUAGUGAACUUGUAACCUCCAACCUGAGGUGCAACCACUAAAGCCAAGUGACCCGGAUUGUCUACCCGGGGCGGGUGAUCCUCACGGCUCCAAAGAAUAGGAUGUUCAGACCAUGGCAAGUAACGGGGAAUCACCGGCUCAACUGCGUUCACCGCCCUUCUAUGAAUAUUCUGGUCUUGUUUACAUAAACUCGUGGUGAACACAUGAUACUGUCCACUAUUCAACUCCUUUGGAUUACUCUGAUAACCAGAUUGCCGCUGCUGAUUCCCUUGACCAGACUACUGAUUAAAACCACAUUGAUUGCCUUGGCCCUGGAAACCAGAGUUUGAACCACCACCACCAAAGCCAUGCCCGUGAGAGCCAGAUCCUAAACCGCCAUUUGGGCCAUGUUUGUCUAUAAAAAAUUGGAAUUCCUAUACUCCCUCAUGAUGAUGCAAUCCUUCCACAGAUGAUUGGUCGGCUUCUCUUGCGUACCAUGCUUUGGACAAGGUUGAUUCAUCAUCGCCUGAAUAUUAAAUUUUGGCCCUCCAAGCCGGGGCGGCUUUCCCUUGCGACGCUGAUUAUUAUUCUUCAUAUUGGUGCUAGCCACAAAAUCUAAAUUACCAUCAGCCUUGUGCUUACCGUUGCCACUUUGACCCGCUAUAUUAUGCUGCUGCCCCUUCGUAUUGCCGCUCUUAUAUCCCUUACCCGCCUUCUCUUCAUCAGAGUCGGGGUCUUUUGUACUAUCAGAGUUGGCAUAUUUGACGAGAGCCGCCAUGAGCUCCCCCAUGUCAUUGCAAUGGCGUUUAAGCCGCCCCAGUUUCUGCUUAAGGGGAAGGAAGCGACAAUUUUUCUCCAACACUAGGACUAUUGAACCGACAUUGAUAGUGUCCGAUGAGUGUAUAACAGCUGAGACCCGGCGCACCCAAUUGGUUGUUGACUCACCCUCACCUUGGACACAAGAAUCCAAAUCCAGGAUCGACAUAGGCUGCUUGCAUGUGUCUUUAAAAUUUUGGAUGAAACGAGUUUUCAACUCCGCCCAUGAUCUAAUGGAGUUAGCGGGCAACCCUUUCAACCAAGUAUGAGCCGGCCCAUCCAACAUCAUGGUGAAAUACUUAGCACAUGCAGCAUCUCCAUGGCCAUGACAUAGCUCUCAAUCCAAGCCUCGGGGGGCUGAUCUGCCGUGUAAUUAGGCACCUUACGAGGACUAAGGGAGUCUUGGAUUAUGGGGUCCCCGGGUGUCCGGGCUAUGUGACAUGGGCCAUACUGAUGGGUCGUGAAGAUACAAGAUAGAAGGCCUUCCCCCGUGUCCGGAUGGGACUCUCCUUUGCGUGGAUGGCAAGCCUAGCAUUCAGAUGUAUUAUUUCCUUUCUCUGUAAACCGACUCCGUACAACCCUAGACCCCUCCAGUGUCUAUAUAAACCAGAGUGUUUAGUCCAUAGAGGCUAAGAAAAAUCACAUAGGCUAGACAUCUAGGGUUUAGCCAUUACAAUCUCGUGGUAGAUCAACUCUUGUAACCCCUAUACUCAUCAUAGUCAAUCAAGCAGGAAGUAGGGUAUUACCUCCAUCACGAGGGCCCGAACCUGGCUAAACACCGUGUCCCCUUGUCUCAUGUUACCUUCGAUCCUCAGACACACAGUUCGGGAUCCCCUACCCGAUAUAGGCCAGUUUUGACACCGACAUUGGUGCUUUCAUUAAGAGUUCCACUGUAUCGUCAACAGAAGGUUCGAUGGCUCGUUCCAUCAUCCACAAUGAUGCCGUUUUCAGGGAAGCUUUCCUCCCCGGCCAGAUUUUUGUGUUCGGCGGCUUCGUUCUGCAUGCCAACUCAAUUGGCCACGUUGAACAGAUUGAUAGCUAUGCCCCCGGCCAUUAGAUCAGUUUCAGGAACCUAAAUUAUAUUUCUGAUAUCCGAGGAGACUUGACAGGGUUCGCGGCCCCGACCACCACUCUGGCCUUAGAUCUGGAGCAAACCGCCAAGUUCGAAGAUGGGAGUUUGGAGCCCACCGGACUCUCCACUGCAAACUGCACUAUCGAAGAUCUGGAGGCGAUUGUGUCCACGGAGAACUCAGAAUCAGAUCGGGUUCGUCCUAUCACUGAAAGGCCGGACUCGCCCCCGAACUCCAUAUCCGAACUCUCGAAGUCCGUGCCAAGCAAGCAUGGCCAGGAGGCCUUCGCCCCGAUCGGCCUCGCGGAAUCUCGUUUCCCCGUCCAAUCCUCGCCCUUAAACGAGGCUCUAGAGUUAAUGCGGUCCCUCGCUAUUACUAAGGAAUCACCUCCGAAAUAUGCCCAGCCCGGAUCAGGGGCUGGGAGCAGGGAAUUUUAUGUCCCACCCGCCACCCACUUCAUAGCCACCGUCGAGGACUUAACUGACAUGCUGGAUUACACCUCCGAAGACAUCGACGGCGUGGACGACGAUGCCAAGGACGAACAAGGCCAAGACCCAUCGUUUACCGGACGAUGGACGGCCACCUCCAGAUACGACGUGUAAAUGGUGGAUACAGCCAAAGAGGAUGAUGGCGAAGGCAGGAAGGAUCCAUUUGAGGACAAACCUGAUGAGGCUCCACCGAAGUGUCGAUGCCAGCAACACCGCUCAAAAUCACGUCGUGGUCAGGACAGGAAUAUCGGCACUGGAGACGAUAACACUCUGGAGGGUUCCGAAGACCCAGAAGCCCCCAUCGAGCCCACAUCCGAACAGGACAAUGUGUAGGAGGGGCAAGUUGACCCCGAUGAUCCGGUCGGGAACGAGGACUCGGAGGAUAGAAACUAUCUUCCGCUCUCCGAAGACGAUGUCAGCCUCGGCAACGAAGAUUUCGUCAUGCUGGAGGAACACCUCGAGUAGGAGCGCUUCAAGCGCCAACUAAUCACCACUACAAGAAGCCUAAAAAUCAGCAGCAAUGGCUCCAAGCUGAACAGGAUACGCUCGACGACAGAUGGACACAGGUCCUAGUUGCCGAAGAAUAUGGCCUACAACGCCCAACAAAGAGCUAUCCGAAGCGUCGGCUACUGCCACAAUUCAACAACGAGGCCUUUGAGCCAAUACCGUCAAAACAUGACCGCGCUGAUGAACCAAACCGGCCACCGCGUGGGCUAGAUAAAGCGGCCACCUACGCCGAACACCAACCUGCACCACCUUGCCAUAAGGGCAGAGAGACAAAGGCUCCAGGAUACACCUACGACCUAUGACAAGACCUGAGUAAUAGAGCAGGACAAACAAGAUCAAUCUAUGGAUCAAGGGGGUGCGCCCCAAUGCGAGAAGACGACCAUCAAGCUUGGCCUGACAGGCAUAACCUCACCAGGGACGAAAAUCGCAUACAGAUGUCAUCCGAACUCCGUCGCGACAUUGCCCGAUACAGAGGCGCUACACCCCCUUAUGCUUUACCAAGGAGGUAAUGCAGUACCAGUUCCCAGAAGGGUUUAAACCCGUAAACAUUGAAUCAUACGACGGCAUGACAGAUCCCGUGGUACGGAUUGAAGAUUUCUUUCUCCAUAUCCUCAUGGCCCGCAGUGGCGAUCUCCAUGCCAUCAAAUACCUUCCCUUGAAACUGAAAGGACCAGCAUGGCGCUGGCUAAACAGCUUCCUAGAGAACUCAAUUGGUAGCUGGGAAGACCUGGAGGACGCCUUUAGAGAAAACUUCCAAGGUACCUAUGUCCGGGCUCCGGAUGCCGAUGACCUCAGUUACAUAGUCCAGCAACCCAGAAAGUCAGCCCGAAAACUCUGGACCAGGUUCUUAAUUAAAAAGAACCAAAUUGUUGAUUGUCCGGAUGCCGAAGCCCUCGUGGACUUUAAACACAGUGUCCGUGACGAGUGGCUUGCCUGACACCUCGGCCAAGAAAAAAUGAAGUCCAUGGUAGCUCUCACCACACUUAUGACCCGCUAUUGCAUGGGAGAAUAUAGCUAACUAGCUCGUAGAAGCAAUAGCACCGGCGACCCUGGCACCUCUGAAGCCAGAGAUGGCAACGGCAGGCCACGGCAAAACAAACACAAGCGUCGAAGCAACAAUGAAGAUACCGAAGACACGGCGGUCAAUGACGGAUUCAAUGGCUCUAAACCCGGUCAGCGAAAGAAGCCAUUCAAAGGAAACAAAGAUGGUUCAUCCAACUUGGACAGAAUACUAGAUCGGCCUUGCCAGAUCCAUGGCACCCCAGACAAGCCUGCCAAUCAUACCAACAAAAAUUGUUGGGUCUUCAAAAAGGCCGGUAAGAUAAAUACCGAACAUAAGGGGAAAGGGCUGCCUAGCGAGUAUGAUGAUGAGCCUCGCCCAACGAACACAGGGGGCAAAAGAAAUCCCCCCCCCCCCCGAGAUAAAAACAGUGAAUAUGAUCUAUGUCACUCAUAUCCCCAAGCGGGAGCGCAAGCGCGCACUAAGGGACGUUUACGCCAUAUAGCCAGUCGCCCCAAAAUUCAACCCAUCACUACUAGGGAAAACCCUAGUAGUAGCACGGGUUUUGAGGCUAUCAGCAGCGCGAGCAGCCACGCUACCAAUAAGGCGCUACAGCUAACUGUUAGUAGUAGUGUUGCCUGUACCCGUGCUACUACUAUUGACUAUAUCAGCAGCGCUUUUCCGGAAAACGCUACUAUUAGUUAGCUGUAGCGAUUUCCUAGCCCCGCGCUAGUGCUAUAUCUUUCAUCAUUUCCAUCAUGUUUCAGCUUCAAUAAACUGCAAUUUCCAAAUACUAGGUACUACUAGAUAUCAAUUUCAUAAAGCAUUAUAGGUACUAGGUAGUAUUCCCUCGAUUCCAAAUUACUCGUCGUGGUUUUAGUUCAAAUUUGAACUAAAACCACGACGAGUAAUUUGGAAUGGAGGGAGUACUAGAUAACAAUUUCAUAUAUACUCAACAUGCAUCCUCAAGCAGUACUAGGUGAUAUCAACGACGAUCAUCAUAUGUACUUCUACAUGAUAUCGACGACAAUCAUCAUAUGUAGUUCUAGAUGAUAUAGCCACACACACAUAUGUAGUUCUAGAUGAUAUCGACGACAAUCAUCAUCCUCAAGCCUAGGCGGUGGGUGUUCCUGAUAGUAAUUAGGAUGGCCUGUCCAACACCAAGAUUCUUGCCAACGAGGAAUCUCUUCCACCCAACCGAGUUUAAGUGUGUGCGACCGUCUGUGUCCAUGCAGUAAGUACAAGUGGUGACGGAUCCCCUUGCGGCAAGGCGAAGUCCAGCUGAGCCUUCUUCAUCAGGCUCGAUACCACAACUCACAGAUAGGUUCUUUGGCAAUUUCUGAAUAAGAAAAACAAAUCAAUUAAUAAAUGGCCUCGCAGAUACUCUUGCAAAUAUAUUUCUAUUAAUUCUAGAUUUCUACACUAUCAAAAGACACAGUAGUACGCAUUUGUACUAAUUAAUAAUGAAUUCUACUAAUAAGUAUAUAUGGAUUAUCUACACUAUUAAUAGUUCCUUGGAUUCUACACUAAUAAGCAUGUGAUCAGACUCUACACUAAAGCAUAUCAUCGACUAGAUUCCACAAAGCAUACCAUUGGACUCUACACUAAGCAUAUCGUCAGAUUCACUAAGCAUAUCAUCUGAUAAUUUGCAUUUGUAAGUAUAAAAAUAAAGCAUAUAUAUAUCAUCAAAUUACUACAGUCAGUAUAACAUACCAUUUCAUGCCGAUCGACCAUGGUACUUGUUAGGCGGGUCACGAAUGGCACCCCGACAAAGUCAUCACGUGGCGGAAUUAUGUCCCAUAGGUUGCACACCUCCUCCUCGCUCAGCCUCAUUCUUUGAGCUACGAUGGCUUCAUGAAGUGGGUUCUCAUCAUCUUCAUAGAGUGGGUCCUCAUUAUCUUCAUCAUCUUCAUCAUCUUCGUCAUCUUCAUCAUCUUCGUCAUCAUCAUCAUCAUCUUCCACCAGGUUGAGAUAAAUGAUAGCCAGCUUGGGUCUUUCUGCUCUAAAGGAGAAGCUGAUCAACUCACCACCAGUAAGGCGCAUGUGGGCGAGGAAACGGGCCCAUCCAUCUACUCCAAUCUGUGACAUAUUGCGUCCUUUCUCGACCUCCAUAGUGUACGGCCCCCAGGAGCCUCAAAUGUCACGGUGUCUCCUGUCCUCACAUUGCAUGGGACGAUCUGUGUAAAAAAAGCAAAAUGACACAAUGCAGUAAUGCCAACACUAAAAAUAAAAUAGUUGUUACAUUUCAUCUAAUUUCUUACCGCCGCAUGACGAAAACUUGGCUGGAAGUAGAUGCCAAACAACUUGCCAGUUGCAAGGCUGUUGGCGCACCUUGACUUGCACAGUCGACUUAGUGGUGGUGGUGGCGCCAUUUUCCUAAAGCAAUAUGAGCAAAGGAUUAACGAUCCACUUCAUAGGAAAGAAAAAUAGUAGCAUGUCAUAUUUUUGGUUCUUCCGCGAGAAGCAAUUUUAUGGACAAUUAUAAUCCUAAGAUCUAGUAACAUAUUAGAUGACAAGGUACCACCUACCAAAGCAUUUCGGUGGCACCUAUUGCCAAAAAAACUUUUCACAAAUAUCUACCAAAUAAGGGUACCACCUACCAAGACAUUUCAUAUAAUUUGGCACCUACAUUUUGCCAAAAAAUAACUUAUUACAAAAAAACAAAAGCAUCUACCUAUCCAUGUACAGAAAAAAUAACAAUAAAAUGGUGCAUACUAAAUCAACUAAAUCAACUAGCCUACUAAAUCCACUAGCAUACUAAAUCAACUAAAUCAACUAGCCUACUAAAUCUACUAAAUCAACUAGCCUACUAAAUCAACUAAAUCAAAAUGUUCUAAAUCAACUAAAUCAAAAUGUUCUAAAUCAACUAAAUCAACUAGCCUACUAAAUCAACUAAAUCAUAUGAACUAAAUCAAAAUGUUGCAUAGGAACUAGCCUACUAAAUCAAAAUGUAGCAGGGAGGAGGUAGAAGGAGGGGCGACUCGAGGAGGGAGAAGAGAGUAGGACGGAGGAGGAAUGCGGAGUGAGGAGGGGCCGGCUGGCGGCGAGUCGAGGGACGACGGAGGAGGAGGGCGGUACCGAGUCCAGCGAGGAGGAGGAGUUGACGGCGGCACAGAGGGAAGAGGGGUAGGCGACGGCGGCUGGCGGGGGCGACGGCGGCCGGCGGGGGAGGACCGGCGCUCGGGGAGGGGGGGUUGAGGGGGAGUGAGUGUGAGUGUGAGUGUGGAUCGAAUAUAGGAGAGCGUGGGGGUGGGAGAUAGCUAGUUUUAGCAGUAGCGCUCUAAAGGCAGAGGCGCUACUGCUAAACUACCUAGCAGUAAUGCGGUCCGAAUUAAUGCACUGCUGCUAGAACUAGCUUCGCGGUGGGGUCGUGGGAAUUAUAGCAGUAGCGCGGCUUAGAGGAGGCGCGCUACUGCUACAUUUAUUUCAACAGCGAGUACUACCGGAGCGCGCUACUGCUACAUUGCAGUAGCGCCUUAUUUUAAAACUUGCUACUGGUAAGAUCCUGUGUAUAAGCUUUUCCCUAGUGGUGCAUGGUCAGCCUGCCCGAUCACUUUUGACCGCAGAGACCAUCCGACCAGUAUCCGUCAUGGGGGUUCGGCAGCAUUGGUCCUCGACCCUAUCAUCGAUGGAUUCCACCUCACAUGAGUCCUCAUGGAUGGCGCCAGUAGUCUUAACCUGCUUUAUCAAGACACUGUCCGUAAAAUGGGUAUUGAUCCCUCAAGGAUCAAGCCCACCAAAACCACCUUAAAGGUGUAAUACCCGGUGUAGAGACCUGCUGCACAGGGUCAAUAACACUGGAGGUAGUCUUCGGCUCACUAGAUAAGUUCCGAAACGAAGAUUUAAUCUUCGACAUCGUCCCCUUCCGCAGUGGUUACCAUGCACUGCUUGGACGAACCAGUUUCACCCGUUUCAAUGAAGUCCCGCACUACGCAUAUCUGAAGCUCAAGAUGCCAGGACCAUGCGGCGGUGUUACAGUCAAUAGAAACAUGGAGAGGUCCAAUGUACUGAGGAGGAUACUGCGGCCCUCGCAGCUGAAGUACAGGGUGGCCUUAUCAAGCCGAAUACUACAUCGGUAGUCAAGCCCCCGGACACUGUCAAAAGAGUCCGGUCCACCUUGCAGAAUGACAGUCUAGCUCAUACAGAGCUAGAUUAGAAAUUCGGCCACCGUCAAAACCCCAACCUGAUCGCGGCAUGCGUACCGCGCGUACAUAACUACGCACUAAAAAUACCAUGGGUAAGGACGGAGGCACACUGAAAACAAAGUCCACAAUAUGGGUCGACCCUAUUCGGACCUUCAUCUUCUUCCUUUUUCCUUCUUUUCAUUUUUCAGGUUCUUUACAACCCAAAUCACUUUUUGAUGGUACUAAGGGCCCUUUUUCAGGCCCCUUAUGUAUCCCCGAUCGACUCAUCCUCUCAAAGGAUCCUACACCAAGGUGAAAAGCGGCGCAGAUGUGCGGUAGAGUGUCCAAAUGAUCUUCAAGACCACCUUUUCCUUUUUUAGGACCUGUGUAGAGCUUUCCCUUGUUCUCAAAUUCUUGGCAUGUAAAAUAUCCUUGAUAAAUAUGGCAUUCUCUGUAAGAGCAUGUUUGAUGUUCCAAUCAGAAUAUAGCGGAAACAGUUUUGUCCUACCUUAUUCGGUAUUGUUCUGUUCCAUAAUUUGUAUUCCAUCUGCACGACUGAUUGACAUAUACACAUUGGCAUCAAUUGCCACGAGCUUUAUUCGGCCAUAAAUAUUCAAAAACAAAAAGUCCAAACGCUUUCAUAGUACACUUUGGUGUCCCGAAUACCGCAUUAUAUGCAUCGGCUCUGAAUCAUGUCUUUGGUCAAUAGUUGGGUUGCCCGGCUCCUGUGGUUACCACCUUAUGUUCCGCUCGUUCGGCUAAGGUAGUAAAGGGAAAACUACUGCAAUUGUGUUUCUGGCUCGUCCGGUCAAACACCUCAGUGGAGAAAGCCGAAUACUGACUGUCAUGAUAUGGCGAGAGCUGGUUAGCGGUUUGGUGACUUAUUAAAAUCUUUCAUGAUUUUUUUUGUAUUAUACGAAGGACUGGCCUCCACCUGGUCAGGUGUCUAAAGCACCCAAGUUUGGAUAGCCGAACAACAACAGGGGCUAAGCCUAUAAUCCCAUUGUCAAAGUCCUAUGGCUCAGUGAAAGUGGUAAAGUCGCAUAAUCUGAUUGCCUAGUUCGCUGCACGAUCACCUCCUUUACGAACCAAGACGUUGGAACAAGUGUGGUCAUGUGCUACUCCGAACACCCCCAUAGUAUCUACGUGGGGGCUGAAGCCCACGACUGGCAAACUUUCAGAUACAAAAAAUGGCCGCACUGGAGGAACAUAUUUUAGAUAAAAGCACAAGUACAUUACAAAGGACUUGUUUCAUAACAAAAAGUCUGGGUAGCCCAGAUACAUUCAUUCAAACAUAAUAUCCUUCAAGCAUCAACACUCUAUCAAACGGGCACCCUCUAAGACGUCCUCGAAGUACCGCCUCGGCUUGCGGUAGUCCUUGCCUUCGGGCGGACCCUCGACUACCACGACGGCGGCCUUCAUCUUCGCCCAGUGCAUCUUGACAUGGGCAAAGGCCAUCCGCGUGCCCUCUAUCCAUGCUGAGCACUUUACAACAUCAACUCGGGGCAAGGAGUCGCCGAGCCGCUUGACCAGGCCAAAAGUAGCUGCUAGGAAUGGGUCCGGCUGGCCAUAGACGGACUAUGAUGUCCUUGAUGGCCAAACCAGAAAUCCUAUGCAGCUCCUCCAGCUGCAUCAUCUGGUUGUUUAGCAGCGUUGGCCGCUCCGGCGCUAGGUACUGCAACAAGAAGAGCUUCUCCAUUGCGUUCCCUUCUUAGGCCCGGAAAUACUGUGCGGCGUCGGUAGCACUCCUUGGGAGAUCCGCAAAGGCGUCUGGAGCACUCCAUAGUCGAUUUAGCAAAGCAUAUCUUCGACCGCCAAAUAUACUCUAUUAAAGAACAGGCUUACCAGCCGCUAUCUAUCCAGCUUGCUUGACCUCCUCGUGGGUCGCCCAAGACUCGGUCUGCGCCUCCUUUGCCUCUUGAAGAGCCUUGGUGAGUUCGGCUGCCUGGGCCUUAUUACUCUCCUCCAAGGCCUCGCACUUGUUGGCGGCAUCCUGGAGCGCCUGAUCCACUUUAGUCACCCGCUCCUGAUACUUAUGGCGGGUGACUUGCUCGGCCUCUAAAUCUGCAGCUGCUUUGUCAGCGGCUACUUGGCUCACGCGUGCCUGCUCCUUGGCUUGGGCAAGGGUGCUCUUCGGAUCCUCGACCUUAGUCACCCUAUCUGUACACAUGAUCAAAAGCACAGGAGAUUAGACGCCGUAUUGACAUAUUCCUUUAAGUAUGUCAAUAUUUUUUUCCAACCAUACCUUGCGUUUCCUCAAACCGCUUGUUGGUGCGGACGAGUUCUGCAUCAGCCCGCUCCAACUUCUUCUUAAGUUCAGACACUUCGGUGGCCUGGGCGGUUGCCGCUAACAGUGAAGCCUACUUAUCAAAAUAGACAAGUAUAUUAUCUCCUGUGAAUAACUAUUUGAUCCUCUGUUCGUCCCUUCUUUGUAAAAGCCGAACAGAGUCUCAGGGGCUACUAUCUAUGCACGGGCAUAUUUUUUGCAUAUAUAAAGCAGCUAAGAAUACUACAUCACAUACCUCGAAGCCUGUUAAUAGACUGGUGAAGGCUUCUUCAGUCCGCUUUUGGCGGAUUGAACCUUCUCAACCACCGUACACAUCAGGGUAUGAUGAUCCUCCACGACGGAAGCACAUCGAAGUGCUUCCAUCAAAAUGUCUGGCGCCUCCGGAUUGAUGGAGGUCGCCAGUGGAGUCGGCACUCCCCCUCCUUCGAAGGGGGUUGCUCAUUCGAUUCUGGAGUUGUAUGGGUCUUCGGAGUGGUAUUCGGCUAGAGACCGGACUGGUCCAGCCCCCCGUCGUCAGUCUCCAUGGGGUUGUACCCCCCAUGUUCUUGGCAGCUGAGGCAUUACCCUCUGGCGCCAUCUUGGCGGCCUUCCGCACUUCUCCCUGGCCCGGAGAAGUCCUUUGGGAUAACACCUCGAUGUCAUCCGUGGCAUGUGGCAGAGAAGCUCGCGGAGGUGUCUCGCUCUCCACCAUCUCCGGCGCCAGAGAGUUCCCCAAAGAUGAUGAUUGUUGGGGGAGACCUCAAGCUGGACUGCAGCAUGAAACUUAAAGGUGUUAAAACUACUAAAAUCAUGAAAGCCGGAUAUGUAUACGGUAUUUUUGGGAACUUAUGAUGCGUCCAGGGACUUCGAGCUGGGGCGCCACUCGGGGAUGGCUUCGGUGUCCGAGUCCGAAUCAUCAGAAUGGGAGAUCUUCCCCUUCUUUGAUGCCUCCGCCUCUAAGUCCACGGAAACCAUCCUUUUCUUCUCCCCCCUUAAGGGGAGAGUUGCUCUCCUCCUCUUCCACUUCGUCUUCAUCUCCCUCGUGGGAGGAGGGAGCUUCGGUAUCUCCAGACACAGUGUCCGAAGUACCUUUAUGGCAAAGGCCACUUUUGGCCUCCUUGCCCUUCUUCUUAGCCUUCUUCUCCGACGCCUGGUACAGUGCCGGGACCAGCACCCUCGUUAGCAGAGGAAUGGCUAGGUCUUCAGGUAGUAGAGCCGGACAUCGGAUCCGCUCCGCCUUCUUUGUCCAGCCCCGAGGGAAGAAUGGAAGGCUCGGCAUACCCCUUGGAUUUACAAGUUGAAGUUAUGUUCAGAAAUCACAAAAUUUACUGGAGUGGUCGGAUGAGCGCAGUCGGGGCCGAUGUCUUCGGUCGUCUCUGGCCACGACUUCGGGGCCUUGAAAAUCAGCUUCCAGAUCUCUUCGUGCGUCGUGCCGAAGAAUCGCUGCAGGGUCCGAGGGCCAGCCGGAUUGAACUCCCACAUGUGGAGAGGCCGGCACUGGUAGGGGAAAAUCUGGCGAAAAAGCAUCGCCUGGAUCACAUCAGCAAGACUGGUGUUCUUCUCCAUCAUAUUCUUGAUGUGCUUCUUUAGCAUCGUCACCUUGUCGGACGAUGCCCAACCGAGGCCCUUGUUAAUUCACGAUGCAAUCCACAAUGUAGGUCUAGAUUUAAAAUCAAGAGUGGCGGCCCAUGUGGUGCUACGAGAUUCCGUGAUGUAGAACCACUCUUGUUGCCAUCCCUUCACGGUCUCCACAAAGGCCCCCUUGGGCCAGGUGACGUUGGGGACCUUGCUCACCAUGGUGCCGCCACAGUCCACAUGUUGCCCCUACCACUUUCGGCUUCACGUUGAAGACCUUAAGCCAUAGGACGAAGUGGGGGAUGCAGAGGAGUGCCUCGCACACGACGAUGAAUGCCGAAAUGUGGAGAAAGGAAUUUGGGGCUAGAUCAUGGAAAUCUAGCCCAUAAUAGAACAUGAGGCCGCGGACGAAAGGGUGGAGGGGAAACCCUAGUCCGUGGAGAAAGUGGGGGAUAAACACCACCCUCUCAUUGGGAUCCGGAGUAGGUAUGAUCUUCUUUUUGGCAGGGAGCCAAUGCACGAUGUUCGCGGCCAAGUACCCCGCUUCCCGGAGUUCCUAGACGUUCCUCUCUGUGAUGGAGGAAGCCAUCCACUUGCCCUACGAGCUGGAUCCAGACAUGGCUGGAGUGUUUGGUGGCGAGAGAAAAGAUUGAAACUUGGGCGCUGGAGCUCGAGGAUGGAAGGGAUGAGGAAGAAGAAGGCGUGAGGUAAAAAGACGGGUCCUUAUCCUCUUAUAAAGGCAAUGAAUAUCAAGCACCCCCUCACAAGCCUUAAAAAUCGCCUAUUCCCAAUGGGUCAUGCGAAUGGCACGGUUGGAUUACCCAAACCCUUAUUGAUGAGAAUCCUGCAAUGAGGGGACACGAUCUCUGCUUUGACAAGACGUAUCAAUGGAGGCCGCACCUCGAAACGCGAAGCGGGAGGCCAAAAGAUGAUUCAAAAUAAUAAUAGGGCCAGACAUAACAUCUCGCCGAAAAAGCUGUCAGUGGACAUAACUUAUUUUUUUAAGUAUUUUGCCCUUGUGGUUGGGGUUGUAACUAUUAUACAGAGCCGGAUUCAGUUCUCUUGUUCAGAAGACUGCUUUGGUGUAUUCGGAGGAGGAACUCGCCUUGCAAUGCUGAAGACAAUCUACGCGCCGGACACAUCGUCAUUGAAGCCUGGUUCAGGGGCUACUGAGGGAGUCCUAGAUUAUGGGGUCCCCGGGCGUCCGAGCUAUGUGACAUGGGUCGGACUGAUGGGUCGUGAAGAUACAAGAUAGAAGGCCUUCCCCCGUGUCCGGAUGGGACUCUCCUUCCCCCGCCUCCCGACAAGCCCUGUCCUGAUCCACCAAAGUCUAGGCUUCGACACCACCGCGCGCCAGGUCAUGCCUAUAAGGCUGGUUAUGGUGUUGCUCACUGCUUGAAACUAUCAGGGAGUCAAUAUGUAUACCAUAACUCUGGCUUGGGCGAGGGGUUGAAUGAAUCCGUUCACGACUAUAUGAAUAAGCCGCCUGCUGGACAAAGCUGUCUGAAGGAGUUCUUUGGCCCUCCUCGUCUCUAUCAUAGCUGGAGACUCACCUUCAACUGGGAGAGCCGCCAAACGUGACGCCGCAGCAAUCAUAUUAUCCAAAGGGUUAGAAUAAUGACCCGACGGUGUAGGAACAUGUUGAGGCGGAGUCAUAUCCAAAUUAGAUGGAUCCACAGUAUGCGGCUGAACCGGUGCUCCAGUCACGGGCGCCUCAACCGCCCGUUCACCGCAGGCAGGUCACUGGUCCCCGCCCCCGGCAUGUUUAAAAGGUUUCUCGCAUCGUACUCUAGAGGUAAGCGACUCUGGUGUCUCCUUAUCAUGAUGGCAUUUGAAGCGUUUUGAUCCAAGGUAAGCCGGAAAGACUCUACCUGAAUCCGUUGUGCCCGAACAUCGAAAGCAGCUCGCUCCGUGGCCAUCCUAGCAUUCUUAGCCGCCAACUCUUCCUUGGCUUGAGUUAUCUCAUCUCAUAACUUCACAACAUCCAUCUUAUGUUGUUCUAGAAUGUCAGGGUCUCCUCCACCCUGAUACGCCUCCAAUGUAUCUAUAAUUUUUUAUUGUUCCAUGUUGUCAUAUUAUCAAUCUUGGAUGUUUUAUAAUCAUUCUAUAGUCAUUUUAUAUCAUAUUUUGGUACUAACCUAUUGACAUAGUGCCAAGUUCCAGUUCCUGUUUUUUCUGUGUUUUUCACAUCGCAGAAAAUCAAUAUCAGACAGAGUCCAAAUGCCAUGAAACUUUAUGGAGAUUUUUUAUGGACUAGAAGGAACAUGUUGGGCCCUGUAUGCACCUGGGGGAGUCCCGAGGAGGGUACAACCCACCAGGGCACGCUAGGAGGCCCAAGCGCGCCCUGGUGGCAUGGAACAAUCAAAAAUUAUAGAUACGACGGAGACGUAUCAGCAUCCCCAAGCUUAAUUCAUGCUCGUCCUCGAGUAGGUAAAUGAUAAAAAAGAUAAUUUUUGAUGUGGAAUGCUACCUAGCAUAAUCUUGAGCACAUAUCUAAUCAUGGCAUGAAUAUUAAGAUACGAGUGAUUCAAAGCAAUAGUCUAUCAUUUGACAUAAAAACAAUAAUACUUCAACCCUACUAAUAAACCAAUCAUGUCUUUUCAAAAUAACAUGGCCAAAGAAAGUUAUCCCUACAAAAUCAUAUGGUUUGGCUAUGCUCCAUCUUCACCACACAAAAUAUUCACAUCAUGCACAACCCCGAUGACAAGCCAAGCAAUUGUUUCGUACUUUUGAUGUUCUCAAACCUUUUCAACGUUCACGCAAUACAUGAGCGUGAGCCAUGGACAUAGCACUAUAGGUGGAACAGAAUAUGAUGGUGGAGAAUACAAAAAGGAGGAGAUAGUCUCACAUCAACUAGGCGUAUCAAUGGGCUAUGGAGAAGCCCAUCAAUAGAUAUCAAUGUGAGUGAGUAGGGAUUGCCAUGCAACGGAUGCACUAGAGCUAUAAGUGUGUGAAAGCUCAAACAGAAAACUAAGUUGGUGUGCAUCCAACUUGUUUGCUCAUGAAGGCCUCGGGCAUUUGAGGAAGCCCAUCAUCGGAAUAUACAAGCCAAGUUCUAUAAUGAAAAUUCCCACUAGUAUAUGAAAGUGAUAGCUCAAGAGACUCUCUUUAUAUGGAGAACAUGGUGCUACUCUGAAGCACAAGUGUGGUAAAAGGAUAGUAACAUUACCCCUUCUCUCUUUUUCUCUCAUUUUUUUGUUUUUUUGUUUUUUUUGUUUUUUUGGUGGGCUUCUUUGGCCUCUUUUUUUUAUUUGGGCUUCUUUGGCCUCUUUUAUUUUUAAAGUCUGGAGUCUCAUUCCAACUUGUGGGGGAAUCAUAGUCUCCAUCAUCCUUUCCUCACUGGGGCAAUGCUAUAAUAAUGAUGAUCAUCACACUUUUAUUUACUUACAACUCAAUAUUACAACUCGAUACUAGAACAAAGAUAUGGGGGAAUCAUAGUGUACCGGGAUGUGCAAUGAUCUAGCAUAGCAAUGACAUAAAAAACGUACAAGCCAUGAAAACAUCAUGCUAGCUAUCUUACGAUCAUGCAAAGCAAUAUGACAAUGAAUGCUCAAGGCAUGUAUAUGAUGAUGAUGGAAGUUGUAUGGCAACAUAUCUCAGAAUGGCUAUGGAAAUGCCAUGAUAGGUAGGUAUGGUGUCUGUUUUGAGGAAGGUAUAUGGUGGGUUUAAGGUACCGGCGAAAGUUGCGUGAUACUAGAGAGGCUAGCAAUGAUGGAAGGGUGAGAGUGCGUAUAAUCCAUGGACUCAACAUUAGUCAUAAACAACUCACAUUCUUAUUGCAAAAGUCUAUUAGUCAUCGAAACAAAGUACUACGCGCAUGCUCCUAGGGGGAUAGAUUGGUAGGAAAUACCAUCGCUCGUCCCCGACCACCACUCAUAAGGAAGACAAUCAAUAAAUAAAUCAUGCUUCGACACAUAACGGUUCACCGUACGUGCAUGCUACGGGAAUCACAAACCUCAACACAAGUAUUUCUACUAAUCCACAACUACCUACUAGCAUGACUCUAAUACCACCAUCGUUAUAUCGCAAAACUAUUGCAAGGAAUCAAACAUAUCAUAUUCAGUGAUCUACAAGUUUUAUGUAGGAUUUUAUGACUAACCAUGUGAAUGACCAGUUCUUGUCAUCUCUCUAAAUAGAUAUAAGUGAAGCAAGAGAGUUUAAUUCUUUCUACAAAAGAUAUGACCAUGCUCUAACAAAUAUAAGUGAAGCAAAAGAGCAUUCUAUAAAUGGCUGUUUUCUAUGUAAAGGGAAACAGGCAAUCCAAACUUCAAAUGAAAUAAGUGAAGCACAUGAAGCAUUCUAUAAAGCCAUACUCAAAAGAUAUAAGUGAAGUGCAUAGAGCAUUCUAUAAAUCAAUGAAGGACUAUCUCAUACCAGCAUGGUGCAUAAAAUAAAGAUGAAAACUAAAUGCAAAAGACGCUCCAAGAUUGCACAUAUCGCAUGAACGAAACGAAUCCGAAAACAUACCGAUACUUGUUGAAGAAAGAGGGGAUGCCUUCCGGGGCAUCCCCAAGCUUAGACGCUUGAGUCUCCUUGAAUAUUUACUUGGUCUGCCUCAGGCAUCCCCAAGCUCUACCUCUUGCCUCUCUUCCUUCUUCUCACAUCGAGACCUUCUCGAUCAUCGAACACUUCAUCCACACAAAACUUCAAGAGAAAACUCGGUAAGAUCCGUUAGUAUAAUAAAGCAAAUCACUACUCUAAGUACUGUUGGAAACCAACUCAUAUUUUGUUUUUGCAUUGUGUCUACUGUAAUAUAACUUCUUCAUGGCUUAAUCCAUUGAUAUGAAUCGAUAGUUUCAUCAAAACAAGCAAACUAUGCAUCAAAAACAGAAUCUGUCUAAAACAGAACAAUCUGUAAUAAUAUGAACAUUUUACCAUACUUAUGAUACUUGAAAAUUCUACAAAAAUUAGGAAAAAUAAAAAAUUCACAUAGAAAGACAUUUCAAAAAGAAUCAGAACUAUUUAAUGUUCCAGUAAAAAAAUGUAAAAUCGUGCACUACAGCCAAAGUUUCUGUCCUGCACCGCACAAACUGACAAGCAUUGUAAACAUCCUAAAGGCAAACCUUGGAACGUUAUUUUUAUAAUACAAUGGAAUUGUACGAGGGGAUAAUUAUUUUUGUUGAAAAGUUUCUGUAAUCAAGAUUCACAAAGUUUCCGUGAGCAUGAACAAAGUUCAAGGCUAGCUCCCACUUCAACAAUGAUUGUGUCUCUCACUUUCGCUUUUCUUUUUGAAAAAGUUUUGGGUUCCCCUCUUUAUUUUAUUUUGUUUUUAAACUAUAUAAAGGCACUCAACAGAAAUAAAUGACUCUCUAAAACUUCCGGGUUGUCUCCCUGGCAGUGCUUUCUUUAAAGCCAUUAAGCUAGGCAUAUAGUGCUCAAUUAGUGAAUCCACCCGGAUCCCAAGGUAUAUCAAAGCCAAUUUUAAUUGCAAUGAUUUGUAAUUUAGUAGUGAGCACAAAGCAACAUAUAUCAUGUAAUGACGAAGUCUAACUCUCUUCCUAUGCAUCGGCAUGUCAUAAAAGAACAAUUCAUGCACACAUAGUAAAGGCCAAUGCAUAGUAUAAACAGUUUCUUGCAAUUUUAUCAUGUGGGAAACAUAGAGAGGUGGAGAUAUAAUUCCUCUGUCAUAAUAAUUGCAAGUAGGAUCAGCAAGCACAUGCAUAUUAUAUUCAUCAAAAUCAUCAUGUGCAACGGUAUAAGGCAACCCAUCAAUAUAAUCCUUAAUAAGGGUAAACUUAUCCGAUAUAGUGUAGUUGGGAGAAUUCAAAAAGAUAAUAGGACUAUCAUGCGUGGGUGCAAUAGCAACAAUUUCAUGUUUAACAUAAGGAACUAUAGCAAGUUCAUCUCCAUAAGCAUAAUUCAUAUCAGCAUCUUGGCCACAAGCAUAGCAAGCAUCAUCAAAAAGGGAUAUUUCAAAAGAAUCAACGGGAUCAUAGCAAUUAUCAUAGCAUUCAUCCUUCGGUAAGCAUGAAGGGGAAUUAAACAAUGUAUGAGUUGAAGAGUUACUCUCAUUAGAAGGUGGGAACGGGUGAUCAAUCUGCUCUUCCUCCUUUUGUUCUUCGCUCUCCUCCUCAUCUUUUUCAUCCAAUGAGCUCACAGUUUCAUCAACUUCUUCUUCCAUAGAUUCCUGCAAAAUAUUAGUCUCUUCUUGGACAGUGGAGACUUUCUCAAUAAGCGCAUUAAUAUAGGAAUUAUAUUCAUAAUUAUCAUAGAAAUAUUUUAGGAUAGCUAAAUUUUUAGGCCUAUAAACAUCAUCAUCAAAAGCUUCAUACUUUUCAAACAAAGAUUCAAUUUCAUAAGCACCCUUAAAAGCAACAAAUUCUUCUAUUUGUUCCACAUCAUAGUAAUCAUAUAUACCAUUAGCAUAAGAAGCUAAGGUUUCAUUAUCAUUAAAUUUGCAUGAAAAGGGAAGGUGUGGAGCCUUCAUCCUAGAGCAACAAGUGUAAUCAUAACUCAAGCAUACUUGCCGAGCAUACCACUUCAAUAUAUAAAUUUGAUCCCAUAAUAGUUUCCCUUUUUGUGUCAAGCGAUAAUCCCUAAAGUAUUCAUGUUGAUCCAACGUUACUCCCAUUACCACAUUGAAUGGGGUUUUCUCAGGAUUAUCAAAGUAGUACAUAAUUUCUAUCACAUAAUGAGUAUCGAGGGUUUUAGGAGGUUCCUCAUCUCCAUGAGUAGCAAGUACACCUAAUUUUUUGGUAUUUCGUGUUCCAUAUCCAUAACUAAAGAUAGAGAACAACUAAGAACAGCAAAUAAAAAUUACUUAGUGAUAAAGCAAACAAGCACACACGAGAAUAUUCACCCCACGCUAUUACUCCCUAGCAAUGGCGCCAAAAAAGGUCUUGAUAACCCACAAGUAUAGGGGAUCGCAACAAUUUUCGAUAAGUAAGAGUGUCGAACCCAAUGAGGAGCUAAAGGUAGAACAAAUAUUCCCUCAAGUUCUAUCGACCACCGAUACAACUCUACGCAUGCUUGAUGUUCGCUUUACCUAGAACAAGUAUGAAACUAGAAGUACUUUCUAGGUGUUGUUGGAUAGGUUUGCAAGAUAACAAAGAGCGCGUAAAUAAAAGCUAAGGGAUGUUGUAAGUAAAGAAGCAAUAAAGUAAAUAUAGCGAGUGUGGAAAAGUGGUGGUAGGAGUUGCGAAAUUGUCCCUAAGCAAUUGACUACUUUACUAGACCGAUAGCAAGUAUUAUGUGGGAGAGGCCACUGCUAGCAUGUCAUCCCUGACUUGGAAUUCUAUGCACUUAUGAUUGGAACUAUUAGCAAGUGUCCGCAACUACUAACGUUCAUUAAGGUAAAACCUAACCAUAGCAUUAAGAUAUAUUGGUCCGCCUUCAAUCCCGUAUGCAUCAAUUUCUAUGCUAGGUUGAAGCUUCUGUCACUCUUGCCCUCCAAUACAUAGUCCUAUCAACAUACAACUAACCCUAUGGUGUGAUCCACGCGCAUGCUCAUAUGAUGGGCACCAAAGGACAGCAACAUAACCACAAGCAAAUUAAAUCAAUCAUAGCAAUUCAUCAACCACCGAUAGGACAACGAAAAUCUACUCAGACAUCAUAGGAUGGAACACAUCACUGGAUAAUAAUAUGAAGCAUAAAGCACCAUGUUCAAGUAGAGGGCCCAGCGGGUUGUGGGAGAGUGGACCACUGUAGAUAGAGGGGGGAAGGUGAUGGAGAUGUUGGUGAAGAUGGCGGAGGUGUUGGUGUAGAUCGCGGUGAUGAUGAUGAUGGCCACAGCAUCAUUUCGGCGCCACCGAAAGAGAAGGGGAGAGGGGGCCCCUUCGUCUUCUUCUUCCUUGACCUCCUCCCUAGAUGGGAGAAGGGUUUCCCCUCUGGUCUUUGGCCUCCAUGGUAUGGGAGGGGCGAGAGCCCCUCCGAGAUUGGAUCUGUCUCUCUGUUUCUGCGUUCUCUGUUGCUGCCCUUUCACCGUUUCGUAUAUAUAUGGAGAUCUGUAACUCCGAUUGGACCGAAACCUUCGCCGUGUUUUUUUACCAAAAAUUAGCUUUCUUGUGGCCGAAGAAGGGCAUCAACCGCCUUACGGGUGGACCACGAGGGUCAGGGGCGCGCCCAGGGGGUGGGGCACGCCCCCUGCCUCGUCCCACCUCGGACACCGUUUCGCGUUGAUCUUUCUCCCAGAUUUUCCAAAUAUUCCAAAAAUAAGCUCCGUCCGUUUUUAUCCCGUUUGGACUCUGUUUGAUAUGGAUAUUCUGCAAUACAUAAAACAUGCAACAAACAGGAGCUGGCACUGGGCACUGGAUCAAUAUGUUAGUCUCAAAAAUAAUAUAAAAAGUUUCCAAAAGUAUAUGAAAGUUGUAGAAUAUUGACAUGGAACAAUCAAAAAUUAUAGAUAGGACUGAGACAUAUCAACAACACAAUGGAAAUGGUCAGCCAGAUCAAAGGUGUGCGUGAUAUACGGCAUGCGGUUCACUCGGAUGAACUGUUUGCGUUGAGACAUGAGAACAGAAAUGGUUCAAAUGAACAAGAUGUGUGUGAUACGCGGCAAACAGGUCUGUAAUCAAAAAUGUGUGUGAAUACCGAUAAUUACACAAACGAUUACUGCUAAUAAGACAUGUGUGUUGUGCGAUGGGAUCGCAUACAGAACAACAACAUAUAUAUACACACACUUAUAAGGACAUGCUUGCAUAACCAAAUUAAACAUCCACUUACAUAGGUGGCUACUACAACCAUGGCAUUUGCACACACCAAAGUAAACUAUUACAUGCAUAAUUACAUAGGUGGCUACUACACACAUGACAUUUCCACACACCAACAAUAAAGUAACCUAUAUAUUACAUGCAUGAUUAACUAGCAUAAACAUUCAUCUGAUCAUCAUCUACUUCUUGUGACGCUUGCUCUGCUUGUGGCUCGAUCCGGGCUUGUCGAUUUUGGUAAUGAGGCACUUCCUCAUGUCAACGAUCCGCAUGUGCCUGUCGUAACAUGUUUACACGCUCUUGGCCGCAAACCUGAGGUGAGGUUCAUCUAGUUGCCGCAUCCAGGCCCCAUGCCAGGAUACCAGACUUGUUCUCUGGGCAUCCUGCUUCAUCUUUUCGUAGUAGGGGUCAAUGAUGGCCAAGGCGAGUUCGACCAGGGAGUCCUUCCUCAUGUUACCCCAGACCCUGUAGUGGUCAUGAAUUUCGACAAGGUUCUUGCAGGCCAAGCCCAUAACACUAAGCACUUUUACAUCGUUGGUGGUUUCCACCGUGGCGAACUAGUAGUCAGUGUUGUUGACAAACCUAAUGAGACGGUCGCAAGGCUCUGUGGCCAUGCAGUAGUGGUAGAUGAGGACAUGAUGGCACAUGCACAACUAGGUGACGGCAACCUUCUGAUCUAUGCCGAGAUGACCGGCGGUGUACUGGAGGUCGAUGCCGACCACCUUGUACUUGUCUCCAGCAAGCAACUGCUCAACGUUGUUGAUGUAGUCGUCCACCACGGCCGGGUCGAUGGUGUACACCACCGAGAGAUCCGUCUCCCUCGCGUGGGUCUCCACUCUAUGCUCGAUGAACUCCAUUGGAGUGUCGCUGGACAUCCCCUCUCAAUGUGUCGUUGUGGGUGUGCUUGUUGUGUUGUGGGGCGCGAUCGAAAGGUUGAAGAGACUAAGGUUAUAAUGGCCGCGGGAAUUAAAGAGGAAGCCGGAUGGCCAAGAAUAUCGGCAGGCCCUGAUGGCAGUUCUAAUUUGCAGCACGUAACUCCAUCGUGCCACACGUAACUGCAUCACGUGGCAACGCGCGCGGUGCAACCGCAUGCAUGCGGAGCCCUCGAUGUGAUCAUGCGCACGCCCAGCCGUUGGCAGAGAGCCUCGGAGGGAUGCGAGCAGAGCGCUCCGCAUAUAUCAGUUGAACACGCCAGGAAAAGCUGUCCACAAGCCGAGCGUGUCGACGGAUGCAAGCAGAGCGCGCCAACGGACGGGAGCAGAGCAUGCCGCGGCGCCUAACGGCGGGAUAGACCUUCAUUCAAGCCAAUGAAAAUAAGACUGGAAUGGACAUGUCUGUAUUGAGCAAAGGGAUCGCACAUGUCUAUAUUGGCUGGAACGAGAAUGCAAUAGCAAAAUAAGAAUUAAGGCCACGAUGCUGCGAUCAUAGUGGUGGUUAUAGGAGGCGUGAAGGAAGAUGCAUCCAUCAAUGUACGACCUCCUCCUCCUCAACUUAGUGCGCCGACCGGGCUACCGACCGGCGGCUAAGGAGCGGCGGCUUUUGUGGCGAGGUCAAGGUGCUUCUCAACAAAUGCAUCCAAGGCUUCCAGCUGGAUGAAGAAGGCCAACGUCGUAGCGUCCUCACUGGCCUGGUAGAUACCUAUGUACACGAUUUGCUCAUACACAUAGAUGUGUAGGUCGACGGUUUCUUGUAGGGCGAGGCGCCUCACGGCGAGCGCGACCUCCAGGUGGACAUUCUUCGUGGUGCUGACGGACAGUUGCAGGGCCACCAGUGCUUGAAAGAGGUUCCGACCAGGGAGGCCGAUUAGGGUGGCAGGCAAUGAGGAGCCUGGGCGCGCGGGCUAGGGGAGUACGGCGAUGUUGUCCGUGAGCUUCUUGACAACGACAAACCUGUUCGUGAUGUGAAUGAUCGUCUGGUCCAACUAAGAGUCCUAGCUGGCAUCAACGGCGGCCAUCCACCAGCCGGUCGCCAACACCAUAUGGAGAUGAUCCACGGUGCCAUGCCACAGGCCGGCAUCAUGGACCAUCUGGCACAGCCGCUGGCUGCUUGCGUGCAUCGCCGCCAUGGGUCUGGAGUGGGCACUUUUGCGCUUAUUAGUGUAGGUGCUUAUGAAAAUUCUUAGGUGUGUACGAUGUGGUAGAUGCAUUGGAAUGGAGGGGCGCCUUUAUAUGAGUGCAAACUGCGUUGCAUUCACAUCGUGUUGCCUCUCUUUUCCCGGUCCUCCCAUUACUUCCAUCAUGCAUUCACACGAUGCUAAUUGAAGGAGGAUGCAUCAUUGGCCAUUCAACAUUUCGGGAACAGCUGCCCUCUCCCUCGUCUGCAUUAAAGCCGUAUCGAGAACUGCGUCGCCCGCUGUCAAAUCGAAUAGUACUGCGCCGCCCGUUGCACGCCUGGCUGAACACGCCUCCUCCCCUACAUCUAUGCUUAAUUACUGAAUUUUAGUUGCAAAAAUUAGAACUGCUAGUGAUUUUUAGCUUCAUAUUUUGACAAAUCGCGGUGUUACAAGGUUGGCAAAUGGCAAUGUUACUAGAUCAAUAAAUGUCAAUCUUUCUAGUUUGACAAAUGGAAACAUACCUGAAAGUGCAACUAUCCCUGGGUGGUUUUGGUAAUUCCUAACAACAUAUAGUUCAUUGAGCUAAUGCUACUUAAAGAUAAACAUUUCAGGGAAGCUCAGUGAUUGGCAUGGCAUGGAUGAGAAAACUGGAUCCCUCAAAAUUCUAAGGACAAAGGAUUGGCUCAAGCUCAAAGCUGAGGACUCUACAUUUUUCAUUUUAAGUGGUCCAAGAUCACAUUGAGUCCAUAGGAAAAGCCAAUACUAUUAAGAGGGUAUGAGGUGUUGCCUAAUGGCUUUCUUGCUCAAAGUGCUUAGUGAUAUGCUCCAAAAACCCUCAACUACUUUCUCAUAUCCACAUAUGUCUCAAACCAAAAGUCAACUCGGCCCCACCGAAACUUACUAUCCGGCGCCACCGAGUUCAAUUGACAUAGCCACUGCUAGAAACCCUAGUAUUUUCGGUCUCACCAAUAGGGAUCUCGGUCUCACCAAGAUGGGAUUGUAAUCUCUUUGUUUCCCUUUGUAACAUUUCAGUUAAACCGAGAUUAGCGAUCGAUCCCACCGAGAUUGCAAUGCAAACUCUCUGUUCCCCUUUCGUAACGUUUUGGUCCAGCCGAGAUGAGCGAGUCGGUCCCACCGAGUUGACAUUACCAACUCUCUCUGUUCACUGCCUGACCAACACUCUGUUAGUCCAUUACCAAAAUCGGUCUCACCGAGUUUGUGUAAUCGGUCUCACCGAGAUUACGUUAUGCCCUAACCCUAACAAAAUCGGUCCCACCGAGUUGACAUGUUGGUCCCACCGAGAAUCCUAACGUUCACAUUUUGAACUAAAUCGAUCUGACCGAGUUUCAUGAUUCGGUCCCACCGAGUUUGGUGAUUUGUGUGUAACAGUUAGAUUUUGUGUGGAGGCUAUUUAUACCCCCUCCACCCACUCUUCAUUUAUGGAGAGAGCCAUCAGAACAUUCCUACACUUCCAACAUACAUUUUCUGAGAGAUAACCACCUACACUUGUGUUGAGGUCAAGAUAUCCCACUCCAACCACAUAAAUCUUGAUCUCUAGCCUUCCCCAAGUUGCUUUCCACUCAAAUCAUCUUUCCACCAAAUCCAAAUCAUGUGAGAGAGAGUUGAGUGAUGGGGAGACUAUCAUUUGAAGCACAAGAGCAAGGAGUUCAUCAUCAACACACCAUUUGUUACCUCUUGGAGAGUGGUGUCUCCUAUAUUGGUUAGGUGUCACUUGGGAGCCUCCGUCAAGAUUGUGGAGUUGAACCAAGGAGUUUGUAAGGGCAAGGAGAUCUCCUACUUCAUGAAGAUCUACCCGAGUUGGGCAAGCCCUUCAUGGGCAACGGCCAUGGUGGGAUAGACAAGGUUGCUUCUGCGUGGACCCUUCGUGGGUGGAGCCCUCCGUGGACUCAUGCAACUGUUACCCUUCAUGGGUUGAAGUCUCCAUCAACGUGGAUGUACGAUAGCACCACCUAUCGGAACCACGCCAAAAAUCUCCAUGUCUCAAAUUGCAUUUGCACACUCCAAACUCCUCCCUUUACCUUCAUAUGCAAUUGUUUUACUUUCCGCUGCUAUACUCUUAGAAUUGCAUGUGUAGGUUGAUUGCUUGACUUGUGCUAAGUUGCUAAAAUCUCCCAAGAACUAAAAUUGGGAAAAGGCUAGAUUUUUAUUUGGUCAAGUAGUCUAAUCACCCCCCCCUCUAGACAUACUUUCGAUCCUACAAGUGGUAUCAGAGCUUUGGUCUCCAUUUGCUUUGAUUUCCAUAGCUUUUGGUGGUCAUAGCCUUGGUUUUACAACCUAGGAGAGUAUGGUGUCUAGUGAGAGAAAUUACCACCAUAGAGGUCCUUACUUUGAUGGUACAAAUUUUGCUAGUUGGAAGCAUAAGAUGAAAGUGCAUAUUCUUGGACAUAACCCCGCCGUUUGGGCUAUUGUGCGUAUUGGCUUGCAAGGUGAAUUCUUCGAUGGGAGAGAACCAAACUGUGAAGCUACCACGGAAGAGUAGAAGAUGCUACAAUACAAUGCUCAAGCUUGUGAUGUUCUCUUCAACGGAUUAUGCCCCGAAGAAUUCAACAAAAUCAGCCGUCUUGAGAAUGCAAAGGAAAUUUGGGAUACUUUGAUUGAUAUGCAUGAAGGUACCGAAUAUGUCAAGGAAUCCAAAUUGGACGUGCUUCAAAGUCAGCUUGACAAGUUCAAAAUGAAGGAUGGUGAAGGUGUCGCUGAAAUGUACUCUAGGCUUGCUCUCAUCACAAAUGAGAUUGUCGGCUUAGGAAGUGAAGAGAUGACUGAUAGAUUCAUCAUCAAGAAGAUCCUAAGAGCGUUGGAUGGAAAAUAUGAUACCAUGUGCACAUUGAUCCAAAUGAUGCCCAAUUACAACGAUCUCAAGCCAACGGAAGUUAUUGGAAGAAUUGUUGCUCAUGAGAUGUCACUCAAGGAUAAGGAAGAGCUUUACAACAAGUCAAGUGGUGCUUACAAAGCCUCGUGUGAUGCUCCCACAUCAUCAAGUGAGGAGCAAAACUUGAAUGAAGAAUUGAGUCUAAUGGUGAAGAACUUCAACAAGUUCUACAAGAGUAGAAGCAAGGAAAGAAGUUCCAAGUCAAGGUCCUACAAUGACAAAAGAUCUUCUAGUCAUGAGCGCAAUUGCUACAAUUGUGGAAGACCCGGAUACUAUUCCAAUGAGUGUACGGCUCCCUACAAAAGAAGAGAAAAUUCUCCCUACAAAAGAAGAAGUAGAAGAGAAGAAUCACCAUCAAGAGAGAGAAGGAGUAGAGACGAUCAUUAUGAACGAAGACCCUCUCGGAGAAGCAAGGAUUUGGAAAGGAAGGACAAGUCAUCAAGGAGCUACACAAAAAAGAAGACAUCAAGCUCAUGUUGGUGAAUGGGUAUCCGGUUCCGACUCCGACAAUCACUCCGAAAGAAGUUAUCACUCCGACUUUGAAUAUACUCAAGAUGAAGGUGUUGCCGGACUAGCACUUGUGACAACCAACUCCUUUGACAUAUUUGACUCACCAAAUGAAGGAAUUGGGAGAUGCUUCAUGGCUAAAGGUCCAAAGGUAACACACCCCGAGUAUGUUGAUUUCAAUAGUGAUGAAGAUGAUUUGCUAGGAUAUGAUGAUUUACUUUUUGACAACUCUAGUUAUGAAAACUAUGAUGAGCUUGCUAUUAAUCAUGAUAAUCAAGAUAAAAUGUAUGAUGAUGAUAAGAAGGAGAUUGAGCACCUAACUAAAUAACUAAACACUCUUAAGUUAGCUCAUGAAACUACCUUGGAAGAUCAUCGACAACUUUUAAAGACUCAUGAUAAGCUACGCUUUGAAAAGCUCAACCUUGAGCAAGAACAUGAGUUUUUAAAGGCAAUCAAUGAUGAUCUUCACAAGAAAAGCUCUUCUUAUAUUGCCAAGUGUUUACUCUUGUCUACUUACAUGCCACAAGUUAAAUCUAGCAACAAGAACAAGAAAGAUUCUUCAUCUAAUAGUAAAAACAAUCAUGCUAAAUCCAAUGUUGUUGCUUCUAGUAGCUCUCUUGAUUCCACUAAUGAUUCUCUUAGCCAAGUUACACUUGAGCAAGAAAAUAGCUUAUUGAAGGAAAUUAUAGAGAAAGGUGUUUACAAGAGCCUUGCCGGAAGUAAGCAAUUUGAGGAAAUUGUAGGGAAGAAAGGAAGACACCGGAAGAACCAAGGUGUUGGUUUUGAAUGAAAGUUCAAUGCCAAUGUAGUUGAGUGGGAAGAAGAUCAAUACCCCAAGAUGAAGUUUGUUCCUCAACAAGAGAAAUAUGAUCCUACUUCUUUCAAAGGAACACAAUCUCAAGAUUAUCUUCCACUACAAUACCACAAGCUAAAUGGCAAGGAUAAGCUUCAAGAGGAUAUUGAUGCAUUCGAGGAAGCACCUGAGGCCUUGGUCAAGUGGGUUCCCAAGACUACAUCAAGUUCUACUUCAUCAAGUACGACUACAACUCCAAGGAUUCCCAUCAAGAUGGUGUGGAUCCCGACGAAUAAGAACUAGAGAGUUCUUGAGGGUGACUCCGCCAACAUACUUCACUCAUAUCAUUUUGGCGAGGACAAGUGCAAACAACUUCCAUAUCUUGCACUAGUUCAAGGAGUCACAAACCCUCUUGUUGGUAAGAGAAGGGACAAGGUAACCUGAUGCUUCCAUGGACAUCAUCUCAUGUGAAUAUCACUCUAUGUCUAUGGAUAUCCUUGUUUGUUCCUUGUGGGGCUAACCCAUGUAGGUAUUGAAAGUGCAACUCACUCCAAAGGAUUGCUCCGAAUGAUCUACAUCAACAUUGAGCAUCCACAUCUUCAACACCUACAUGAAGUCAUCAUCGACAAAACCCAAGGUUAGUUGAUCCCUCUUUGGGGGGAUAUCACAUCUAAGGGGAGCUUUACUCUAAUCAAUUGAGCUAAAGCAACUCUAAUGGUGUGAACACAACAAUGCUUUAUGUAAAAGUGGUAACCCAACUUGUGCUUAAACGAUGAGUAUGACCUAUGAUCAAAUGUUCCCAUUUGACUCAUAAGUCAAUAUACUCAUAUACAGAUGACCUAGUCAUCGCCAAUUGCUUGAUAGAUGCUAGAGUGUUUGUGCAUGCUCCAUCACAUAUUUCUUUUGACAUCUUAUUGUGUGAGCAUGUCGGUUGCAUAUUUUUCUCAUCCGAGGACAUCCAUUUGUUGCUUUGAUUGUUUGGCUUUUUCUCUUUUGCCAAAUGGAUGAACAAGAAUGCCUAAGAACUCCCUCUAGCUAUCUAUGCUUUUCUCGUCUCAAACUCUAUUCAUGCUACAUCACAAAGUUUCAUAAAGUCAGAUUCGAACCACUCUGUGUGAGGAGCACUCGGAGUUCCCGAUUGGUCAUAGAAUUAAACUUCCAAAACCUCUUUGUGCAUUUCGGUCUGACCGAUUCAUCCUUUUCGGUCCUACCAAGAUCACUUAGUUGAUCUAGGUUUUCAAUCUCGGUGCAACCGAUUCGAACCUUUCGGUCACACCGAGUUGCAAUAGCUGCCUGCAGUUUUGCAUCUCGGUGCCACCGAGUUGUUCCACUCGGUCACACCGACAGGGUCAGGUUAUAUAUACCAACGGGUCAAAUUUUGGAAAAUUUUCCGAAAACACUUCGCCCGCGCAUAACCUACUCUGCCUCCUCGGGACUCCAGAUCAUCCUCCCAUCGCCAGCGACCUCCCGCCGCUGGUCUCCACCGCUGUCAAUGACAACCUGCCCCGCCGUUGCCACCAUAGCAAGUUCGCCGCCGAACUAGGGUAUGAACUUGAUAUUUGUGCUAAUCCAUAACUCUGAUUCUUAGCACAUUGCUUUGCCAUGAUUCUUGCCACGUAAGAAAUCAUCCUUUCCAGCGAAAACAUCCCGUAUAUUAGUUUUGGUUUGAAAAUUUAGGGUUAGGUCUCCGCCGAAUUCAUCUCGGACUGACCGAGUUGUAGAAAUCGGUGUCACCGAUUUGGCUUAGGCCAUUGCACAUGCGUUUUCGGUCUGACCGGAAAUUGCAAAUGGGUGUGACCGAGUUCAAUUCUCCGUGAAACCCUAGUAGUCUUGAUGCCACUGAACUGUGACUCGGUCUGACCGAGUUCACUAGUUUAGGUUCCAAAAGCUGCUUCGGUAUCCCCGAGUUAACAAAUCGGUAGAUACGAAAUGCUUUCUGUGAAGGACUAAAACUAAGUUUUUGGAUCAAUUGUUUUCAAAACUCAUGUACUUUGUGAUGCUCAUCUUCUCUACCUCAUCUAUAAUCUAUUCACAGGGUCUGCUGACAGUUUUCCUACAAGAUGUCUAAACAAAGUGAUAGCCAGAACAAGUCUGAGGAGCAGAUUCAACUGAGUGAGGGCACUAGUCCCUCCAGCUCUUCUGAUGAUGGAAGUAGGAUCACUCCAAGUAAUUUGCCAAAGGUAGCUACCAGGACUAGGAAGAAGAAAACUUCUGAUUCAUAGGAUGAAGAUUAUGUGGCCAUUGAGGAUGAGGCCACUUCAAAGAAAAAGGUGCUGAAAAAGGAGUAUGGCUCAGCUGCUACAGUCAAGCCAGGGAUGCAUAAGAAGGCACCAAUAAAGAGAGUCCCCAUGUCUAAGGCCAGAGCAUCCACUGCUGAAACCUCCAAGCCAUCUAAAGAGGCUGCUGGAGAAGGAAAGAAAAGGAAGGAAAGGGUCAAGAAGACCACUGCCAGAGUGCUUGGCAGAUCAUCAAUUAUGAGAGAUGAUGAUGAAGGGGAAGAGGAUGCUGCACCAGCACCGAAAGUUCAAAAGCUCAUGGGAGAUGCAAUCAGAUCAGGGGCUGCUCCAUCUAAGCCCAAAGUUGCUCCCAAGGCUACUGCUCCAGCUCAGAAGUCUAAACCCAAGAGAAGCACUAGAAACAUUCCUACUGAGGAAAAGAACAAGGCCCUAGUGCCAGAAGCUGCUGAAGAAGAUGAAACUCAGGUGCUAAGGAAGCUGAAACCCAAGAUCCCUGACCACAAUGAUGCACAUCCAGUUGCAGAAAACAUGAAAAUCAGGAAGGAUGCGGGACUGAUACUAUGGAGACAGUCUUAUCCGUAUGAUGUCAGGAGGAGAACUGAUGUGGACUACAGGUUUCACACCAAGGAACAACAAGAUUUUUAUGAGACAGUAUUGCUUGACAAGAAGCCCAUCGUGUGUGACAUGAAAUGGGUUGACUGGGAAUACAUCCAAGAGAAUGAAGAUCACUAUCCAGGUGUAUAUGAUAGCUUCUAGGCAUGUGGAGUUGAUGCCUUUGUGGCCCAGAAGCUUACCAAGUGGAACGAUGAGCUGAUCAUGCAGUUCUACUCCACUGCCCAUUUCUACCCAGAUGGAAAGAUCAUUUGGAUGUCCGAAGGUACCAGGUACCAAUCUUCUGUUGAUGAAUGGGCUCAGUUGAUCAAUGCCCCAAAAGAAAGUGAGCAUGACUUGGAUAUAUAUGUUGAGAAGAAGAAAGACCACAACACAAUGGCCAACAUGUACAAAGAGAUCCCAGAUGCUGCUUUGGAUACACAUAAGUUUGGAUUUGUCCACUACUUGUUGUCUGGUCUGCCUACCAUAAACUGGAUUCUAAGGCACACACUGCUACCCAAGUCAGGUGAUCACAAGAUGAUCAGAGGACAUGCUAUAAACUUGCUGCACAUAUUUGAUGUCCCAAAGAAGUUCAAGGUCAUGAGUUUGAUUGUUGAGACAAUCAAGAGGACUGCUGCUGACCAGAAGAGAAGUUGUGGGUAUGCCCCACAAAUUCAGGAGCUCAUCAACUCAAAGAUGGGCAUAGGCACAUAUCUUUUGGAUAAGGAGCACCUGCCCAUAUACCCUGAAUUUGAAGACAACACUAUGGUGAUGGAUGAAAAUGAACCAUCUUUAGCUCAAGCACAUGAAAAGAGAGAGAAGGCAAGGGCAGAGAAAGCUGCAAAGAUGCCAACUGUUGAAGAGGCAUCUCAAGUGUUCUUGAAAUCCAAACAAGACCAGCUUGGAUAUCUGAUCCAAUCCACCCUGAGGAUUGAGAAGGGCUUGGCCACCCUGAUUAAGAACCAGGAGAGUUUGGAGAGGAUCGUUGAGCAGAAAUUCUAUGAUCUGGAUGUCUAGGUAACUGAGAUCCAAACUGCAGUUGAGCAUCUACAGGAGGAAGCAGAGGAGAGGAAGGGCAAGUCUACUACUGAUGCUUUCAAGAGAGUGCCACGAGGUCCAAGGUCUGCUGCAGUGCCCGUGACACAUACUCGAGCUUCAGUGUCAGCACCAGCAGCUAUAGCUCCAGUGCCACCUCCAGCACCCACUCCAUCAGCUCCAACUACUUCAUCGGAAGCCUUCGUCCUUGGAGUUCUCUCUACACCACCUCCCAAAGAUCAAGCCUAAGAGUCGUUUAGCACUAUGCAUUUUUGAACUGUUUGGUAACUUGUUGCCAAAGGGGGAGAAAAAUGUAUAGAUCAUAGGCUUCGAGAGAGAGCAUUGUUCUUUUUAUCUCUCUUUCUAUUUUGGUUGAACUUCUUGAUUGAGUGCUUGUGUGAAAUGCUUUAUGUCCGUGUGAGAUACUUGUUGAUCAUGUGUUUGAUCAUAUGCUACCCUUAAUGUUUGGUUGAAUGAUACUAUCUUUUAUAUCUCUUAUAUGAUCAUUCACUUGCCUGGUGAUGAGUGCAUGCUUUUAAUCUCGAUCAUUUUGAGCGCUCCACCAAGAUGUAUGUGACAUGGAAGAUUAACCCAUGAUCCUAAUUGAUUGUGCAUUUGCAUUCAAAAGCAAAGUUUAAGCAAUGCACAAAUUUAGGGGGAGAUCUUGCUUAUCACAUACUUCUCAAAGCGACGAUGUUUUUUAAAUCUUAUAAUCAUCUAUCGAAGCUUUGAUCAAUAUGUUGUCAUCAAUUACCAAAAAGGGGGAGAUUGAAAGUGCAACUAUCCCUAGGUGGUUUUGGUAAUUCCUAACAACAUAUAGUUCAUUGAGCUACUGCUACUUAAAGAUAAACAUCAGGAAAGCUCAAUGAUUGGCAUGGCAUGGAUGAGAAAAGUGGAUCCCUCAAAAUUCUAAGGACAGAGGAUUGGCUCAAGCUCAAAGCUCAGGACUCUACAUUUUUCAUUUUAAGUGGUCCAAGAUCACAUUGAGUCCAUAGGAAAAGCCAAUACUAUUAAGAGGGGAUGAGGUGUUGCCUAAUGGAUUUCAUGCUCAAAGUGCUUAGUGAUAUGCUCCAAAACCCUCAACUACUUUCUCAUAUCCACAUAUGUCUCAAACGAAAAGUCAAACUCGGCCCCACCGAAACUUACUAUCCGGCGCCACCGAGUUCAGUUGACAUAGCCACUGCCAGAAACCCUAGUCUUUUCAGUCUCAGCGAUAGGGAUCUCGGUCUCACAGAGAUGGGAAUGUAAUCUCUCUAUUUCCCUUCGUAACAUUUUGGUCAAACCAAGAUGAGCGAUCGGUCCCACCGAGAUUGCAAUGCAAACUCACUAUUUCCCUUUCGUAAUGUUUCGGCCCAACCGAGAUGAGCGAAUCGGUCCCACCGAGUUUUCCUGACCAACUCUCUGUUAGUCCAUUACCAAAAUUGGUCUCACCGAGUUUGUGUAAUCGGUCUCACCGAGAUUACGUUAUGCCCUAACCCUAACAAAAUCGGUCCCACCGAGUUGACAUGUUGGUCCCACCGAGAAUCCUAACGUUCACAUUUUGAACUAAAUCGAUCUGACCGAGUUUCAUGAUUCGGUCCCACCGGGUUUGGUGAUUUGUGUGUAACGGUUAGAUUUUGUGUGGAGGCUAUUUAUACCCCUCCACCCACUCUUCAUUUAUGGAGAGAUCCAUCAGAACAUGCCUACACUUCCAACAUACAUUUUCUGAGAGAGAACCACCUACACUUGUGUUGAGGUCAAGAUAUCCUACUCCAACCACAAAUCUUGAUAUCUAGCCUUCCCCAAGUUGCUUUCCACUCAAAUCAUCUUUCCACCAAAUCCAAAUCAUGUGAGAGAGAGAGUUGAGUGUUGGGGAGACUAUCAUUUGAAGCACAAGAGAAAGGAGUUCAUCAUCAACACACCAUUUGUUACCUCUUGGAGAGUGGUGUCUCCAAGAUUGGUUAGGUGUCACUUGGGAGCCUCCAUCAAGAUUGUGGAGUUGAACCAAGGAGUUUGUAAGGGCAAGGAGAUCGCCUACUUCGUGAAGAUCUACCCGAGUGAGGCAAGUCCUUCGUGGGCGACGGCCAUGGUGGGAUAGACAAGGUUGCUUCUUCAUGGACCCUUCGUGGGUGGAGUCCUCCGUGGACUCAUGCAACCGUUACCCUUCGUGGGUUGAAGUCUCCAUCAACGUGGAUGUACGAUAGCACCACCUAUUGGAACCAGGCCAAAAAUCCCCGUGUCUCAAAUUGCGUUUGCACACUCCAAACUCCUCCCUUUACCUUCAUAUGCAAUUGUUUUACUUUCCGCUGCUAUACUCUUAGAACUGCAUGUGUAGGUUGAUUGCUUGACUUGUGCUAAGUUGCUAAAAUCUGCCAAGAAUUAAAAUUGGGAAAAGGCUAGAUUUAAUCACUCCCCCCCCCUCGAGACAUACUUUCGAUCCUACAAUACCCAAUAUGACAUAUGCAAAUCGCACCAAAUUGUUUGUAAGUGGUUCACACAGGUCAUCCAAAAGAACCGUUAGUGUUCAAGAGAUGCACAAAUCCUGCUCUCAAUUUGCAUACAUGUGUUCUAUCUGAAACCAUCAUGCUUGUUGUGAGAAGCUCAGGAUUGUGAGAAGCAUAUACCCAAACCUGCCCCAAAUGGGACAAAAAAUUACCACUGCAUGUUGAUGCCGCUCCAUGAUAGCAUGCUAAGUUUCAUGAAUUUCAGACGAGUUUUGGAUUUACUAGAAUUUAAAAACCAGGCAUCUCAAUGUUUGCGGUCGAGUGACGGUGGCAGGGUGUUUGACAUUCAUUCCCAUUUCUUCCAUGGGACCUAAGCAUGUACCCAAGGACAAAAGAUUUGAUUUUUCAACCAAUUUAUAUGCACCGGAGCAUGUGCAUGUAGUUCAAAUUUGAAUUAUGCACAUAAAUGCAUUGAAAACUCACUUAAUGCAUAAAAAUGUCCACCCCGAAAAAUCACAAAAAAUAACACAACACUCCAAUUGUUCUAUGUUGACACGAGAAAAAAAUUUGAAAGCAAUAAGAGGCAAUGGAUAUCGUUUCGCCCCCAAAGUUGGGGCAUUCCCUACCGAUACCAUCAUGCUUGUUGUGAGAAGCUCUGGUUUGUGAGAAGCAUAUACCCAAACCUGCCCCAAAUGGGACAAAAAAAUUACCACCGCAUGUUGAUGCCUCUCCAUGAUAGCAUGCCAAGUUUCAUGAAUUUCAGACGAGUUUUGGAUUUACUAGAAUUUAAAAACCAGGCAUCUCAAUGUUUUGCCGGCAAUCAACGGUGCCCUGGUGUAUGAAAUUCAUUCCCAUUUCUUGCAUGGGACCUAAGCAUGCACCCAAGGACAAAGAUUUGAUUUUUCAACCAAUUUAUAUGCACCAGAGCAUGUGCAUGUAGUUCAAAUUUGAAUUAUGCACAUCAAUGCAUUGAAAACUCACUUAAUGCAUAAAAAUGUCCAAACAAACCCCGACACAUCACAAAAAAUAACACAGCACUCCUGUUGUUCUAUGUUGACACGAGAAAAAAAUUGAAAGCAAUAAGAGGAAUUGGAUAUCAUUUCGUCCCCAAAGGUGGGGUGUUCCCUACCGAAACCAUCAUGCUUGUUGUGAGAAGCUCUGGUUUGUGAUAAGCAUAUACCCAAACCUACCCCAAAUGGGACAAAAGAUUACCACGGCAUGUUGAUGCCGCUCCAUGAUAGCAUACCUAGUUUCAUGAAUUUCAGACGAGUUUUGGAUUUACUAGAAUUUAAAACCAGGGAUCUCAAUGUUUUGCUGGCAAUAAACGGUGCCUGGUGUUUGAAAUUCAUUCCCAUUUCUUGCAUGGGACCUAAGCAUGCACCCAAGGACAAAGAUUUGAUUUUUCAACCAAUUUAUAUGCACCGGAGCAUGUGCAUGUAGUUCAAAUUUGAAUUAUGCACAUAAAUGCAUUGAAAACUCACUUAAUGCAUAAAAAUGUCCAAACAAACCCCGAAAAAUCACAAAAAAUAACACAACACUCAUGUUGUUCUAUGUUGACACGAGAAAAAAUUUGAAAGCAAUAAGAGGCAGCGGAUAUCGUUUCAUCCCCAAAGGUGGGGCGUUCCCUACCGAAACAAUCAUGCUUGUUGUGAGAAGCUCUGGUUUGUGAGAAGCGUAUACCCAAACCUGCCCCAAAUGGGACAAAAAUUUACCACGACAUGUUGAUGCCGCUCCAUGAUAGCAUGCCAAGUUUCAUGAAUUUCAGACGAGUUUUGGAUUUACUAGAAUUUAAAAACCAGGCAUCUCAAUGUUUUGCCGGCAAUCAACGGUGCCCUGGUGUUUGAAAUUCAUUUCCAUUUCUUGCAUGGGACCUAAGCAUGCACCCAAGGACAAUGAUUUGAUUUUUCAACCAAUUUAUAUGCACAGGAGCAUGUGCAUGUACUUAAAAUUUGAAUUAUGCACAUAAAAUGCCUGGAAAACCCAGUUAAUGUACAAAAAUGUCCAAAUGAACCCCGAAAAAUUACAAAAAUAAACACAACACUCUUGUUGUUCUAUUUUGGCCCGAGAAAAAAAUUUGAAAGCAAUAAGAGGCAAUGGAUAUCGUUUUGUCCCCAAAGGUGGAGCGUUCCCUACCGAAAACCAUCAUGCUUGUUGUGAGAAGCUCUGGUUUGUGAGAAGCAUAUACCCGAACCUGCCCCAAAUGGGACAAAAAUUUUACCACGGCAUGUUGAUGCCGCUCCAUGAUAGCAUGCCAAGUUUCAUGAAUUUCAAACGAGUUUUUGAUUUACUAGAAUUUAAAAACCAGGCAUCUCAAUGGUUACAGCCGAGUGACGGUGGCAGGGUGUUUGACAUUCAUUCCUAUUUCUUGCUUGGGACCUAAGCAUGCACCCAAGGACAAAGAUUUGAUUUUCAACCAAUUUAGAUGCACUGGAGCAUGUGCAUGUAGUUCAAAUUUGAAUUAUGCACAUAAAUGCAUUGAAAACUCACUUAAUGCAUAAAAAUGUCCAAACGAACCUUGAAUAAUUCCAAUUUUUUUGACGACACACCUAUAUUUGCAUGUUCACUACAGAUAAAAGUUCUAGCAAUUGAAACACCGUCCAUGGCCGUUGUGACCCCAUUAUGUAAUUCAAAUCAAGCCGAAAAAUCAAGUAGAUGCCACACAGUUUAUUAUAACCAACUGUGUGAGAUGCAACACAAAAUAUCUACGACUGUGUCUGAAUAAGGGACCGUGUCUGAUGACACUUUGUGUGCCAGUUUUUUGGCUAAGGCGACUCCAAAUUUUCGGCUUCCACGGAAAUAUCUACCUCCUCGCCCCCUCCCCCUUACCAAAAGCCACAUUUCCCCGGUUUCCGCCUUCCUUUCCAAGUUGAAACCUUCACUCCUUGCUUGUAGCGCCGCCGCCUCCUCACCGGCGACCCUGUCGGAUUUCGGGUUCCGGCAGACCCUUGAGGUUGGAACAAUGGGGUGCGCGCGGAGAUCUCUCCCCUACCGAUCUACGUCUGAUCCCCUCGUGCGAACUAAGAUGAAAAUGAUGAACAACACAAGAGACACGAGGUUUAUACUGGUUUGGGCCACCGUUGUGGUGUAAUACCCUACUCCAGUGUGUGGUGUGGUGGAUUGCCUCUGGGGCUGAUGAUGGACAGUACAAGGGAAGAACAGCCUCGCGGGAGGUGUUCUUGCGCUGGUGCGAUGAACUGCUAGGGUGAGUUCCGUCGCCUCUCUCUCUCUCUUUGCUAGGGUUCUACCAGAUCUCUCGAUGUUCUCGAGGUGUCUAGAUGUCUCUACUUUGUGGUGGCUAGCUCUAUUUAUAGAUCCCUGGGCCUCUCCCCGAAUAAUUGAGCGGGAAGGGCGCCAACAAUUGGCCAUUUUGAAGGGGAACAUCUAGUACAAGUUAUCCUGACCAAAGGUGGUCUUCGGCUGCUAAAAGCACUGGUGAUGACGCCGUCUUGGGCUCCAUGGUGACCUCCGUCCUGCUGCUCUGCUGGUCUUGGUCUCGUCGCACUGGAAUGGCAACCUUUGCCUGAUGCCUUGGCAUGUGCUUGCCCCCUUUGCACCAAAGGGGAAACAAGGACACUGCGCAGGCUGGCGCCCGCCUGGCGCCCGCCUGGCCUUAAUCGUCAUGGCUUGCGUCAUGGGAUCCUCGCGAGGUACCCCUGCCUUGAUCUCUCCGCCUCCUCGCGAGCCUGCCUGAUGAGGUUGCCUCUAAGGAAGCUUCCUGUCGUCCGCCCCGCGAGGCUUGGCCCCUCGCGAGGGUCUUGAGCUUGUGUUGAUGAAGAUGGGCCGCCCUGGGCCCCCACUUGAGCCACGCCGCAGGCCAGAACGUCUGGGGACCCCCGUUCCCAGAACGCAGACAAUAGCCCCCGGGCCCAAGGCGCGCGCGGGCUUGGCUUAGCAGAGAAGCGAAGGGGCAAGCACGAAGCAUCGCGGGCCCUAACAGCCUGCGGCCUUGGGCGCCGCAUGCCGGUUGAUUGGGUGUGGGCGUCUGCACUUCCCACGACGCCUCGGCAACUGCACGACUUGACAAGUCCCUGCAUGCAGAGAUAUGGGUCAUGAUUACCUGUGGUCAUGGCGCUCGGCGGUUGGCCUUGCCCGGCUAUAAGUACGGGGCUGGGCGAGCUCCGCCAGUUCACCCCUUUCCGUUACUCCUCAUCUUCUUCUUCCUCAUCCUUGCUUCCUCUUGCACCAAUGGCACCGAUCCUCCGGUUUUCAGCUGAGGAGUAGGGAAAGGCCCCCAGAGAGGGUCCUAACCCCCUCCCGCCGCAGAAGAGGCCAAUCCUCUGUCACCGGGAUGAAGGCGCCUGGCAGGUCGUGUCGAGGCCGUGGUACGAGCAGCCGCCGCCUGGGUUUCCGCUACCCUUGUACGCCCGUGUCGUAGGCCCCGGGGUGGAGGACGCCGAGCAACACCGACAGCAUCGCCGCCGACGCCGGCGAGUCACAGUGGUGCGCGUCGCCCCCCUGGAGUCCACACGGAGCACUCCUCUCGCGAGCUUGUGCUCCACGCCACCAUGCCUCCAACUUCAUGGAUCCGCCUUCCUCCCUCCUUCGCCUUUGAGAUGCCGCCGAGCGGGGCCCUGGAGCUCUGGCUGCAGCAUGCCGAUUAUGGCACCCCCGCAACCGGAGCGGAGGUCGCGGUCGUCGCUCCGGGCAAGGUCUUCAUGACCCGGGGCUGGGGUGAGAUUGCCCGCGUCUGUCGCGCGGACGGUGCCUUGGUGAUCCAUCUUGAAUAUGAUGGCGCCUCCUUGAUGUUCUUCAAGGUCUUUGAUGCAGAAGGACGCCGGCUGGAAUGCUGCCCUAAGGGAAGCGGCAGUGGUGACGAACUGGUGAGGACCAGCCCCACCCGUUGGUCCUCCUGCAGCUCCUCAGGCAGCAACGGAGGGACUGAGGGCUUCAGCGACUCCCCCAAACUCCUCGCGACCCUGGAGACGAGCGAUGACAGCGUCCCAGUCCCCAGGCAAGCUUCAGCCAUCGCUAGUAUGCCAGGUCACGAUGCCGUGGUCAAGGCUAGGAGGUGAGCGGCCCGAGGUCCGGUAAGAGCCCCCGAGUCGCGAUGCUCGGGAGGUCCCCUUUAGCGCUCAAGAAAUCCUUGCUGGGCGAGAAAGGAAGGUAGUGUUUCCGUGACAGAGUUGCACUGGGCAGGGAUUUAGCGCUGCGUUGGUCUAGCUCUUGCGAGGACGCAACUUAUCUUGUGCGUCUGAUGUAGUUCCUCGGAGAGGCGCCUGGCCCGAGAGGCGGUGGUCGAGGUACUGCUGGGUGAGGCCCUCGCGAGCUUCUUCCCACUCCCCCGCACUUUCCUUAAUGCUCUACGUCCUCAGGUCCCGGCCCUCGAGCGAGCUCAGCCGCCGCUGGUAUGACAGGUCGCGAUGCCGUGGGUCAAGGCCAGGGGGUGAGGGCUGGAGAGCUAGUAAGAGCCCAUGAGUCGCGAUGCUCAGGCGUCCCCCUUUUAACGUGCAAGCGGUCCAUGCCGAAGAGUGGGAGAGAGAGCUCACGAUGCCCCCAACAUUGCUCCUGGAGUAGGUCCUACACACCAAUCAUGAGGAGAAACAAGGCCUGUUGUUACGGUCGCCCGCCAACCUAUGGUCACUCCGAGGGAGCAGUCAGGGCACUGAGGGCCUGGUGAGGUGGCGCCACGUAAAGCCUCGGAGGCAACGUCUCCUGAGGCCCGCCCUGGCGCGGUGGUUGAUGCAGGGUUUUGGCCUUCGGCUCCUGAGGUCGGGGCUUCCGAGCCCCCAGCCAUUCUUCGCGAGGCGACACCCGACGGUGCCCCCGGAGCUGACUCCUCCGGCACCGACAAUCCUGAGGCUUCUUCUGCACCCCAGGAUGACCCCGGCCCCAGGCGCUUGGGUCGGUUUCGUGUAAACUUCGUGUCCCUUCGCAAGAAGAAGGAGGCCUCAGGCGGCAGCGACCGCCCUUGCCGCUUGUUGAAGCGCAGGAAGUACUUUGCCAUGGACGAGUAAGCCUUCUUCUUUCCCUACUCAUUUGCUCUGUUAUCCUUGUGGCUGAUCGUGGCCCUUCAGGUCCCGCCUUGCUGAGCCCGCUAAGUCAACCCAGGAGCCGGCCCCCGCAGCUUCGCCCCCCUUUGCUGGCUCCGGGUUCACCGAGCUCGGGUGGCGCCCUCGCCGCUGGACCGGUUGGUGGGGUCGUCUGCUCCAUAGGGCGCCUCGAGCUUGCUCGCCCGAUGCCCUUUCUUCGCGAGUCUUAUCGAGGCCCGUCAGGCUUGCCCCGCGCCCCUUCUCUGGUCAUAGAAGGCGAAUGGCUGAGGUCUAUCCUUGGCUCCUCCUCCGUGGGUGGAUCGAUGCCGGGCCGGAUCCUCAGGGCGGUCCAUCCGGCGACGGCUGGGGUGGCAGCCCCCUGCCCCACGCCUGGAGGAGGCUUACCACCUCGGGUCCCUCUGCAUGCUCUAGCAGAAGAGGGUGAUGUGGAAGAUGUGCUCAGGCGCGCUCGAGAGCGUCGUGCCCUUCGUGAAGAGUUCCUCCAGGGGGCGGCAGACGCGGUGAACCGGGUCGGAGCAGAGCUUGAUGCCGAGGAUGCACGCCUCGAGGCUGAAGGCCUGCGCCUUGCUGAGGAGAGGUGCAAGCUGAAGGUCGCCAUUGCCCUUGCGUGUCAUCAACGUGACCUUGACAACGCGAAGGCCGAAGCGUCGCUAGCGGCUUCGCGGGAGGCCUGCUCCCGGGCCGUCGAGGAGGCUCGGGAGGUAGACCGACGACGCCAGGAUGCGGAGGAGCGCGUAUGGGAGCUCCAAGCCCGGCGUAAUUCCCUGGAGCAGCAAAUAGAGCUGCACCACGCGGCCCUUGGGUCGAUGCAGGAGGCCGCCGUGGACCGGGCGGAGCUCCAGAGGCGCGAGGAGGCGCUGACGCUCGAGGCCGCCGAGCACAGCCUUGAGCUGGAGCGGUUGGAGACAAGGGAGAGCCUGGCGGCCCAGGCGGAGCACGACGUUUCGGCGCGCGAAGCCCGGGUCCAGGAAGAGGUCGACCGCCAUGUGGCGGGAGCUCGCUCAGUCCUUGAGCGCAAACACGAGGCGAGGUUGAUGUUGAUCGGGGCCGAGGCUGAGGGCAGGACAGCGGCCAUCAAGGCCAAGUUGGUUGAAGAGACGCGGCGUGCGGAUUCCUCCAUAGCCGCCCUUGGUGCGGCGCAGGCGGAGCUGUCCUCUUCCCACUCGGAGCUGCUUCUUCUUCAACGGAGGGUCGAUGACGCCGAGGCCGUCGCGCAGCGGAGUGAGGACGAGCUCCGUCGGCGGCGGGUUCUGGAGCUCGUGCACGCCCCCAUGCUUCAAACGCUCCGAGAGAGGUCCAACACAGCUUUGGGCUACAUCUACGAGGCUGCCGCUAGGGAGCCGCACGAGGUCAACUACGCCGGCAACCUCCAAUUUUUCACCGAUGUGGUGACGCUUCUAGAGAACCGGUCCGAGAGGUCCCGCUGGCUUGUCGAAGAGAGGAGUCGGGCCUUGCUUGGGCGUGCCUUCUCUCGCGUCUUCAGCCAUCUGCAGGACAGGGACCCCCACUUCGACUUCGAUGAUGCCAUCGCACCCGUGCCCAUUGCCGUCCGAGGCGACCUGGCGCAGUGGGUGGAGGACAACGUGGACGCCCUCUGUAACACCCUCGAUGCGACUAUAUCUCCCACGUGUCGAGGCACGACUUAGAGGCAUAAUCGCAUUAAAGGCAUAUGUCGCAAGUAAUGCAAUCUUCACAACAUCCCAUGUAAUAUAAAUAAUAAAGGGGAGAUAACAUAGUUGGCUUACACUUGCCACGUCAAUCAAGUACAUAAAAUAGCAUUACAUCAUUCAAACACUCAUGGCCCAACUAUGGCGCCAAAAUAAAAGAUAACCCAACAUGCGACACGGUCCCGAUCACCCCCAACUGGGCACCACUACUGAUCGUCAAGGAAAGACACAUAGUAUCGUUGAGAGUCCUCGUCGAACUCCCACUUGAGCUCAAGCGCGUCACCUGGAGCGGAAUCAUCAGGCCCUGCAUCUGGUGUAAUAGGAAUCUGUGAGCCACAAGGACUCAACAAUCUCGCACCCUCGCGAUCAAGACUAUUUAAGCUUAAAGGUAAGGCAAGGUAAUUAUGUGGAGCUGCAGCAAGCAACUAGCAUAUAUGGUGGCUAUCCUGUUCGCAAAAGAGAGCGAGAAGAGAAGGCAAAGCGCGAACGCAUAACUAAAGAAGGAAAACCUGCGGCAAGCAUUACCCCAACAUCGUGUCCACUUCCCGGACUCCGCCGAGAAGAGGCCAUCACGGUAACUCACAUUGUUGAUUCAUUUUAAUUAAGUUAAGGUUCAAGUUAUCUACAACCGGACAUUAACAAAUUCCCAUCUGCCCAUAACCGCGGGCACGGCUUUCGAAAGUUCAAAUCCCUGCAGGGGAGUCCCAACUUAGCCCAUGACAAGCUCUCACGGUCAACGAAGGAAUAGACCUCCUCCCGAGACGUUCCGAUCAGACUCGGUACCUCGGUUCUUCAAGACACUUCGACAGGUUAAAACAAAUCCAGCAACACCGCCCGAAUGUGCCGACAAAUCCCGAUAGGAGCUGCACAUAUCUCUUUCUUAGGGCACACUCAGAUUGUCCUAGGUACGGGUAGGCCAGCCCAGAGUUGCCCCUGGUGGCCACCGGCAGCUGACAGGUGGACCAACACUCAGAGGAGCACUGGCCCAGGGGGGUUUAAAAUAAGAUGACCCUUGGGCUCCGGAAACCCAAGGGAAUAAAAGGCUAGGUGGCAAAUGGUAAAACCAAGGUUGGGCAUUGCUGGAAAAGCUUUAAUCAAGGUGAACUAUCAAGGGGUUCCCAUUAUCACCCAACCGCGUAAGGAACACAAAAUCUAGGAACAUAACACCGAUAUGAUGGAAACUAGGGCGGCAAGAGUGGAACAAAACACUAGGCAAGAGGCCGAGCCUUCCACCCUUUACCAAGUAUAUAGAUGCAUUAACAUAACAAGAUAAUAUCAUGAUAUCCCAACAAGUAAAUAAAUGUUCCAACAAGGAACGGUCUCCAAUCUUCACCUGCAACUAGCAACGCUAUAAGAGGGGCUGAGCAAAGCGGAAACAUAGCCAAUCAACGGUUUGCUAGGACAUGGUGGGUUAGAGGUUUGACAUAGAAAUUUGGGAGGCUUUAAAGCAAGUGGUAGGCAUCGUAGCAUUGGCAUAGCAAAAGAGCGAGCAUCUAGCAAAGCAAAGAUAGUAGUGAUUUCGAGGGUAUGAUCAUCUUGCCUGCAAUGUUGUCAGAGUUGACUAAAUCCUCGAAAGCAAACUCAAUGGGCUCCUCGUUAGCAAACUCGUCUCCCCGCUCUACCCAAACAAGACAAACAAGCAAAUGGAACACAAUCAACCACGUGCAAAGCUCAAACAAUAUGAUGCAAAGAUGGUAUGCUAUGCGGGAUGCAUAUGCAAGAUUUGACAAGGGAUGCAUGAACCUGGCCUCAACUUGGUAAUCCAAGUUUUCCACUGGAAACAUGAGAUGAAAUCGCUUGAAAACGAUAUAAAGAACGCCGGAAUCGGAGUUACGGUUUGGAAAUGGCAAGCAAUUCAAAUAUGACCACGUUCUGCUAUUUACAGCAAGUAGCCAUCUAAAUGCAAUGAGAUGAACAUGCUACAGCAUCCAAACAAGACAAAAAAAUACAUGGCAGGGAUGAAUUCAAGAUGCUUAACAAAAGUCUAGCACUGAGCUACGGCCAAUUCAUCCAUUAACAGGUUCAAACAAGCAUGGAAAAAAUGCAUAUGGCAAACAGAUUUCAGACUUAGUGAAAUUAACACUCGUCUGGAAUUUCAGAUCAGAUAGCACUCUUCGGAGCAACAAAACUACAUGCUAGAGGACCUGAACAUGGCAAAGUAAAGCAUGGCAUGGAGAUACUCAAAGAGAUUAACAAAAGUCCCUUAGUGACCUUGAGCCAAAAGGGAUCAGAAAAUACAAUUGCGAGCAUGUGAACAUGGCAAAACAUAAUCAGAUCACAGACUUAGUGAAAACUGGAGCAUGCUGAAACAGAUAUCAAGUAGGCAUGUUUACGAGCUCGAUGCACUCACCACAGAGCAAGUCAUGACCAUAUAAGCAUACACCCAUCAAGAAUACACAAAAUGCAAGCUAGACAUGGCAAAAACAAUAGCAUAACAUGCACGGAUCAACUACAACAUCAUCGGCAAAAUCGCUAACAAGUAGACAAUCUGCCCAGAUUCACGAAGUAGCAAAAGUACAGCUCGAUUGACUCAAGCUAGGUGCUCCAUAAUUGCAAAAAAAGACAUGGAUGGAUAGAGCACUACAAGAUUAACAAAACCUCCUUACUGAUCACCCUUAAAAGAGGCAUGGAUCACUAGGAAACAACAUGAACAUAUGACCAUAUGAGAUAAACAGCUCAAGGACUUAGUGAAAAUGCUAAGUCCCUGAAAUCAGCAUUACCAAGUGCCUCACUUUGCAAGCUCGUGCUAGUCACCACACACAUCACAAAAAUACAUGGGUUGCACCUCUGGAAAAAUGGGAAAACCCUUAACAAAACAUAUGUAGAGCACCAGGGCAUAACAUGCACACAAUAAUCAUGGCAAAAAUGACAAAUAUCUAAAUGGAGUAGCAGAUCUGACAAUUAUCUCAAGUAGCCCUCUUCUAACAGCAUUUCGGGCAUCAAGAUGAACUCAAAUGAAAAUGAUGCAAUGGGAUGAAAUGAUGUACUCUCUGAGACGAACAUUUUGAUAUGCUAUAUGCCCAAAAUGGGGCUACGGAUGCGGAGUUACGGCAUGAUGAACAUGAGCAUUUGAAUCUAAGAAUUUCGGGGACUUAGAAGAAUUUCAACCUCGCAAAAGUCAAUCCGGGAUGGAGAGAAGCGGGACGGCGCGGAUCCGGGACGGAGGACGUCGUUUGGUUGGAAGGAUGGGUGGAUCUCGUCCACCCUCCUCGGAUCCGACCGGAACGGAGCUCCGGCGAGCUCGAACACCGGCGAGGAGGAGCUCCAGCGGCGGAGCUCGGCGAGCCCGGGCGGCAAGGCGUGGAUCCGAUGGCGGCGCGGGGAGGCGCAGGCGACGGCGGCGGAGCCACGCGGCGGAGGCGGCGGCGCAACUCCGGCAGAAGCCGAGGCGGCGGUGAAGGCGACUUCCGGCGACGGCAGGCGGCGCAACUCCGGCGCGAAGAGUUGGCGGGAAGGAAGAGGCACUCGGGCGGCGAAGCGGGAUCUGGCCCGGAUCGGCCCCGCGCGGGCCAGAUCUGGGCCGGCGGGCGGCGCGGUGAAGUGGGGUGCGGGGCAGACAGGUGUCAGGCGGCGAUUGGCAGCGGGGAUUUUUGUCCGGCGCGGAUCCGGACACGUCCGGCGGCGCGCGAGGAAGAAAACUAGGGCUUCGGGGAAGAAGAAAGCGGAGGGGUGUAUUUAUAGGCAUAGAGGAAGCUAGGAGAGUCCAAAUGAGGUGCGGUUUUCGGCCACGCGAUCGUGAUCGAACGCUCUAGAUGAUGGAGCAGGUUUUGGUGGGUUUUGGGCCACUUUGGGAGGGUGUUGGGCUGCAACACACACGAGGCCUUUUCGGUCCCUCGGUUACCGUUGGAGCAUCAAACAAAGUCCAAAUGGUACGAAACUUGACAGGCGGUCUACCGGUAGUAAACCAAGGCCUCUUGGCAAGUCUUGGUCCAAUCCAGAAAUGUUUAAUCCCCACACACGAAAGAAAGGUAGGAAUGACCACCGGAGGAGAACGGAGCGCCGGAAUGCAAAACGGACAACGGGGAAAAUGCUCGAAUGCAUGAGACAAACACGUAUGCGAAUGCAAUGCACAUGAUGACAUGAUAUGAGAUGCAUGACAACGACAACAACACAUGGAGACAAAAACCCGAACCCGAGAAAAUAAAAUAACUUAAGGCCGGAAACGGCAAGAGUUGGAAUACAUAUUGGGUAAGUUACAUCCGGGGUGUUACAACACUCCACCACUACGAAAGGAUCUCGUCCCGAGAUCUAGGACUGAAAGAACGCCGGGUAUUCAAAACGGAGGUGAUCCUCGCGUUCCCAGGUAGCUUCACGGUCGGAAUGGUGUGACCACUUGACUUUGAGGAAUUUGAUUGACUUGUUGCGAGUCCUGCGUUCAGUCUCUUCGAGAAUAGCAACUGGGUGCUCACGGUAAGAGAUAUCUUCUUGGAGCUCAAUGUCCUCGAAGUUGACGGUGCGGUCAGGAGUCUUGAAGCACUUUCGGAGCUGAGAGACAUGAAACACAUCAAGAACAUUUGCAAAGUUUGAAGGAAGCUCGAGUUGAUAGGCGAGAUCGCCUCUCUUGCUGACAAUCUUGAAAGGUCCCACGUAUCUAGGGGCAACCUUCCCUUUGAUACCGAAGCGUCGAGUACCUUUCAUAGGAGAGAGGCGGAGGUAAACAUGAUCUCCGAUUUCAAAAGCCAAAUCACGGUGCUUACUAUCAUAGUAGCUCUUCUGGCGGGAUUGGGCUGCUUUGAGGUUAUCUCGAAUGACUUUGCACAUUUCCUCUGCUUCUGUGAUUAAUUCAUUUCCGAGAAGCUGGCGUUCACCGGUUUCAGGCCAGUUGAGAGGGGUACGGCACUUCCUCCAUACAGAAUUUCAAAUGGGGCCUUGCCCGAACUUGCUUGAAAACUAUUGUUGUAGGAGAAUUCAGCAUAAGGAAGACAAUCCUCCCACUUCAUGCCGAAGGAGAUCACACAAGCCCUGAGCAUAUCUUCAAGAAUCUGGUUGACACGCUCGACUUGACCGCUAGUUUGAGGAUGGAAAGCUAUGCUGAAACGGAUGUUAGUGCCCAUGGCCUUCUGAAAAGAAUCUCAAAACUUGGAGGUAAAGAUGCUGCCACGGUCUGAAGAGAUCACUUGUGGAAUACCGUGCAGAGAGACAAUUCGAGAGGUAUAGAGUUCUGCCAAUUGAGCUGCAGUGAUCGACUCUUUGAUAGGCAGAAAAUGAGCCACUUUAGUGAGUUUGUCGAUGACAAUGAAUAUAGCAUCAUUGUCACGCUUGGACUUUGGAAACCCAGUCACGAAGUCCAUUUCAAUGUGGUCAAACUUCCAUUCUAGAAUGGCAAGAGGUUGGAGGAGACCAGUUGGCCUUUGGUGUUCUGCCUUCACUCUUCUGCAGACAUCACACUCAUUCACGAAUUGAGCAAUCUCGCGCUUCAUUCGAGUCCACCAAUAAGCCUGCUUGAGGUCCUGAUACAUCUUCGUACUCCCAGGGUGGAUGGAGAGAAUAGAAUUGUGAGCCUCGUUCAUGAUCACUUUAUGAAGUUCACCUUUGGGUACAACAAUACGAUCCUCGAAGAAGAGAGUAUCCUUGUCAUCAAGGCGGUAGCACUUGUACUUGGGUUGACUCUUGGCAAUCCCAAUCUUCACCUUUUUCACCAUAGCAUCAAGAAGUUGGGCUUGGCGAAUCUAGUCUUCCAAGCUAGGGGAGACUUGAAGGUUGGCGAGGAAACCUUGAGGAACAACUUGCAGAUUAAGUUUGCGGAAAGCUUCACAAAGCUUGGGUUGAUAAGGCUUGAGAAUCAGGCUGUUGCAAUGAGCCUUUUUGCUCAAUGCAUCAACAAUCACAUUGGCCUUGCCUGGAGUAUACUCGAUACUCGGAUUAUACUCUUGAAUCAUUUCGACCCAUUGAGUCUGCCUGAGGUUGAGAUUAGGCUGAGUGAAGAUGUACUUGAGACUCUUGUGAUCAGUGAAAAUGUCCACUUUUCUUCCCAAUAAGAGAUGUCUCCAAGUCAAAAGAGCAUGCACAACUGCCGCCAACUCGAGAUCAUGAGUGGGGUAGUUCUUUUCAUUGAGCUUCAACUGGCGAGAGUUAUAAGCAACAACUUUCUUCUCUUGCAUCAACACUGCGCCAAGACCUUGGAGAGAGGCAUCGCAAAAGACCUCGUACGGCUUGGAUUCAUGAGGCGGAGUCAGAACUGGAGCAGUGAUCAAUUUCUCUUUCAAAGUGUUGAAAGCAACGUCACACUCCGAAGACCAAACAUACUUGACGUGCUUCUGGAGAAGAUUUGAGAGAGGCUUCGCGAUCUUAGAAAAGUUUUCAACGAAUCUUCGGCAAUAGCUUGCGAGACCGAGGAAGCUACGGAGUUGCUUCACGUUCUGAGGAGGUUCCCAAUUCACAAUUGCAGACACCUUCUCAGGAUUCACCGCAAUGCCCUUGGCAGAGAUGAUAUGACCAAGAUAAAGAACCUCAUCGAGCCAAAAUUCGCACUUGGAGAACUUGGCGUAGAACUGGUGUUCCCUCAACUUAUCGAGUACCAAACGCAAGUGCUUGGCAUGAUCUUCCUUGUUCUUCGAGAAAACCAUAAUAUCGUCGAGAUAGACCAAAACGAAGUCAUUGGUGUAGGCGUUGAAGAUGAAGUUCAUCAUGCGAGAGAACGUCGGAGGAGCGUUGACGAGGCCAAAAGACAUGACAGUGUAUUCAUAUGAACCAUAGCUUGUCCUGAAAGUCGUCUUCGGAAUAUCUUGUUCGCGGAUUCGAAUCUGAUGAUAACCCAUACGGAGAUCAAGCUUGGAGAAUACUUGGGCACCUUUGAGUUGUUCGAACAGCUCAUUGAUGUUGGGAAGUGGGUAUUUGUUCUUGAUGGUCUUCUUGUUCAAUGGACGGUAAUCAACACAAAGUCGGUCUGUUCCAUCCUUCUUCUUCACAAAAAGAACACCACAACCCCACGGAGAAGAACUAGGCCGGAUGAGACCCAUUCUUUCUUGAAUAUCGAGUUGCUUCUUCAGCUCCUUCAACUCUUCAGGUCCGAGCUUUUAAGGACGCUUGCACACAGGUUCCGUACCGGACUCAAGAAUAAUAACGAAUUCAACUGGCCAGUGCGGAGGCAUUCCUGGAAGCUCUUCUGGAAAGACGUCUUGAUAUUCGCAAACGACUGGAAUUUGCGAGAUAGCAUCCAGUUCACCCUUCUCAUUGAGAGAAAACAGACAGAUGGUAUCAUCACGAGCGGCAAAGACAAUUACAUCCUCAGACGAAUGAGUCAAUUGAAUCUGCCUGGCUGCAUAAUCAAGCUCAGCCUUGUGCUUAGAAAGCCAAUCCAUUCCGAGAAUAAGAUCAAUAUCCGAGUCACCAAGAACCGUUGGAGAAUCCAGAAACUUGUAGUCACCCAAGGUGAUAGUAACAUCCGGAACGAUGGAGUUUGCAUGCAUGCGCUUACCGGGAGAGACAACUGCUAAUGGACUAGGCAAAACUUGCGAAACCAAUUCAUGCCUAGAUGUAAACGGUCUCGAGAUGAAACAAUGCGAUGCACCAGUGUCAAAAAGAACUCUUGCGGGAAUAUCAUUAACAGGAAGGUUACCCAUGAUGACAUCUGACGAGUCCUCUGCCUGAGCUGCAUUCAUCAAGUUGACCUUGGCGUGCUUGGGGUUAUGCUUGACCACAGCUAUACUUGCUGAUCUCACAGGAGGAGGAGGAGGAGGAAGACGCCUCUGGUUGAGACACUUGUUGGCAUAGUGACCCUUCUGUUGGCACUUGUUGCACGUGACCUCUGAAAGCGGACGGUGAUAUAGAGCACUCGAUCUUGGAGCUUGAGACGAAGUCUUGUUCUGAAAGCCAGGGUUGGGUGGGUGGGAAGAUCCACUACCACCUUUGCUCUUCUGCUGAUACGGCUGACGAAACGGAGGAGGAGGAAGCCAAUACUUCUGCUGCUUGGUCACUUGAGUAGAGGAAGAAGGAGUAGCAUCUCUGACUCGCUUCUUGGAAGCAUCACACCUUAGUUGAGCGGCCUCUUGCUUCAAUGCCAUGUUGUAGAACUCAUCGUAUCUCAAGGGCUCAAAGAGAACAAGAGCUAGCUGAAUUUCUUCUCUGAGACCACCCCUGAACUGGUAUAUCAUGCUCUUCUCAUCAGGAACGUCCUGCUUGGCAAAGCGGGCGAGCUUCUGAAACAACUUGUUGUAGUCAUAGAUAGACAAAGAGCCUUGUUUCAGGUUGCAGAAUUCCUCACGCUUGCUUUCAACCACGCUCUGAGGGAUAUGGUGAGCUCUGAAAUCUUGACGGAAUCCAUCCCAGGUAAUAGCACGUCCACCUCUGGAAUCCUUGUACUGCUGGAACCAUUCUGUAGCUUGAUCUUUGAGUUGGAAGGAAGCAAACUUGACAAAGUCCUCAGGCCUGACAUUACUGCACUCGAAAUGCUUGCACAGAUUCACAAGCCAAUCGUCAGCAUCGGUUGCCUCAACACAAUUGCUGAAAGUCUUUGGCCCAUUAGCAAGGAACUGGUUGAGUGUAGCAAAGUGAUUCUGAUUGUUACCUUGGUUCCCUUGGUUGCCUUGAUUGCACUCUUGGAGAAUUUGCAUGAUCAACUGUGUGUUUGCAUUCAUUGCGGCCAUCACAGCUUGCCAUGCCUCCGGAGGAGGAGGAGGUGGUGACGGAUCUUGAUUCUGAUUCUGAUUGGUGCUCUUAGCGGGAGCCAUCCUGAAGAGGUUGACCACCGUUAGCACAUAGACAAAUAAAUGAAGCUGAAUCCAACGGAAUGAAAAUUUGCAACAUAUAGUCUUCACAUCCGAACAAAAUGAACGAAUGCAUUCCUCUUGAAAUGGUCACAUAUCCAUAAAUUGAGAAGCCACUUAGAAUUUAGGUAGAGAAAAAAAUCAACAAGGUACGGAUCAAGAACGAAUACUCGGUAAGAAAUCCCAAUCUCAAACCAAAUAUCCGUGGAAGAAGAACUAGAGCUACAAGAAUUCCCACCUAUGAAACUCCCGAACCUUUCCGGUUAUGCAAUCAGGUGUUGGGGAUACAGGGGAAGCAUAAUAUCUCACCCAAAUCUAGCAAAUCCUACAUCUAGCUAUAUCCAUCCUUCAACACAUAACCGAGAAAAACUUCGGAAACCAUCUACCUCAACCUUCAAAAAGCAUCCGUUAUACAAGUUAUGGCGAUACUCCCGAACUCCCGCCCCAGUACUGGGUGGCGUCAAGGUUAUCUCACCAACGAACUGCAUAAAAGAGAUUUUCGAUGUUGGCGUACUAAACUCAGGUAUUCCAGAACUGCAACGAUAAAAUUAUGACGACAACACCUCAGAGCUCAACUCCCCGGGACACUUCCACAAAACCCCUGACAGGAGGCACCAAGACAAUGUUCUCGUCAUAAAACCAUCGGAACGAUUCCAAGAUACCCGCGUGAUACUAAAAUUUUUUUAGUGAAACUUGAGAAGAGAAGAGUCAAAACUCUACGUCAGGAUGCCUUACCAGAGUGAUGAGGAGACUGGGAAGUAAAAAGAAUUCCUAAACUCUCCGAUAUAUAAUUCCUAAAUGACUCAAAACAUUUUUCUAGACACAACUCGGCUGCUAAAAACGAUCAAGCAAUGGGGCUCCUAAGGUCGGGGAAGGCUCUGAUUACCAACUUGUAACACCCUCGAUGCGACUAUAUCUCCCACGUGUCGAGGCACGACUUAGAGGCAUAAUCGCAUUGAAGGCAUAUGUCGCAAGUAAGGCAAUCUUCACAACAUCCCAUGUAAUAUAAAUAAUAAAGGGGAGAUAACAUAGUUGGCUUACACUCGCCACGUCAAUCAAGUACAUAAAAUAGCAUUACAUCAUUCAAACACUCAUGGCCCGACUACGGCGCCAAAAUAAAAGAUAACCCAACAUGCGACACGGUCCCGAUCACCCCCAACUGGGCACCACUACUGAUCGUCGGGGAAAGACACAUAGUAUCGUUGAGAGUUCUCGUUGAACUCCCACUUGAGCUCAAGCGCGUCACCUGGAGCGUAAUCAUCAGGCCCUGCAUCUGGUGUAAUAGGAAUCUGUGAGCCACAGGGACUCAACAAUCUCGCACCCUCGCGAUCAAGACUAUUUAAGCUUAAAGGUAAGGCAAGGUAAUUAUGUGGAGCUGCAGCAAGCAACUAGCAUAUAUGGUGGCUAUCCUGUUCGCAAAAGAGAGCGAGAAGAGAAGGCAAAGCGCGAAUGCAUAACUAAAGAAGGCAAACCUGCGGCAAGCAUUACCCCAACACCGUGUCCACUUCCCGGACUCCGCCGAGAAGAGGCCAUCACGGUAACUCACACUGUUGAUUCAUUUUAAUUAAGUUAAGGUUCAAGUUAUCUACAACCGGACAUUAACAAAUUCCCAUCUGCCCAUAACCGCGGGCACGACUUUCGAAAGUUCAAAUCCGUGCAGGGGAGUCCCAACUUAGCCCAUGACAAGCUCUCACGGUCAACGAAGGAAUAGACCUCCUCCCGAGACGUUCCGAUCAGACUCGGUACCUCGGUUCUUCAAGACACUUCGACAGGUUAAAACAAAUCCAGAAACACCGCCCGAAUGUGCCGACAAAUCCCGAUAGGAGCUGCACAUAUCUCUUUCUCAGGGCACACUCAAAUUGUCCUAGGUACGGGUAGGCCAGCCCAGAGUUGCCCCUGGUGGCCACCGGCAGCUGACAGGUGGACCAACACUCAGAGGAGCACUGGCCCGGGGGGGGUUAAAAUAAGAUGACCCUCGGGAUCCGGAAACCCAAGGGAAUAAAAGGCUAGGUGGCAAAUGGUAAAACCAAGGUUGGGCAUUGCUGGAAAAGCUUUAAUCAAGGUGAACUAUCAAGGGGUUCCCAUUAUCAACCAACCGCGUAAGGAACGCAAAAUCUGGGAACAUAACACCGAUAUGAUGGAAACUAGGGCGGCAAGAGUGGAACAAAACACUAGGCGAGAGGCCGAGCCUUCCACCCUUUACCAAGUAUAUAGAUGCAUUAAGAUAAAAAGAUAAUAUCAUGAUAUCCCAACAAGUAAAUAAAUGUUCCAACAAGGAACGGUCUCCAAUCUUCACCUGCAACUAGCAACGCUAUAAGAGGGGCUGAGCAAAGCGAAAACAUAGCCAAUCAACGGUUUGCUAGGACAUGGUGGGUUAGAGGUUUGACAUAGAAAUUUGGGAGGCUUUAAAGCAAGUGGUAGGCAUAGUAGCAUUGGCAUAGCAAAAGAGCGAGCAUCUAGCAAAGCAAAGAUAGUAGUGAUUUCGAGGGUAUGAUCAUCUUGCCUGCAAAGUUGUCAGAGUUGACUGGAUCCUCAAAAGCAAACUCAACGGGCUCCUCGUUAGCAAACUCGUCUCCUCGCUCUACCCAAACAAGACAAACAAGCAAAUGGAACACAAUCAACCACGUGCAAAGCUCAAACAAUAUGAUGCAAAGAUGGUAUGCUAUGCGGGAUGCAUAUGCAAGAUUUGACGAGGGAUGCAUGAACCUAGCCUCAACUUGGUAAUCCAAGUGUACCACUGGAAACAUGGGAUGAAAUCGCUUGAAAACGAUAUAAAGAACACCGGAAUCGGAGUUACGGUUUGGAAAUGGCAAGCAAUUCAAAUAUGACCACGUUCUGCGAUUUACAGCAAGUAGCCAUCUAAAUGCAAUGAGAUGAACAUGCUACAGCAUCCAAACAAGACAACAAAAUACAUGGCAGGGACGAAUUCAAGAUGCUUAACAAAAGUAUAGCACUGAGCUACGGCCAAUUCAUCCAUUAACAGGUUCAAACAAGCAUGAAAAAAAUGCAUAUGGCAAACAGAUUUCAGACUUAGUGAAAUUAACACUCGUCUGGAAUUUCAGAUCAGAUAGCACUCUUCGGAGCAACAAAACUACAUGCUACAGGACCUGAACAUGGCAAAGUAAAGCAUGGCAUGGAGAUACUCAAAGAGCUUAACAAAAGUCCCUUAGUGACCUUGAGCCAAAAGGGAUCAGAAAAUACAAUUGCGAGCAUGUGAACAUGGCAAAACAUAAUUAGAUCACAGACUUAGUGAAAACUGGAGCAUGCUGAAAAAGAUAUCAAGUAGGCAUGUUUACGAGCUCGAUGCACUCACCACAGAGCAAGUCAUGACCAUCUAAGCAUACACCCAUCAAGAAUACACAAAAUGCAAGCUAGACAUGGCAAAAACAAUAGCAUAGACUACAACAUCAUCGGCAAAAUCGCUAACAAGUAGACAAUCUGCCCAGAUUCACGAAGUAGCAAAAGUAGAGCUCGAUUGACUCAAGCUAGGUGCUCCAUAAUUGCAAAAAAAGACAUGGAUGGAUAGAGCACUACAAGAUUAACAAAACCUCCUUACUGAUCACCCUUAAAAGAGGCAUGGAUCACUAGGAAACAACAUGAACAUAUGACCAUAUGAGAUAAACAGCUCAAGGACUUAGUGAAAAUGCUAAGUCCCUGAAAUCAGCAUUACCAAGUGCCUCACUUUGCAAGCUCGUGCUAGUCACCACACACAUCACAAAAAUACAUGGGUUGCACCUUUGGAAAAAUGGGAAAACCCUUAACAAAACAUAUGUAGAGCACCAGGGCAUAACAUGCACACAAUAAUCAUGGCAAAAAUGACAAAUAUCUAAAUGGAGUAGCAGAUCUGACAAUUAUCUCAAGUAGCCCUCUUCUAACAGCCUUUCGGGCAUCAAGAUGAACUCAAAGUAAAAUGAUGCAAUGGGAUGAAAUGAUGUACUCUCUGAGACGAACAUUUUCAUAUGCUAUAUGCCCAAAACGGGGCUAUGGAUGUGGAGUUACGGCAUGAUGAACAUGAGCAUUUGAAUCUGAGAAUUUCGGGGACUUAGAAGAAUUUCAACCUCGCAAAAGUCAAUCCGGGAUGGAGAGAAGCGGGACGGCGCGGAUCCGGGACGGAGGACGUCGUUUGGUUGGAGGGAUGGGUGGAUCUCGUCCACCCUCCUCGGAUCCGACCGGAACGGAGGUCCGACGAGCUCGAACGCCGGCGAGGAGGAGCUCCGGCGGCGGAGCUCGGCGAGCCCGGGCGGCAAGGUGUGGAUCCGAUGGCGGCGCGGGGAGGCGCAGGCGACGGCGGCGGAGCCACNNNNNNNNNNNNNNNNNNNNNNNNNNNNNNNNNNNNNNNNNNNNNNNNNNNNNNNNNNNNNNNNNNNNNNNNNNNNNNNNNNNNNNNNNNNNNNNNNNNNNNNNNNNNNNNNNNNNNNNNNNNNNNNNNNNNNNNNNNNNNNNNNNNNNNNNNNNNNNNNNNNNNNNNNNNNNNNNNNNNNNNNNNNNNNNNNNNNNNNNNNNNNNNNNNNNNNNNNNNNNNNNNNNNNNNNNNNNNNNNNNNNNNNNNNNNNNNNNNNNNNNNNNNNNNNNNNNNNNNNNNNNNNNNNNNNNNNNNNNNNNNNNNNNNNNNNNNNNNNNNNNNNNNNNNNNNNNNNNNNNNNNNNNNNNNNNNNNNNNCGCAACUCCGGCGCGAAGAGGCGGUGGGAAGGAAGAGGCACUCGAGCGGCGGCGCGGGAUCUGGCCCGGAUCGGCCCCGCGCGGGCCGGAUCUGGGCCGGCGGGCGGCGCGGUGAAGUGGGGUGCGGGGCGGACAGGUGUCAGGCGGCGAUUGGCGGCGGGGAUUUUUGUCCGGCGCGGAUCCGGACACGUCCGGCGGCGCACGAGGAAGAGAACUAGGGCUUCGGGGAAGAGGAAAGCGGAGGGGGUGUAUUUAUAGGCAUAGAGGGAGCUAGGAGAGUCCAAAUGAGGUGCGGUUUUCGGCCACGCGAUCGUGAUCGAACGUUCUAAAUGAUGGAGCAGGUUUUGGUGGGUUUUGGGCCACUUUGGGAGGGUGUUGGGCUGCAACACACACGAGGCCUUUUCGGUCCCUCGGUUAACCGUUGGAGCAUCAAACGAAGUCCAAAUGGUACGAAACUUGACAGGCGGUCUACCGUUAGUAAACCAAGGACGCUUGGCAAGUCUCGGUCCAAUCCGGAAAUGUUUAAUCCCCACACACGAAAGAAAGGUAGGAAUGACUACCGGAGGAGAACGGAGCGCCGGAAUGCAAAACGGACAACGGGGAAAAUGCUCGAAUGCAUGAGACAAACACGUAUGCGAAUGCAAUGCACAUGAUGACAUGAUAUGAGAUGCAUGACAACGACAACAACACAUGGAGACAAAAACCCGAACCCGAUAAAAUAAAUUAACUUAAGGCCGGAAACGGCAAGAGUUGGAAUACAUAUUGGGUAAGUUACAUCCGGGGUGUUACAACACUCCACCACUACGAAAGGAUCUCGUCCCGAGAUCUAGGACUGAAAGAACGCCGGGUAUUCAAAACGGAGGUGAUCCUCGCGUUCCCAGGUAGCUUCACGGUCGGAAUGGUGUGACCACUUGACUUUGAGGAAUUUGAUUGACUUAUUGCGAGUCCUGCGUUCAGUCUCUUCGAGAAUAGCAACUGGGUGCUCACGGUAAGAGAGAUCUUCUUGGAGCUCAAUGUCCUCGAAGUUGACGGUGCGGUCAGGAGUCUUGAAGCACUUUCGGAGCUGAGAGACAUGGAACACAUCAAGAACAUUUGCAAAGUUUGAAGGAAGCUCGAGUUGAUAGGCGAGAUCGCCUCUCUUGCUGACAAUCUUGAAAGGUCCCACGUAUCUAGGCGCAACCUUCCCUUUGAUACCGAAGCGGCAAGUACCUUUCAUAGGAGAGAUGCGGAGGUAAACAUGAUCUCCGAUUUCGAAAGCCAAAUCACGGUGCUUACUGUCAUAGUAGCUCUUCUGGCGGGAUUGGGCUGCUUUGAGGUUAUCUCGAAUGACUUUGCACAUUUCCUCUGCUUCUGUGAUUAAUUCAUUUCCGAGAAGCUGGCGUUCACCGGUUUCAGGCCAGUUGAGAGGGGUACGGCACUUCCUCCAUACAGAAUUUCAAAUGGGGCCUUGCCCGAACUUGCUUGAAAACUGUUGUUGUAGGAGAAUUCAGCAUAAGGAAGACAAUCCUCCCACUUCAUGCCGAAGGAGAUCACACAAGCCCUGAGCAUAUCUUCAAGAAUCUGGUUGACACGCUCGACUUGAUCGCUAGUUUGAGGAUGGAAAGCUGUGCUGAAACUGAUGUUAGUGCCCAUGGCCUUCUAAAAAGAAUCCCAAAACUUGGAGGUAAAGAUGCUACCACGGUCUGAAGAGAUCACUUGUGGAAUACCGUGCAGAGAGACAAUCCGAGAGGUAUAGAGUUCCGCCAAUUGAGCUGCAGUGAUCGACUCUUUGAUAGGCAGAAAAUGAGCCACUUUAGUGAGUUUGUCGAUGACAAUGAAUAUAGCAUCAUUGCCACGCUUGGACUUUGGAAACCCAGUCAUGAAGUCCGUUUCAAUGUGGUCAAACUUCCAUUCUGGAAUGGCAAGAGGUUGGAGGAGACUAGCUGGCCUUUGGUGUUCUGCCUUCACUCUUCUGCAGACAUCACACUCAUUCACGAAUUGAGCAAUCUCGCACUUCAUUCGAGUCCACCAAUAAGCCUGCUUGAGGUCCUGAUACAUCGUCGUACUCCCAGGGUGGAUGGAGAGAAGAGAAUUGUGAGCCUCGUUCAUGAUCACUUUACGAAGUUCACCUUUGGGUACAACAAUACGAUCCUCGAAGAAGAGAGUAUCCUUGUCAUCAAGGCGGUAGCACUUGUACUUGGGUUGACUCUUGGCAAUCCCAAUCUUCACCUUUUUCACCAUAGCACCAAGAAGCUGGGCUUGGCCCCUCAUGUAAAGAUUUGUAAUCCAUACUCUGGUGAUCACAACGUUAUGCGUGAGUUUAGUCGCUAGCCCGGUGAUGGUUCGGUUGAUUCGUUUACCUUCCGGCCCUGGCGUGCCCUGAGCGGGCCUGCGGGGGGAUGCUAUGCCUCCGGCGUCUUUCGGUUAACUUGUGGAUCCUAUGAUGAGGACCUCCGGAGAGGGUGCGGAGACAACGGUCCUGGCUGUGAAUGUGCCUCGCUCGGCCCGGCUCGCGAGGGGCUCGUGAGGGGGGCAGCCGAUGUUAACCUUGGACGCAAAGCCAAAACCAGAACGCGAGAGAUUGCUCGAACAUGACUAAACACCCCCUCCCAGAAUGCACGCAAGCUUCGAACUCAAAUCCAACUUAAAUCCAACUGAAUAAAUUUGCCGACAAGGAAGAAGCAAAAAAGGAAAGAAGGCAGAAGAAAAGCAAAAAAGCCGCGUCCGGCACCAAGUCUAGUCUUCAACGUCUUCUCACCAGCGCGGAGCUAAGUGCUGCCAAUGGGCGUGGGCGGGAGCCCCAGGGACUGAGGCCGGCGCUCUUGAGACUCCAGGGCGUGUAUAGCCCCACUCAUUAUUACAUGAGUGUCACGGGGCGGCGAGCUUCACAGGCACUGGGCCUUCUUCACAGGUACCGGCCUUGCUUCAUAUCGCCAGCUGAGGGCCCCGCCUUGCGCCUCACUUUGUCGCCAUUGACGGCGACCGGAAACCAAGGACGACACCAAUGGGGUAGAGCGGUCUCUAGCGGUUCCCCCGACGACCACGGGUCCUCCGCCGGGGGCAGGCCAUGGGGCACCUCCCCGGCGGAGGGCCUACCUCCUGAGAACACCUUGGCCCGACCGCCGCGAGGGUGAGUCCGGAUCUCGACCCCUUUCUUGCAGCCCCCUGCACCCUCCUCCUGAGGGAUAAGAGGCUGCAGCGUUGGGGCAGCCAUCCGCUGCAGCGACCUGACCUCCUGCGACCCAUGGUUAGUGUAAGCUUGAUCCUGAAGAAUGAAUGGUACCCGAUAGUUGCUGCUGUCGGCGCGAUUGUCGAUGCUCUCUUGGGGUUCCUGAAAGAGCUCGGCUUCCGGCGCCUCCUCGUCCCAGCCGGGCCUGAGGAAUGAGCCGUGACCUCCUUCCAGCUCGUGCCCUUGAUCCACCAUGCGGGGUACAUAGGCCUCCGGGGCGACCACCUCGUGGACCUUGCUGUAGCGCCCCGUAUGCCACGCAGUCUGGCUUGGGGCGUCGCCUUGUAUGUGAUGACACGGUGGUCCGCCAAGGCCAAAGGCCGCGGCGCGCAUCCCUUCGCCAGCUUGCGGAAGGGCCGGCGCGAUCAGCCGCCCAGUGCUGGCGGAGGUGUUGGCGUUGGACCGGCCUUGGGCCCGCCUGAAAUCGCGUGGGCGCGCAGAAUGCCGUCGUGCGACAUGUCCUAGAUCUGGGGCGGUAGCUAGAUGCAGAAAGGGGGCGCUCCUGAGACGGUGGCAUCCAGGAGCUCGGCCACUCGCUCCAACAACACGUCGUGGACGCCUUCCAGCAAGCGGCACCGUAGUAGCUCUCGGGCCACCAUGAGCGCGGCCCUGGAGUUCGCCUGCUCCCAUCGGGUGUAUGGCGCCGUGGCAGCGACGUGGUUCGAGGCCCUUGCUGUGGCCCGCACCUGCUGUGGCGUGAGGGCAGGCCACGUCUGGCCGCGUCGCCCGUGUCCCGCAGCGCCCUGCGGAGCGCGAGCUGCCUGAGGCUCAAGGUUGAGGUCACCCUGAGACGGCGGCACGACAUGGGCGGGCCACGCCACCCAGCGGUCGGCGUUGGCAGCCGGGUUGCUUGACAUCUGGGUGGCGAAGCGGCGGAACGCGACGCGGAGGAAGAAGGACUCCGGUGCACCCCUACCUGGCGCGCCAAAUGUCGGAUUUUGGGUUCCGACAAUCCCUUAAGGUUCGAACACUGGGGUGCGCGUGGAGAUCUCUCCCCUACCGAUCUACGUCUGAUCCUCUCGUGCGAACUAAGAUGAAAAUGAUGAACAACACAAGAGACACAAGGUUUAUACUGGUUCGGGCCAUCGUUGUGGUGUAAUACCCUACUCAAGUGUGUGGUGUGGUGGAUUGCCUCUGGGGCUGAUGAUGGACAGUACAAGGGAAGAACAGCCUCGUGAGAGGUGUUCUUGCGCUGGUGCGAUGAACUGCUAGGGUGAGUUCCGUCGCCUCUCUCUCUCUGCUAGGGUUCUACCAGAUCUCUCGAUGUUCUCGGGGUGUCUAGAUGUCUCUACUCUGUGGUGGCUAGCUCUAUUUAUAGAGGCCCCGGGCCUCUCCCCGAAUAAUUGAGCGGGAAGGGCGCCAACAAUUGGCCAUUUUGAAGGGGAACAUCUAGUACAAGUUAUCCUGACCAAAGGUGGUCUUCGGCUGCCAAAAGCAAUGGUGAUGACGCUGUCUUGGGCUCCAUGGUGACCUCCGUCCUGCCGCUCUGCUGGUCUUGGUCUUGUUGCACCGGAAUGGCAACCUUUGCUUGAUGCCUUGGCCUAUGCUUGCCCCCUUUGCACCAAAGGGGAAACAAGGACACUGCGCAGGCCGGCGCCCGCCUGGCCUUGAUCGUCAUGGCUUGCGUCAUGGGAUCCUCGUGAGGUACCCCUGCCUUGAUCUCUCCGCCUCCUCGCGAGCCUGCCUGAUGAGGCUGCCUCUGAGGAAGCUUCCUGUCGUCCGCCCCACGAGGCUUGGCCCCUCGCGAGGGUCUUGAGCUUGCGUUGAUGAAGAUGGGCCGCGCUGGGCCCCCACUUGAGCCACGCCGCAGGCCGCAGGCAGGCAAGUCUGGGGACCCCCGUUCCCAGAACGCUGACAGACCCUCCUUCAUGCUGCUCGGCCUCGCCUAUCCAGGCAGGUAAUCCACACCGACCCCCAUCCUCCUCCUCCUUCCACAUCCCACAUGCCCCGACCGCCGGCGCAAGCACGACACCUUCCACCCAAAUCACGGACCCCUCCACCAAAUAAGCGCCGGCCUAAGCCAUGGUGCACGAAGUAUAGCCAGGACCUCAAGGAGCAUUUGGCAGCGGAGAAGCAAAUCGCGGCCGCACACGCGGAUGAGGUCGCGAUGACUGCCAUUCAUGCCGACCCCCAUAUCUUGGAGGAGCACCUCUGUAACGCCCCAGAUACAACUUUCCAUAUUUGUAACUCCGACUCUUGCCUUUUUCGGAGAUGCGAUAUGAGAUUCCCUUCAAUGGUUGGGUUUUUGUCUUUCGUUUUGCAUUUUGUUCAUGUCAUGCAUUUCAUAUCAUGUCAUCAUGUGCAUCGCAUUUGCAUAUGUGUUCUUGUCAUGCAUCCGAGCAUUUUCCCCGUUGUCUGUUUCUCAAUCCGACACUCCUACUUGCACCGGCGCACCCCUCUUGUCUCUUUUCGUGAGCGGGUGUUAAACAUUCUCGGAAUGGGCCGAGAUUUAUCAAGUGGCCUUGGUACACCACCGGUAGACCACCUGUCAAAUUCCGUUCCAUUUGGAGUCUGUUUGAUGCUCCAACGGUUAACCGGGCAACUGCAAAAGCCUCUUUUGUGUUGCAGCCCAACACCCCUCCAAAACGGCCCAAUAAUUCAUCUAAACCACUUCCAUGUCCUCCUUCGUCGGAUCACGAUCGUGUGGGCGAAACCCGCACCUCAUUUGGGCAUUCCUAGCUCCCUCUACCUAUAUAAACACCUCCCCGUCCAAAAUCGCAGCCUAAACCCUAGAUCCACUCCUCCAUCGCGCAUCCGGACGCGUCCGCGCCACGCCGGAUAUGUCCGCACACCGGCCACGUCGCCCCGACCAAUGGGAGCGCGACACGUCACCCCUGCCGCCGCUUCUAGCCAACCAGGCGCCGCCACCUCACCCUCUCUCUCCUCCCACCCCGCCAGACCCGCCGGAGCCCAUCGCCAGCCUGCUUGCGGGCCGAACCAGGCUUGCAUCGCUGCCGCCAGCGCCGGUGCACGCCUCCCGUGGCCACCUCGUCCGCCCACCAUGGUCGGCCCGCCAUGGCCGCGAGCCAUGGAGCUCCGCCCGCCACCAAUGGUCAUCACCGAGAACGGGUCCGCCUCGACCCGAUCCGGCCGCCCACAUCGUCAUCCCCGCCGGCAAUGUCCUCCUCUGCCGGGUCCUGCGUCCCCGCGCCUCCCCGUCGUCGCCGGAGAGCUCACUGGAGCUCUCGCCGGUGCCGGAUCCGGGGAGUGGGAUGAGAUCCACCACUCCCCCGAACCAAACGCCCUCGUCCCCGUCCUGUACCGCGCCGUCCCGGAUAUCCUCAUCCCGUUGACUUUUCGGAGGGUAAAAUUCCACUAAGUCCCGAAUCCCUGAUAUUUUGUGCACUUCUUCAUCAUGCCAUAUCUACAUGCUCGGUGAUCCGUUUUGUGUAUAUGAUAUAUAGAAAUGUUCGUCUCGUUGAGCUCUUCAUGUUAGAUGCAUUUCCAUGCAUGUUGCGGUCUGUUAUGAUGCCUUUUUCAUUGAUGCAAGAGUGCUAUAAAUAGUUAACUGCUGGUACUUAUCAGAUCAUGAGUUUUUGUCAUUUUUGUUGCAUUUGAUGUAUGCAUUGUUUGAGUAUGAGGUCUACAUGAGUUUUGAACUACAUCAUGCCAUCUUUACAGAGGUGCUUGCCUUGUAUUUUUGUGGUCUAUGUGGUGACUAGCACAAGCAUGCAAACUAGGCUUCAUGAUGUUGCUGUUUUCAGGGACUUAGGAUUUUGUUAAGUCUUUUCCUGCUGUUAUUUUGAUGCCUUGUAAACAUGUUGCUACAGUGAGAUCCAUGCUUAUUUUGAGAUGCUUCAGUAAGAAUAUUUUGAAACAUGUGGUUAUGCUCUAUCCAUCCAUGCCCCUGUUUGCAAUUAUGGAGUGCUCUAGCGUGUCUUGUUCUUGCUCUACUUUUGCUAUAAAAUGUUCCUGGAAGGAUGUUAACAUGUUAAUCAAUAUUGCCAUGGUUGUUGUUAGUGAUCCAUGCAUCCUAUGAACUUGCUCUUGCCAUGGUUAGCUUCAUGAUCUUGUCAUCUUGUUGUUGGUAUGCUUGUUUUGUCAUUCUAUGCUUUGUGGUGAGUGGCAUGAGCUCGCAAAGUUGCUAUCAUAAUUCUGUUUAUGCCAUGCUCUGUUUUUCUGCCAGGUCUGAAACUGUUAAUAAAACUUGCUAUGUUUACAUGGGUGCCAUCAUAUCUUAUGUGCCUUUUUGGAUCAUGAUCAGUAAGGGACUUUUAUUCUAUGCUUCUAGUAGAAUCCUUCCAUGCAUUGGUUCGCUAUGAUAUGUUCCUGUAGCAUGUUGUUUGCUUGCUCUAAACAUUGCUUCAUGAUGUUGUUUUUGACAUGUUGGUAUUUUCACUAAGUCUGUGAUGCUGAUAUCUUUUGCACUUUUGCCAUACUUGUUUGAACCUGUUCUUGAGUGAUUCAGUCGUAGCUCAAUGUUCAUGUUUUAUCAAGCAUCUCUUGUACAUCCCUGCCAUAUGCUUUGUUGUUAUGUUCGAGUGCAGUAGCUAAGUUUCUUGUUGCAUUCUAAGUGGCAUCAUCCUGUUAAUCGCAGUUUUGCGUCAUUCUUGUGAUGCUUGCCACUUGCAAACCGUGCAUCCGUUUCCGGUGAUCUUUAUACCGAUUUCAACAGAAACCAUCUCAUCUUUCCAGUGGCAUACUUGGUUUGCCAAGUUGAUGCCUUGAUCAUUCUUUCCUUCCGGAGCACGCAUAUGCAUUGCAUAUCAUGUCAUGUCUUGCAUCAUGUUGCUUGUGCAUUGCACCGUGAUUGAUUGUUUGUUCCAUUGCUUGUGUUCUUGCUUUGGGUUGAGCCAGGAGACGAGUACGUGAUGAGGAACCUGUUGAGUUCCCUAACGAGGAUCAAGCUUUCGACAACUCUGAGUACAUUGCAAGCAAGAUGACCAUACCCUCGAAAUCACUUCUAUCUUUGCUUGCUAGUUGUUCGCUCUAUUGCUAUGUCGCGCUACCUACCACUUGCUAUAUCAUGCCUCCCAUAUUGCCAUGUCAGCCCCUAACCCACCUUUCCUAGCAAGCCGUUGUUUGGCCAUGUUACUGCUUUUGCUCAGCCCCUCUUAUAGCAUUGCUAGUUGUAGGUGAAGCCGAAGUUUGUUCCAUGUUGGAACAUGGAUAUUGUUGGGAUAUCACAAUAUCUCUUAUUUAAUUAAUGCAUCUAUAUACUUGGUAAAGGGUGGAAGGCUCAGCCUUAUGCCUGGUGUUUUGUUCCACUCUUGCUGCCCUAGUUUCCGUCAUACCGGUGUUAUGUUCCUUGAUUUUGCGUCCCUUACGCGGUUGGGUGUUAUGGGAACCCCUUGACAGUUCGCUUUGAAUAAAACUCCUCCAGCAAGGCCCAACCUUGGUUUUACCAUUUGCCUCACCACCACCUACUUUUCCCUUGGGAGUCGCGCUCCCGAGGGUCAUCUUUAUUUUACCCCCCCCCUCCAGGCCAGUGCUUCUCUAACUGUUGGUACGAACUAGGCAAUGUAUGGCGCCCCCUGGGCAACCAGGGUCUAUGCCAACCCGACGUCUUGCCCAUCCGGUGUGCCCUGAGAACGAGAUAUGUGCAGAUCCUAUCGGGAUUUGUCGGCACAUUCGGGCGGCUUUGCUGGUCUUGUUUUACCAUUGUCGAAAUGUCUUGUAACCGGGAUUCCGAGACUGAUUGGGUCUUCCCGAGAGAAGGGAUAUCCUUCAUUGACCGUGAGAGCUUGUGAUGGGCUAAGUUGGGACACCCCUGCAGGGUAUAAACUUUUGAGAGCCGUGCCCACGGUUAUGUGGCAGAUGGGAAUUUUUUAAUAUCCGGUUGUAGAGAACUUGGCACUUAACUUAAAUAAAAUGGAUCAACCACGUGUGUAGCCGUGAUGGUCUCUUUUCGGCGGAGUCCGGGAAGUGAACACGGUCUUGUGUUAUGCUUGAACGUAAGUAGUUUCAGGAUCACUUCUUGAUCACUUCUAGCUUAUCGAUCGUUGCGUUGCUUCUCUUAUCGCUCUUAUUUCCGUAUGUUAGCCACCAUAUAUGCUUAGUUCUUGCUGAAGCUCCACCUCAGUACCCUUUCCUACCCAUAAGCUUAAAUAGUCUUGACCUCGCGGGUGUGAGAUUGCUGAGUCCUCGUGACUCACGGAUACUUCCAAAAGUUGCAGGUGCCGAUGAUACCAGUGCAGGUGAUGCAACUGAGCUCAAGUGGGAGCUCGAUGAAGAUCUUGAUCGUUGUUUUGCUUCAUUUCCUGUUGAUUAGUAGUGGAGCCAAGUUGGGACGAUCGAGGAUCUAGCAUUUGGGGUUGUCUUCUUUUAUUUUGGUUCCGUAGUCGGACCUUGUUUGUAAUUUGGAUGAUGUAUGUUUAACUUGUAAUUGUGUGAAGUGGCGAUUGUAAGCCAACUCUUUAUCCCUUUCUUAUUCAGCACAUGGGAUGUGUGAAGAUUACCCCUCUUGAGACAAUCCUACCAUGUGGCUAUGCCUCUAAGUCGUGCCCCAACAUGUGGGAGAUAUAGCCGCAUUGUGGGUGUUACAACCUCACCGUUGAGGCCACUAUUGACGCCUCGCAUGCCGAUGCCGUGACGCGGUUGGCUGCUUUAACCGACAGCUCGUGGCAUUUUCUCGAGGCCACCGUCGGUGCCUUCGACGAAGACUACGAGGUGUUUUCUCAGCAUGCACGUGCUUACCUCAUCUGGAGAGCCAGUAGGUUGGUGCCCGGAGCGGCUCAGGCAACUCACCACUACAACGAGGGCACCCACGAUGCGGAGGCCUCGCCCUAUUCCAUGUCCAAGGAGCCAAUCGUCAUCGAUAUCUCCGACAAUGAGGAGUAUCUUGUCUUAUUAGCUCACUAUAAGGACCCAUGUUCAGUUUACUAGCUACUGCCUUUCCUUAACAAAUUCUAGUGAAUUGUGCUAUCUACUUUUACCAUGCAAUCUUCUGCUAUAGUGUAUAUGUUCUAUAUGUCGUGCAAUGUGGUGUUCAAUUAACUGCUUGGUUCAAUUCUACAAAUGUGAUGUUCAAUUCUUCAGGGUGCAAUAUUUCCAAGUUGUUAAGCUUGCUUGGUUUGGUUAACUGUCUGAUCUUCUAUUAGGAGUAUGUUAUAUUGUUCAAUUGGUAUUUAGUUAACUGCUUGGUUCAUUUGUUGUGGCUUGGUUCACUUGUUGUGGUGUUUAGUUAACUGCUUGGUUCAAUUCUGCAAUGCGAUGUUCAAUUAUUGUGGCUGCAUUCUGUUAUUGUAUACCAUGUGAGGAAUAAAUCGAAUUUGGUUGUACUAAAUACAUGAGAAACAAAUACAAUUGCUAUAUUUCCAAGUUGUUAAGCAUGCUUGGUUUGGUUAACUGUCUAAUCUUCUAGUAGGAGUAUGUUAUAUUGUGCAAUGUGGUGCUCAGUUAAUGUUUGGUUCAUUUGUUGUGGUGUUUAGUUAACUGCUUGGUUCAAUUUUGCAAUGCGAUGUUCAAUUGCUAUGGCUGCAUUCUGUUAUUGUAUACCACGUGAGGAAUAAAUCGAAUUGGGCUGCACUUAAUACAUGAGAAACAUAUACAAGUGAUAUAUUUCCUAGUUCUUAAUCAUGCUUGGUUUGCAUAAAUGGGUUUUCCAUGUGGCCUGAAUUAAUCUGAUGAAUCUGCAAUGUGCUUAUUUAUCAUCAACAUAUUUUACUGAUAGCAUGCGAACCAUUACUUAACCUAAUUACUAGCUACCUUAUAUCUGUUGCAGGGAAACAAUGGGAAGCACUGAGGUUUACAAGAUGGUACUAACUAUUAUACCUUGCCUUUUUGUAUUCCUUUGUCCCAUUUCCAAUAUAGAGAAGAUAUUUAUGCACAUCCUUGUUUUCAGGCUUCGCUGAUGAUUACCUCUCAAACCACCUCUGUGGUCAGGAGGCGCGGAAAUUUUUCAUACAACACCCAUGGUUCAAUAUUGAAGUGUUCCUGAAGAGGUUGAAGUAUGGACGGUCAAUCAUCCACAGGUACUGGCCUAAAGUUGCAAAGACCAUCAACAUGAAUGAAGGCUCAAUAUUCGCCUUCCGCUUCAGCAGUUUCCCAGAUGAGAUUCAUCUCUCUAUGUACCAUCUAUGAUACUAAUUUCGAAAGGUUCUAGAUGUUGCAUGUGAAACUUGUUGCUGGUGCAGUUGUGUAAUGGGGUAGCUAAGUGCUGAAGCUAUAUCAUGUUGUAUUCCAAUGUAUUUGAAUUAUGAAAUCCUGCUUCCUUAAUGCGAAAAUGGAAUAUAUUAUGUGCUUAAUAUGAAUGUCAAUUAGAUUAGUAAAUGGAUUAUUAAUAAUAGGGAAAUUAGCCAGCUAAUUGGGUUUUCCUAUUGCAAACGGUUAAUGAGAAAACAUCAUGGGCGAUGACCUCAGGAAACGCACACAGUUUCUAGGAAUAAACCGUGUUGGAUCAAUGAACAAUCACACACGACAUUCUUUUUAAAACUGUUUGCGUUACUCCACCUUGCGCAAAUGUUUUCCUUGUAGUGACUAUGUGGGAUGUAUAUACGAAUGCAAACGUUUAGUGGGGACUGACUGUGUGGGAUGUACUUCGGACCGAAAACAAUUUCGUCGUAUAAUUGUUUUUUUAGCACUACUGUACGUAUUUCCGUAUUUGAGCGCUCGCCGGUCGCACACAACCUCAUUUUGCCGAGCGUGUGUGCUAGGAGGGCAUAUCCCCAACGGUUUCUGGGUCGUGUGGGAAGGACCCCCCUAUCUCCCACACUCACUUGGCGACGGUUCCGAAUGCCGUCGCGGAAAGGGGUUAAAAACCGUUUGUUUAGGACCGAGGCGUACCAGUGCAUCUCCAAUCUUAACAGAAAAAAUGGUCAUGCCCACUACUGGCUUAUUCUUAUCUAACAUAUCUUGUGCAUUUCAAGCAGGUUUAGCACUUCUAGUAGCCUCAUCACAGAAUUAAAUAACAUGCCCAUCAAUAUUAUCAACCACGAGAUACCAUAGCAAUACUAGGUUCCACACUUAUUUGUUUAGAGGGUCUAGGUGUUCUGGUAUUACUUCUAUUAACCAUAGUUGUAGCUUUAGCAUGUUCCUUAAUCCUAACAGGAAAAGGUGGUUUCUCAAUAUAAGCAGUAGGCACAACUGGAUCAUCAUUAUAGAUAAUUGUUUCGUCUUUAACUAUACUAGUUUCCUCUAACAUUUCUUCAAUGGGUGGAUGAAAUUUAAACAACUUCUCCUUAGGGUCAACAUGAGUUGCAAAAGAUUCACAAAAGGAAGCUAAUAUCUCAGAGUCAAGUCCAUAUUUAGACUAAACUUAUGAAAAGCAUCAUAUUCCAUGAAAGAUUUAACACAAUCAAACUCAAGCUUUAUACCUGACUCUUUACCUUUGUCGAGUUCCCAAUCUUCAGAAUUGUGUUUAAUUCUUUCCAGAAGACCCCAUUUAAAUUGAAUAGUUUUCUUCAUAAAGGAACUAGUAGAAGAAGAAUCGAGCAUGGAUCGAGCAUUAUGAGAAAGCCGAGCAUAAAAUUUUUGAAUAAUAAUUUCUCUUUAGAGCUCAUCAUUGGGGCAUGUGUGCAUCAUUUACUUAAGCUUCCCCCAAUCUUGAGUGAUACUGUAUCCUUCACGAGGCCAAAAAAGUUACAUAUAAUUCCGAUCACGAUGAACCCGAUGCAUAUGAUAAUACUUAUGAUGAAAUUCCAAUUUCAAUUGGUUCCAAUCCCAUGUUCCAAUAGCAUCCAUUAUCCUAUACCAUGUCAAUGCAUCUCCCUCCAAAGAUAAAGGGAAAAGCUUCUUCUUCACUCCAUACUCGGAUAAACCUGCAAGCUUAAACAAUCCACAAAUUUCAUCCACAUAGAUUAAGUGCAUAUUAGGAUGUACCAUUCCAUCUCCUGCAUAAGGAUUAGCUAGCGGUUUCUCUAACAUAACCGAAGGAAUCUCAUAAUAAAUAUUUUCAAUAGCUUUAGUAGGUUGAGGGGCAACUCUUAUUGCUUCCGGUCGAGGUGAAGAUACCCCAAACAAACCCCUCAAAGGAUUAUUUUCCAUAGUAACAAGUGACAGAAAAUUUUAGUACGUAAUAUAAAUGUUUCCUUACAAAAUUCCACUUACCAAAGGCGCUUCGCACCCCAGCAACGGUGCUAGAAAUGAGUCUCGAUGACCCACAAUUAUAGUAGAUCAAUUUUAGUCCUUUCGAUAAGUAAGAGUGUCGAACCCAACGAGGAGCAGAAGAAAAUGAUAAACGGUUUUCAGCAAGGUAUUCUCUGCAAGUGCUGAAAGUAACAAUGAUAGAUAGUUUUGUAGCAAGAUAAUUUGUAACAAGUAACAAGUAGCAAUAGUAACAAGGUACAGCAAGAAGGCCCAAUUCUUUUAUAGCAAAGGACAGUUCUGAAAGUUCUCUUAUAUAAAUCAAAGCGUUCUCAAGGACACAUGGGAAUUAUCGUCUAGUCACUUUCAUCAUGUUUAGUUGAUUCACGUUCAUUCCUUUGAUAAUUUGAUAUGUGGGUGGACCAGUGCUUGGGUGUUGUUCUUACUUGAACAAGCAACACUCUUAUGAUUACCCCCUCUCACAAGCAUCCGCAACUACAAAAUAAGAAUUAAGAUAAAUCUAAGCAUAGCAUGAAACAUAUGGAUCCAAAUCAACCCCUUACAGAAUAAUGCAUAAAUUAGGGUUUAAGCUUCUAUCACUUUAGCAACCCAUCAUCUACUUAUUACUCCAAAAUGCCUUCCCGUAGGCCCGAGUAUGGUGAAGUGUCAUGUAGUCGGCGCUCAAAUGACACCACUAAAGGAAAAAACAACAUACAUAUCAUCAAAAUAUCGAACGAAUACCAACAUCACAUGAUUACUUAUAACAAGACUUCUCCCAUGUCCUCAAGAACAAAAGUAACUACUCGCAAGUCAUAUUCGUGUUCAAGAUCAUAGGGGUGUUGAAUAUGCUUGAGGAUCUGAACAUUUAAUCUUCCACCGAAUAAACAAACUAGCAUCAACUACAAGAUGUAAUCAACACUGCUAGCAACCCAUAGGUACCAACCUAAGGUUUUGAGACAAAGAUUGAAUACAAGAGUUGAACUAGGGUUUGAGAUGAGAUGGUGUUAGUGUUGGUGAAUGUGUUGAUGGAGAUUGGUCCUCCCGUGAUGGGAGGACCAUUGGUGAUGUCGAUGGCUUUGAGUUCCCCCUCUCGGAGGGAAGUAUCCUCGGUGGAAUCGCUUCGCCGGAGAGCAAAAGUGCUCUUGCCCAGGUUCCGCCUCAAGACGGUGGUGCUUCAUCCUAAAAGUCCUCCUCUUAUUUAUUUUUCUAGGUCAAAACCCCUCAUAUAGUAGAAGAUGGGUAUCGGAGGCCAGCUAUGGGCCCCACAAGGCAUCACGGCGCGUCCAGGGCGUGGUCGCACCCUAUUGCCUUGUGGGCAACUGGUGGCCCCCCUCUGAUAACUCUUUGUCCAGUAAUUUUUAUAUAUUUAACAAAAAAUCUAUGUGAAGUUUUAGGUCAUUUGGAGCUCUGUAGAAUAGGUAUCUAAUUGUAGCUUCUUAGGUCCAGAAUUCCAGCUGCCAGUAAUCUCCCUCUCCAUGUAAAUCUUGCAAAUUAAGAGAGAACAGACAUUAGAAUUGCAUCGUAAAGUGGAAUAAUAAGAAAAAACAAUAUAAAUAACCGUAGGAAAACAUGAUGCAAAAUGGACGUAUCACUGUGCCACCAAUUAUUGUAUAAAUUAAUUAAUUAAAAUUGAAAAUCGCUUGGAGCACCGAUGAAGAUUUUAUCGAUUUACUAAUGAUCUUGUAUUGAUGUAACUCCUUAUAACAAUCUCUUCAUUUUCUCCGUAUGCGAGAGACAUUACGUCUUUGCAGUUAACGACAUUUUCACUGUUGUCCCUAUGAUCAAAACUUUGAUCAGUCUUGUAACUUUACUUAUAUCUGGUUGUUUACAUACCAUGGAAUAUAAUUAACACAAGUAUAUUUUUCUCAUCAGUAUUUCAGGAUAUUGAUUCUUGCUUAAAACUCCUUCCAUGUGACUUGCGACAAGAAACUCUUAUUGGUGUUUUCAUACUAAACUGCUUUUAGUAUCUUGUCAAUAUGUAUGUUUGCUAAGCCCGAUUAGGUACUAUUAUCUCCAUAGAUAAUUAUGCCUAAUCUGCGUCUAUAUUGCCUAAGUAUUUUACUAAAAAAACUAGUUCGAAUACAGUCCAACUACGUGUCAAGAAAUUUAUAUAAUUUCCAAUCAAUAAUUUGCCAUGCACACACAGUGUUCAGAAAUAUUAUCAUGCUCCCACUUACUUUCUUGUAAAUACAAGUAUCUUCGCUUUCCUUGAUGAAAUCAAAUUAUUUGACCAUUUUAUCAGAACGAAGAUUCCAACUCAACUAUGCACACUUAUUAGCAUCCUAUGGAUUGAAAAAAUUACCUUUGGACUAUAUCAUAUAUACAACCAUGGUUCCAUCUCAGGAAAUCCUUUAGACAUCCAACUAUUAUAUCUCAUAAUUGAAACAUUUAGUAAUUGCCAGUUUAACCUGAACUGACUUUAAGCAUUGUUAUGAUGAGACAAUCUCGUCAUAAUCAACUCCUUUAUCUUGUCAUAAACUAUUUGUAACAAGUCAAGCAUUAUCAAACAUUUUUAUCUUUGUCAUUUUAUAGAUCCAUUACUAUACUUUAGACUCUAUGUCUUCUGGAGGUUUCAUCAAGUUCUAACCUUGAGUUGUGUAUAUGGAUACUAUCUUAGAUUAUUUUGGCUUAUAGCCAACAACAGAGUCAGGGCCCAUCAACGCUUCCUUGUGUAUUAUAGGUUCACUGUUUGUUCAACAAUAUCUAGUCAGCACACCAUCAAGGUUUGCAUGAAUUUGCCCAACCUAUAUAGUUCAGCUGCAAAUUUCACUGAAGUCUCUAUAUCUCAUGUUGAGGCUUCUGUAUCAGUUGUAGUAGGGAGUACUAGCUAGAACCACUUCUAGCAUUUCUUUUCUUUGACCUGAUUACGAAGAUUUUGUAAUCUCGUCGAGUUGCACUGUUCUCCCACUCACUCUUUUUCAGAAAACACGUUCUUCGAAAUUUACCGCACUCUACGGCAAAACACUUUGCAUCGGCGUAGUGAUAGAGGAAAUCCAACUAUUUGGGAUAACCAACAAAGUAGCAAUUAUCUUACUUGGGACAUAAACUUGUAAACAUUUUUACUUAUGUCUUAUAUUCUCAAAUAUUAAUAAAAGACCAAAUGGUUUGGCAUACCAUACCAUAUCUUAUAUGGUGUCACUUCAACAGAUUUGAUUGCGCUCUUUUCAGUGUAAAAGCCACGUUCUCUAAAGUGUCACAUUAAAAUUAUAUUGUCAAAUUGAUUUAAUGUCAUCUUUGAUCUCACCAUGUCAUACAUGGUUCGAUUCCAUCUAUUUUGACACACAAUCCGAGUGAUGUUCCACGAGGUGCAAGUUAAUAAACUCUUUUCACAACCCAUCAGAUAAUCGCUAAAUUUGUGACUCAAAUAUUCCUUUCUGCAAUCCAAUUGUAGAAAAAUAAUUUUCAAGUUACAAUAAUUUGUACUUCAUUCUGAUAUAUUUUUUUGAAACAUUUCAAAGAAUUCGGAUUUAUGUCUCAUGAAGUAAAUCUGAGUAUCUACUUGAGUCAUCGUUGAAGAUAGAUAAAUCACUGCUUACAACAACACCUAUUUGACUACACAUAUCAAUAUGCAUGUUUCCAAUUAUUUUAUUGCGCGUUCUUUAUGGCAUGUGAACAGUAUUUUAGUUUACUUCACUAUUUGGACGAAAGUUGCAAGUGUCGGAUGAUUCAUAAUCAGAUGACUUCAAAAUCCUGCACUAUGGAAUUUCUCCAUGCGGGUUUCUCCAAUGUGACCAAAUGAAGUGCCACACAUAUGUGGUAUUCUCUUAGUCUUGCGACAUUUAGCGUCAGUGUUAUGGAUGUUCAAUUUUACAAUCGAUAUUCAUAACUUACAUCCUAUUCACAAUAGGAGUAUGGCUUUUUUUCAUUAUAUCAAACAACUAUUUUUCUCUCAUGAACAACCUCCUUGCAACUUCUAUGCAAUGAGCUAGAGUGUACAAAACUCUAAAAUGAAUUAUCGCAAUAAAUACAGAGGUAAUAUGUUAAUGAAAAAGUAUCAUAACUUUUACAAAGUUUCUAUCAGAUAUUUUAACAUCAUUAUUUGUUGGCUAUUAGGACAUAGUAAUUCUUGCAUCGAUUCGCAACAACAUGCAAUCGAUUCGAUAUCCUAGUGAUCAACUUUUAACAAUUUAAUCACAAUUCCCAAGAAUUACAUUUUACUUGACCAACUUUCUCUACAUCUUAUAACUUGUAUGACAUUCAUACCUGAGCUGGACAUUCCAGUCUUCUUUUCUUUCUGCCUUUAUACUUUGUACAGUUUUACUUCCAAUAUUUCCCCUACUCACAGAAGAAGCAUCCAACUUUAAGAGUGGCGUGAGCCCCAAACUUCCCUAGGCAUGGAAGUAUCGUCACAUCCUUCGGAUUUGUUCUUUCUCUUUAAAUUCUCACCGUCAACUUUUGACUGAUGUUCUUCCAAAUCAUAUGCAUUUCAGUCUUUAAACAUAGUUGAACGCUUCACAGGAACUUGCAAGCAAACACUUCUUUAGAAUUCACAUGUUUUUUAGCCUUUGUUUGUUUUUGAAAAUAGUUUUGGUUCCAAGAAUAUCAAAUGACUCUCCCAAACACUUUGAAGUUCGGCUUUCUUGAAAGCAAGUAGACCGUAAUAGGAUUCUAGUCUGUUGGAUCGAAGGACGUGAGUCUCAUCAUCCACGGCUUCUGUGGAAGAGUAUUGAAAACAUGCAAUAGGAAAAAAUCCUUCUUGGAACUUUAGAGGACAAUUCUCUCAUUAUGUUUACCAAUCGUAAAGAUUCAACCAAAUAAUGAAAACAGCUAAUCAAUUUCAACUGAAAAAGGUGGAACCGAGAGCCAUUAUUCUGUAACUAUAAUGCAAACUACACAUAGAUAUUGUUCAUAAUUAAUUGCACUAGUGAUUAAACUUAAUUAAUUCAUAAUUGUACUCCCACUCAAAUAAUAUCUCUUAUAGUUGAUGUUGAGUGAUUCAAGAUCCUGGUCUUAUUCACAACCAUUAAAGGUAGCAUCACUGAUGACAUGAACUUCAACCGGUAGACAAACUUGUCGAUCAUAUCACCAUAUGACUCAUAUUCAUCUUUCGACGCUUUGUGCUCCGAGCUCACAAUGUUUUUGUCAGAACUUCAAGAUAAUUGAAUGUUUCUGCUGUGAGGUCUUACCUUCACCCGCCUUACACUUCACCCUUCAUGUGUACUCAUGGUAGCAUGAUGCACUCCGAAAAGCUACGUGUUGUAGACGGUUGCUACACAAGGAAGAGCACUAACUACUUGAUCACCCUAAUAGUUGACUAGUGCACAAUCAAAGGAUACAAACAACAAAGAGAUAAACAUCUCAGGAAAUUCAUAAUAGUGUGAUAUUAUAUUGUCCUGGGUGCGAGGAACGUCUCCAUGAACCUCCGAGGUCUUCAUGACAAUUGUCCAAAAAUGUUGUCGUGGCAAUAAUUUUGGAAACUGCUACCAUGGCAAUACUUUUGUUCUCCUGCGCCUUGAUACGUCUCCAACGUAUCUAUAAUUUUUGCUUGUUCCAUGUUGUUAUAUUAUCAUUCUUGGAUGUUUUACAAUCAUUUUAUAACAACUUUAUAUCAUUUUUUAGGACUAACCUAUUGACAUAAUACCCAGUGCCAGUUGCUAUUUUUUGCUUGUUUUUUACUUCAUAGAAAAUCAAUACCAAACGAAUUCCAAAUGCAGCGAAACUUUUUGGAUAAAUUUACUGGUCCAGAAGACACCUGUUGGGCCAAAUAAGUACCAGAGGGCGGCUCAGAGGGGAGCACAACCCACCUGGGCGCGCGUGGGGGCCCAAGCGUGCCCUGGUGGGUUGUGCUCAGCUCGGCCGCCUCCCGCACCGCCUCUUUGCUCUAUAAAUACCCCAAUAUUCUAGAAACCCUAGGGGAGUCGACAAAAAUCAAUUCCAGCCACUACAAGUUCCAGAACCACCAGAUCCAAUCUAGACACCAUCACGGAGGGGUUCAUCAUCCUCAUUGGUGUCUCUCCGAUGAUGCGUGAGUAGUUCAUUGUAGACCUACGUGUCCGUAGUUAGUAGCUAGAUGGAUUUCUCUCUCUCUUUUGAUUCUCAAUACAAUGGUCUUUUGAAGAUCUAUUUGAUGUAACUCUUUUUGCGGUGUGUUUGUUGGGAUCCGAUGAACUUUGAGUUUAUGAUCAGAUCUAUGUUUUUAUUCAUGAAAGUUAUUUGAGUUUUGAUCUCUUAUAUACAUGAUUACUCAUAGCCUCGUAUUUAUUCUUCGAAUCUUUAGUUUAGUUAGGCCAACUAGAUCAAUUUUUCUUGCCAUGGGAAGAGGUGCUUUCUGAUGGGUUCGGUCGUGCGGUGUUCUUUCCCAGUGACAGAAGGGGCAGCAAGACACGUAUUGAUUGUUGCCAUUAAGGAUAACAAGUUGGGGUCUAUUCCUACAUGAAUAGAUCUUUUCUACAUCAUGUCAUCGUUCUUAUUGCAUUACUCUGUUUUUCCAUGAACUUAAUAUACUAGAUGCGUGCUGGAUAGCGGUCGAUAGUAGUAGAUGCAGGCAGGAGUUGGUCUACUAAUAUUGGACGUGAUGCCUUGCAGCGAUCCGACCUCAAACGGUCAAAUCUCUGUGCAUAAGUGUCAUCCCUGUAAUGCUGACACACAUAGUACUUGAAGGAUUUAUAACAGAGUAGCAAUCACACACUUAUUACAUUGAAUGUCUCCAAAGAGAACUUAUUACAAUAAGUAUGGCUUAAGGCCAUCUAAGUAAGAUAACAGUGAAAGACUUGGAAGAUAAAGUGAGUCCAUCAACUCCAACGGCAUAGCUAAGUGCACGACAAACAACCUAGCGCACCUUACUCUUUGUCGGAAAGGUCUGCAAUAUGAUAUGUUGUAGCCCGAAACGGGCCAGCACAUGGAAUCUGCUGGCAAGACAACACAGUAGAGCAAUGAACAAGUAAAUGCUAUCACUACAUGCAUAUAUGGCUGGUGGAGGCUCUAUGGUUACAAUGUUUUUGCGAAAAGCCAAUUUUUUCCUACAACAAAGGAAUAUAUUUUAUUUAACUAUCAUGGUAGUUGAAAAACAUUGAGAAUGGUAAAACCCCAUCUCAAUCCCAAUUAAAAGUAAUUAACAUCCCAACAAAUUAAUUUAGAGUGGUGAGAUCCACAUGAUAAUUCAAGAACUAGAUACUCAAGAUGUCCAUAACCGAGGACACGGCUAAUCAUGAUUAGUUUGUACACUUUGCAGAGGUUUGCACACUUUUUCCCACAAGACUCGAUCUCCUCCAAUGUAUUUCUCGCACUGCAUGGUAUUUGAGAAACGGAUGACCGAGACACAGUCUUUCCGAAGAGGUCCCAUUAACCGAUAGAUAGGCCGGUGGCCGGUACACCUACUAUCCCCUACAUCUGCUAGCCCAUCAUGAAAAGGUUUCCCAUAACUUACUCAACUAUGCCACAGCCCAUGUGACGCCCCCGAUUCAAUCGUACACUAAUCAUACACGCAAACAUGUACGAUCAAGAUCAGGGACUCAAGGGAAGAUAUCACAACACAACUCUACAAAUAAAAUAAGUCAUACAAGCAUCAUAUUACAAGCCAGGGGCCUCCAGGGCUCGAAUACAAGAGCUCGAUCAUAGACGAGUUAGCGGAAGCAACAAUAUCUGAGUACAGACAUAAAUUAAACAAGUUCGCCUUAAGAAGGCUAGCACAAACUAGGAUACAGAUCGAAAGAGGCGCAUGCCUCCUGCCUGGGAUCCUCCUAAACUACUCCUGGUCGUCGUCAACGGGCUGCACGUAGUAGUAGGCACCCCCCGAGUAGUAGUAGUCGUCAUCGACAAUGGCGUCUAGCUCCUGGUCUCCAACGUCUGGUUGCAGCAAUCGAGUAUAGAAAGGGGGAAAAGAGGGAGCAAAGCAACCGUGAGUACUCAUCCAAAGUACUCGCAAGCAAGGAGCUACACUACAUAUGUAUGCAUUGGUAUCAAAUGGAAUAUGGGUAUCAUAUGUGGGCUGAACUGCAGAAUGCCGGAAUAAGAGGGGGAUAGCUAGUCCUGUCGAAGACUACGCUUCUGGCCACAUCCAUCUUGCAGCAUGUAGAAGAGAGUAGAUGGUAAGUUCACCAAGUAGCAUCGUGUAGCAUAAUCCUAACCGAUGAUCCUCCCUUCGUCGCCCUGUGAGAGAGCGAUCACCGGUUGUAUCUGGCAUUUGGAAGGGUGUGUUUUAUUAAGUAUCCGGUUCUAGUUGUCAUAAGGUCAAGGUAUAACUCCAUGUCGUCAUGUUACCGAAGAUCACGGCUAUUCGAAUAGAUUAACUUCCCUGCAGGGGUGCACCAUAUUUCCCAACACGCUCGAUCCCACUUGGCCGGACACACUUUCCUGGGUCAUGUCCGGCCUCGGAAGUUCAACACAUCGCAGCCCUACCUAGGCACAACAGAUAGGUCAGCACGCCGGUCUAAAUCUUAUGGCGCAGGGGUCUGGGACCAUCGCCCAUUGCACACCUGCACAUUGCGUGGGCGGCUGGAGAGCAGACUUAGCAACCUCCAUUAUAAAGGAAGUUGCGUUACGCGGUUCAACCCGCCGCGUGUCGCUCAGUCGCUGACGUCACAAAGGCUUCAGCUGAUACCACGACGUCGAGUGCCCAUAAUUGUCCCCGCGUAGAUGGUUAGUGCGUAUAGGCCAGUGGCCGGACUCAGAUCAAAUACCAAGAUCUCGUUAAACGUGUUAUCUUGAAAUAACCGCGAACGCUGACUAGGGCCAGGCCCAGCUCUCUCCUACGUGGUCUCAACCUGCCCUGUCGCUUCGCCACAAAGAUCCACGCAGAGGGCCGUUGGGACAAAGGUCCUUUCAGCCCCCAAUCCGUGAAUCACUCGCGGGUGCUCCACGAGCCGACCCGACUUUAGUCACCACAUGUAUCAUGUAUAAAGUAUAUAGUACAUACCCGUGAUCACCUCCCGAGUGAUCACGGCCCGAUAGUAUAGCAUGGCAGACGGACAAGUAGGUAGGGCCACUGAUGAUAAACUAGCAUCCUAUAAUAAGCAUUAGGAUUGCAGGUAAAGGUAACAACAGUAGUAGUAAGGACAGGCUAUGCAUCAGGAUAGGAUUAACGAAAAGCAGUAACAUGCUACACUACUCUAAUGCAAGCAGUAGAGAGAAGAAUAGGCAAUAUCGGGUUGAUCAAAGGAGGGGGCUUGCCUGGUUGCUCUGUAGACAGAAAUGGGCCCUUGAAGGUGAAGUAGUUGAUCACUCGUUCAACCGCGGUCUCGGGGUUUACCGGAAAAAGGUAACGGAGGGGGAACACAAUAAUUAACAAAGCAAUCAAAGCAUCACAAAGCAUAACAUGGCAAUACGCGGUGCUAGGGGUGAGCUAAUGUAGUACUAAGUGAUACCGGAAAAGGGGGGAACACCAGGAGAGGUGUUUCGCGUUUUCGGAUAGUUGCGUGUUUGCUAUGCUAGGGAUGUGUGGCGGACGAACGGGAUGUGUAUUCGGAUUCGUCUCAUCGUUCUGAGCAACUUUCAUGUAUAAAACUUUUUCAUCUGACUUAUGAAUUAUUUAAUAUGAUUUUUCAAAGUUUAUUGUAUUUUCUAAAAAAUUUGAAAUAUUUUUAUUUAAUCUAAUUCGAAUUUGACCAAGUCAAACUGACUAGUCAAAAGGGAGGAUGUGGCCCACAUGUCACUGUUUUGUUAAUUUCCAAAAGAUUUAUCUAAUCUAACUAGGUGGACCCAUAUGUCAUAGACUAUUUACCAAACAAAUAAAUAAACCUAACUUAUUUAAAGAGGCUUACAUGUCAUCUACUACUAGACUAAUUUAAUACUAAUUAAUACUAACUACACCUAGUAAAACUAAUGUAAGCAGUACUAAUCUAAGCAAGGGCCGGCUACACACUCACGCACACACACAUCACACACACCUACAGAAUACACACACAGAGAACGUAGCUAGGAGUUACUUCUAUUCCCUUUUAACAAAACAAAGCAUUUUGCGAUUUUGAUAGGAUUUAAUCUAGGUAUCGAAAGGAUUUGGUCCAGUGGGAUAAAAUGGAGUUUGUCAUGUAUACUUUCUAUUCAUAUUAAUUUUGCCCAAGUUAGUAGUUGGUUAGCCACCAUUUAAGGACUGUCUAGAGUGUUAGUCAUUGUAAAACUAGAAAAGCUAGCUAGUAACUACAAAGUACAGAAAGCAGCGGCAGUUGUAGGAUGCAGCAGCAGCGCUAGUAGCAAGGAGCAGCAGUUUAGUAGUGGCAGCAGGACGAGUAGCGGCGGCAAGCAAGCAGUAGCAGCAGCAGUAUGCGGGAGCAGCAAGCCGGCACCGCCGGGAAGCAAGCCGCACGCAACAGCAGUAGUCAGGGACCGCGGGGCACGCGGGAGUAGUGGGCAGCGGUGACGUGGGCUGCAACGGCGAGCCAAGCGUGGCGUGGCGCGCGGCACGCGCACGGAGCCUGGCCAGAGGGCGGCGAAGGCGUGGGCUGGACGCGACGAACACGGGAUUCGGGGCGGCCACUACGAGCUUUGGUCACGGCGGAACAACGACGGAACGGAGGGGAUUCGAGGGGGAAGAAGGGGAAUCAGCAGAGGAGCUCACUGUGCGCCUGCAGAGGUGCGUAGCGGGCUCGGGGAGGGCUCGGUGGCGACGAAUCGAACGACAACGUCCGGCGGGGCAGAGGAUGAAGGCGAGCUCGAUCCGUUCGGUGUAGGGGUGAUGAGCCUGAUCUGGCGCUUGCAGUCGACGUGGACGAGGCCGGGGAGCUCCUGGACGCCUUCUCCGGCGACAGCGACCACGACGGCCGCGGCAACGACGACGAGGCAGUGGUCACCGUGGACCUCUCGAGCUCCAAAUCGAGCUGGGCGAAGGGGGUCGAGGGGAACUGGACGAGAGGGGGCUAGGGUUUGAUCGCGGAGGGAACUGGGUGCUCUUAUUCAUCCUAGAGACCCGUGGGAUGGCCGACACGGCGGCAUCGGCGACCACGUCGGCUUGGAUGUGCGCCACGCACAGGUCCUCUGCCUCCUGUACGUGUGGUUAAAGGAUACAAGAGGUGGGCUGGGCUGCUACUGUUUCUAAUGGGCUAAAGUGCAUACAGACCUCUCCCAUUUUCCUUUUCUUAAAUAAUAAGUAGCCACUGUUCUCUAAAUAGCUUAUUGAUCAAAUGAAGUUUGUUAACUAUGAAACUUUGUACAAAGAAAAUGCUAUGCAAUAUUCUAGGACUGAACAAAAGUUUAAGGGCAUUUGCAAUUAGUUAAAUUUAUAUUUGGAUUUAAAUGGACGACUUAAUUGUUAUUGAUCCACUUUAAAUAUUGCUAGAGUCAAUUUCGUAAUCCAAAUGGGUUUGUUUUCUAUAUGGAAAAUACUUUGGGAUUUUAUGUAAUAAUGUAAACAAUUUUGUUUCGUUGUUUAAAGAAAUAUUAUUUUGAUUUUAUUUUAAAUUUGGAUUAUAAGUGGGUUUGGAUCAAAGUGAAGAUUAGCAAAAAUAAUUAUGAUGACGUGGCACCAGUAACAGGAGUUUACUGUAGCGUGACACCCGGCGUGUUAUAGCCCAUAAUGGCAUGUGGCUGCACAUAGAAGUUUCCAGCAUGAAUAAUCUUAUGAUCCCUUUGAGCCUGGGUGGCGAACCAAAAAGGACAUCAUUGGUAUAUCCCAGGUGCCCGCAACCAAUCCACCCAGAUGUGUGUUUAAGUAGCCACCUUAAGUAAACCAUUAAUUAAUAAUCUCACAUCUAUCAUGGAUACACUCAAACCCAAUCCACGUCUACGAGCAUAGCAUGGCAAUAAGUAGCAUAACAUAGAAGUAACUCCCGGGGUUUGAUAAUAAAAAGGGUAAUAGGUUCUACCUCAUCAUCUACUUCCCAAACCCACAAGUUAAGAGAUCCUACUCAUGCAAUGUUUGAGGGUUGUAACUAAUGCAUAAAACUAGGUAAAAGGGAUAUGACCAAAGUGUUACUUGCCUUGCUGAUGAUCCGCAAAAUCUAGUGACUUGUAGUAGCACGCCGCGUACUCCGGGAAUUCUAGCGCAAAUAAACAAUAGCAUACAUAAGCACUCAAGCAAAGGUGCAAGGGAAAAACUUCAAAUAAGAAGAUCCAAAUGGAAAGUUCAAGGGAAGAGGUUCGAUUUGCAAAAAGAAUCAAUCGAAUCAGAGAUACGGAACUGAAACUAUGGCCAAAAAAACUUCGAAAACAAAUCUGCUUGCAACCAAAUUUUAAUUUGUCAAAACCUUGUUCAAGUUGAUUAAACAGAAGGAGGGUUUCAAGACGAAGAUUUUGGCGUUGGUUUCACUGGAUUUGGACAAACGGUUAAGAAACAGCGAGCGUUUGAAGAUCAGGGGCUAAUCUGCGAUAAAAAUAAUCGCUGAUAGGUCCCUAACAGAAAAUAAAAUAAAAAUAAAAGACUAAGGAACGAAGGUUCACUAUCUGAACCUGACCGGCAAAUAGCGUUCGUUAGAAUGAACGAACGGACGAAUGUUCGCUAAAUAAAUAAACCAUCGAAAAUCGAACCGAUAAAAAUAAAAAAAGCAUCUAGGGUUUAAAACAAACAAACGGUUUUUACCUAAACCGGAAAAAAACAACGACGGGUCCGGCGAACGGCGGUGGCGGCUCCGGCGGCAACGGUGGCGCGCUAGGGUUAGGGUUUCGGGGCGGGGCGGCUUGGUGGGCUGGGGGGCCUCGGGCGGCGGCUUAUAAAGCCACGCCCGGCACGAGUCCGGGUCAGUCACGGCUCGUUUAGGUCGGUUGACUUUUUUUAAAAAAAUAUUCCGCCGGAAAAAUCCUAAAAAAUAAAAUAAAAAUUUAAAAAUGCCAAAACAAAUUUUCCCCAUCUAAAUAGAAUAUUUAGAACAAAGUGAAUAUUUUAUUGGCCUAAAAUUGCAAUUUUUAAAAAUGCAUAUUUUUCUAAUUCGAAUAAAAUAGCAAUAAAAUCCAAAAAAAUUAUUUAUUUGAUUUUAACAUUUUCCCUCCAAUAUCUCAUUUAUUUUGGAGAAGUCAUAUUAUCUCCUCUCAUAUAUUUUAAUUUGAAAUAUUUUUGGAGAGAAAAAUAAUAAAAUUAAAAUGAUCUUUGUUUCCGAUAUUUGAGAAUAUUCAAAUAUGAAAACAGUGAAAUCCCCAACUCUCUCCGUGGGUCCUUGAGUUGCUUAGAAUUUCGAGGAUCGCAAAAUGAAAUGUGAUAAAAUAUGAUAUGCAAUAUGAUGUCCUAUGUAUAACAUUCCAAAUUGAAAUUUUGGGAUGUUACAUGCCUAUAUAAUGAUCAUUGCCUAGAUAUCGUUAUAAUUAUUUGAAGUUCUAUCAAUUUCCCAACAACAUUUUGUUUACCCGUCGUAUGCUAUUUUUCUCGAGAGAAGCCACUAGUGAAAUCUACGGCCCUGGGGUCUAUUAUUUAUCAUAUUUGCUUUCCAAUCUAUUAUUUGCCACUUCUAUUUUCAGAUCUAUUAUUCCAAAAACCCAAAAGUACCUUGCUGCAAUUUUUUGUUAUUUAUUUUAUUUCGCGUUUACGCGAGAUCUAUUUAUCCAAUCUACUACAAACCAAUCUAUCUUUUACCCGUGAGGGAUUGACAACCCCUCUUACGCGUCGGGUUGCAAGUAUUUGUUCUUUGUGUGCAGGUACCGUUUACAUAGUGUUGCUUGGUUCCCCUACUGGUUCCAUAAUCUUGGUCUCAUCACUAAGGGAAAUACCUACCGUAGCUGUGCUGUAUCAUCCCUUCCUCUUCUGGAAAAAUACUGACGCGGGCACGAGCCAUCACGCCUAGUGAUGCUCCGUGGUCCUCUAUGUUACUUCUGCUGAACAAAUAACAAGGUUGACACGCAGGUCAUUAAAAAGGGUAAUCCCUUGGCUCCAGCCAUCAUGGUGUACUGUGACACGCAGGCCACUUAACAUUACAACAUAUAACCAUCUCAUACAUAAACUCAUUAUCAUGAUGAAGGCUAUAGUACAUCACAUGCAUCCUGCAAAACCAAGUUAGACGUCCUCUAAUCUGUUUGGAAAAUUUUAAUUACGUGGUUUCUAGGAUUUCUGGGUAACUCUAGCUACCUACGUCCACCAUCAAGGAAAUAAUUCUUGUUGCUAGAUUAAAUUUUGGGGUGAGUAAGGGAAGAGACUUAAUUAAAAAUCUCUAUCCCCACACUAAACUUCAUCAAUAUGCGUGACUCUCUAGAAGAUCGGACAUCUUCAUUGCCCACUCGUGUUUGCGACAGUUCACUAUUCUUGACUAUGAUGAAGCCCAAAGUACUGUUAGCAGAUCGCUAACAACUAGAGCCGAUUGAUUGCUAGAACUCUGGCUACACCAUGUCAUCAAUGAACUGAGCCGAAGCACCACUUGAGGAAAUAAUCGCAAGAACGCAAACCCUCAAACCCACAUGUGAUCUAGAUCAAAAUCUGCAUCUACUCAUAGAACCACUCAAGAUGCCACUAUUGGGAAACAUUGUAGAGAACAAAAAAAGUUGCCCUACGAUCAACCAGGAACACUAUGAAGAUGCAAUAAUAGCUUCGAUCGGAUCGUUGCCAACUCCGAGCUAUAGCGGAAAAAGUGAGUCAGUGUAGAUCGUACUUGAUUCCCUCGAACCGUCGAUGAACGAUCCCUGGAACAAAAGACUAAAAGCACGGUACCUCUACAUAUUGCAAGCAUACAGUCUUCGUGAUCCGGUAGCGCUUCGCCAUCCAAAGCUAAUAGUUGCCGGAGAAUUAGAGGGAGGGGAUUAGAAUCACACUGGGAUUCUAAUUAUGAGGAUUAGAGGGUCUAGGUUUAGCUCUAACUGGAUCAAUUAUAACUAUAACUAGAGAACUAGAGGAGGCUCCAAAACUUGUGUAUUACAAAGUGCCAAAACCUCUAGUGUAAAUAGGUUGGAGGAGGGGAGGGGGCGCCACACAUGGGAGGAGGUUUCCCCCCUUUGCUCAUCUAAGAGAAGGGGUGUUCUCCCUCCAAUUCGGCCUCCCCCUUCCUUCCCCAAGUGGGAAGGGGGCACCACCUCCUAUUGGGCCCAUGUGGCCCAAGUAACUUUCCACCACUUGGCCUCUUUAGGCCCGUUAAUAUUUAAAUAAAUAUAAUAGCCUCAUAAUCAUAUUUAGAGCCUUUUAAUAUUAACAUCACUGGAAACUAUUUCCACCUAUAUAUAGUUUAUAAGUAUUACCCGAUAAACUCUGAAACCCUUCCGGUGACCCCAAACGAUUUCGAUUCCUCUCGAAAAUAUUUUGAAUAUUAAUGAAACUAUUUCAUAAAUAUUUUUUCUCAUUACUCCUGUCCUACUAACACUUAGUAGAUUGUGAUUACCUUGAGUUUGUGAACCUGUAGGUUUGGUAAAACAUAGACAUGAACAAAACCCGUUUUGUUCAAUGAUCGAUAGGGGAACCGUGGACGUCCAUAUCGAUCCCUAUGAGUACACGAAUGACAUUCGAGUGAACCUUUGGUUACCAUGUAGUAUUCCCUUUGUUUACCAAUACUUUACAAAACCUGAGGUGAGAUAUAUCGGUAUCCUCUUGAGUCAUACACAUGCUCACUAUACCGGUCUCCUCGUUAUCGGUUUUGUUCUUCUUUCUCGUUGACAUGUUCUGUCAUCCUCGUGACAUUGUCACCUAUGUAUGGCCAGACGAUGGUAGAUGCCUUCACACCAAAAGGGACCUAAAAUAUCUCUCCAUCAUCGGAGGAGAAAAUCCCACUCUUGAGCUAUCUAGUCCUUGUCAAACUUUCCGAUGAACCUGUAAGUUGUCGUUAUGAUCACCGUGAUAUAGGUGACGUUUGAGCAAACCCAAAGUUCAUCGCACAGUAAGAAGUGACUGCGAUACUCACAUGGUCUAAGGAAUUAAAUUACAUGUUAACACUCUAUGUUAUAACAAUUGACUUCUGAAGAUAUUAUCUCAAAGUAUAACAAACAAAUUUGGGUCGAUUCAAUACGAUAUUCGCAAAGUUGUUUUAGGACUAUUGUUACACUUAGCGGUAUCCUAAGAUCCGGAAAACAUGAUCACCAACAACAUUUGUGCUAGUCUUAGAGGCGAGACUGGGAAUCAUAUUUUACCGGUUAUCAUUCCAUGCAUGCAUAUGAGUUCUCCACUGAAUCACAUAUUCCAGCAUCAUGGCACUUAUAGCAUGGAAUAUAAACUCUUAAUUAUAAAUAUGGAAAUAUAAUAAUACAAUAUUAUUGCCUCAAGGGAAUAUAUCCAACAUAGCACCCCCUAAUUCAAGACACCAUCACAAAGUUGGAUUAGUUUGCCAAAUGUAAAUUGGUAAUGUUUACUUCAUAAAAACUACCACUCAUAAACAAUUUGGCAUGGUUGGGUUAAUAUGCCAAUUGUAAAUUGGUAACGUUACUCCAUAAAAACUGCUAAAAACUUUGACAUGGUUGGCUUAACUGUAUUUUUCCAUAAAGUAGAUUGCAAUGCAGUUGCUCUAGCUGUAUUUUUUCAGGCAGUUAACGAUGUUGUAGGUGGUUUAGUUCCAUUUUCAGUUGUGUCGCAUGUUUUAGUUGCAUUUCACAUGUUGAAACUGCAUUAGCAUGUUUAACUAAACUCUUUAGUUGUGUCGUGUAUUUCAAUUGUAAUUUAUUAAUUGUAUUGUGGGUUUCAACUACAUUAUUCUCGAUGUAAUUUCCCAACUACACUUUUUAAAUGUAUAUUUCAUGUUUCAACAUUUUCUAAACUAUAAGUUUUCAACUGCACUUAGGGCCUAUUUGGUAGCCUGCACCAUUUUUUGCCUCCUUGCAUAUGUAGCUCACAUUGGACAGGUUGAGCAAAUGCAAGCUAAAAACCAUGGUGUGCACAUGGUUUAGUAGCCUGCAUAAGGCCUACCUGCACGAUUGCACCAAUCCCUCCUCCCCUACCCUCUGCAUUAGGUUCCUGCUUAUGGUUGUACUGAUGCAGUGCAUGUUAUUUGGUUGCAUACAUUAGGUAGGAUCUACUUACCUUGUAUCAUGUGUUGUGAGCUUACCAUGUACCACCCUAACAAGUGCUCAUUGCACCUUACAUACAAUCACACCAAGAAAACAACACUACAAUCAUGACGAACUAGACAACGAUGAUGAAGAUUUUCAUCCCACACAACCUAAACUGUCCUGGAGCCUUGCCUACUUCAACAUUGCUCUUUUGGUUGAGAAAAAACUUGGAGAAGCAUCCUCUGCCUCUUGCCUCGUCUUAAACCCUUCGAAGCAGCUAUUUGUGUAACGUGUCACUUGUUCAUGGCAUGUAUGCCAUGAACUGCAAACUCCAAGAACCCUCCCUAUGUACACUACAUACCACUUCAUCGAGCAUGAUAGAAGAGCAACAAUUCAAGAAGCAUGCAAAGGGACACAACAUAUGGAAUAGAUCAACAUAGGCUUGCAUGAUCUUGUGCCCAAAAGGCAGAACUAGUUCAUCCUAACUACUAUGGUGUCGUUGUCCAAAAGAGGGUGUAAUCCUGCCACCGCAAGUUCACCAUCAGCAUGAGGGUUUAGUUUAUACCAUCUCAUCAAAAUAUACAGGCCAACGAAAAUUCUCAGGCCCUAGCUACCACAAAAUGUGCAUCAUCGAUCAUCAUGCACACGUUGUCACCACCACCAGAAACAACAGUAGUAGUACUGCUUGCCCAACCAGGUCCUAAGCCAGAGCACCCUAUGGGGGUCCCCCAUCCAACAAACCCAAGACCAUGUGCCCUAUUGUCCAGCAUGUUGCUAAGAGCCACCAUCAGAGCCUCUGGACUGAAGCCACCUUGUUUCAUGAUGGUGUCUAUAGGGAAGGGUAGACAUCGACUGGCUUGCUCUCCCUAAUGGUGGUUGCCACCUCCUUGAUGUUGUUAGUCAUGCUGCUAAAGACGCUUAGCUCCACGUCCGCCAAGCCGCCCCUCUUCCUCUUCAUAUCAAGCACAUGAACAUGAUUAGCAUCCUUCUCGGGAUUAUCAGGGACAAUGGUCUCUGACUCCUGGGUGUUUGGAUGUUCAGGAAUAGGUAAACCAAGACACUCCAGCUCAUGCCAUGCUUGCCAGUAUCUAGCUCAUAUGAGAAGAUUUUUUUCAUCUACGAGUAGUUCUGUAUGGAAAUGUUGAGGCACAUGCGUCCUUGGGUUGUCCUAAGAAAUGGACAUAGCAUGGUUAGUUGUGAUUGGCAUGUUAGACAAGCUUAAACAAGUGGUAUGUGAGCUAACCGCAGUGUGGACUCGGCAGUGCUCUAACUCCAAUAGGAUUGUGUAGGUGUCCUAAUCCUAUUGUGCAUCACUAAGGUCUCUAAACUUGGUCACUUGGAUCCAUUUGGCUCUCCACUUCCUAAGGUCAUUGUAGACUAGGGUCGAGGUGACCUCUUGGACGUAUAACUCAAACAACCUCUUGGCACCAGAGUUCCAGUGCACCUCCUUGAAGCCCAUGUCUGUCGUCACCCCACUUGGUAUGAGCUGACACAUCUUGUAGGGCGGACAGGAAUGGUUGCCAUUUCACUGAGUUCCCCCUCCUAAUCAUCUUUGCCUUUCCGACCUUGAUGGUUGCCUUAUGUGUAGCACUAGAAAUAGUAUUAGGCACCGCUAGCACAGAUGGAGGAUGCCUAGCAGGUAUUGGCUCAAGGACAUGUGAAUCCAGACGCAUGUACUCGUCCAUCGGAGGCUGGAGUCCUCAACAUAGGACGAUAGGAGUUAGCUCUCAAACAACACAAUGGACUGACAAAAUUAUUGCAUGCUCAUGUCCAACAAUGGUUAGUGCUACUUGUGAGCUGCGUUGGGAUUUCCCCCGAAGAGGAAGGGUGAAGUCGUACAGUAGAGAUAAGUAUUUCCCUCGGAUUUAGGGCUCCGCAGACCCAAGAAAGAUUCGAACUCUGGGGUGCGUGCGAAGAACACAAUCUCCCUAGCCUACCAACUCGACGCUCUCACAUCCUAGCUCGAUGAACGGGAGAGGAAAGAGACACGGCAGUUUACCCAGGUCCGGGCCACCUUGCGGUGUAAGACCCUACUCCUGCUUUGUGGUGGAUUGGCCUCUCGGUAGGCUGAGGAUGAACUAGUACAGAGGAAGAACUACCUCCGGAGGUCCGUUCUUGUGUUGGUGUGAGCCAGUGGGGGUUCGGAUUGUGUUCGAUCCCCCUUCUAUGGUGGUGGAUAACCUAUAUUUAUAGUGGCCUUGGUCCUCUUCCCCCAAAAUGAAGGCGGGAAGGGAUCCCACAACAGCCAAGUUUGAAAGGAGACAAAUAGUACAUCUUAUCCUGACGAAAGGUGGUCUUCGCUUGCAAAGCUUCUGGUCGUCAUGUUGUGGUGGGCUCGGCGGUGACCUCCAUCCUGUCGUCCUGGCGGUCUUGGUCUUGUAGCACAAAAAUGGAAACCUUUGGCUGAUUCCUCGGGACUCCGCGCCUGCGCUUGCCUCCUUAGCACCAAAAAGGAAACCUGUUGUACUGCGCCCGCUCGCGCCCGCCUGGCCUUGGUCGCCAUUGUAACAUCCCAAAUUUUCAAUUUGGAAUGUUAUACAUUAGAGCAUCAUGCAUAUCAUAUUUUAUUUUGCAUUUUGGUUGAUCCUAGAAAUUCUACGCAACUCAAUGACCCACGGAGAGAGUUGGGGAUUUCGUUAUUUUCAUUUUUGAGUUCUCUCUAAUUUUGAGAAUAGGAUCAUUUGAUUUUAUUUAUUUUAUCAUCAAUUAUUUCUAUUACAAAAAUAUGAGAGAGGGAAUAAAAUGACUUUCCCAAAAUAAAGAAAUAUUGAGGAUUUAAUAAAAAAUCAAAUAAGAUUUUAUUUCGGAGUUUUUUCGGUGUUUUUUUGAAUUUAGGAAAAAUGUGCGUUUUUCAAAAUUGCAUUUAGGUCCCAAAUAAAUGUUCACCUUGUGCGGCUUGAUUUUAGAAGCCCGUGAAAAUUUAUGUCAGACUUUUUGGAGUCCGUUUAGUAUUUCUUUUUAUUUUUCUUCCGACCGGAAUAAUUAAAAAAACGAAUCGACUUCGGGCCGUACCCGAGCGGGACACCGCCCGGGGGCAGCCUUUAAAUAGCGCCGCCCCGAGCCGCCCUGCCUCGAUCCGCGCGCGCCGCCGGAGCCGCCGCCGCCGACGAUCCCGCCGCCCGAGGUUCGUCGCGCCUUGUUUUCCGUGCCGAAAAAAAGAGAAAAAAAA